CCACCUGGUCCAACUCGGCGCCCAACCCUAACGCACACGGCACACACGCGCCCACCCUGCACGCCGCCGCCGCCGCCCGCGCGCCGCCGCCGACGACCAAAUCUGCCGCGCACCGCCGACCCACACUCCCCGCCGCCACAGCUCCGCUAGCUCUUCUAUCCCAAACUCCUGCCCGCAGCGAGUUCGCCGGAGGAUCUCCGUCCGUCUCGCCUCCUGGGUCCUGGCCACGCGACGCACGCCGGAGACGAGCGAGAAAUUAAGAAGCCGCUCUAGCGGCUGGCAGGAAUCUGAGCAACGACGACGACGCUCCGCAGGCAGCCGCUGCAUCGGAUCCAUCGCCGGUAAACUAUUGUUCAUUCACACACUCCUCGGUCGACUACUCCGAUCCAUCCUACAACUACACGCUUGGAGCUCAGCCGGCCGGCAGCCAUGAAGGUAACUGACUCCUGCUAGUGCUAGAUCACUGCUCUGUUCGACUUCGACGUCCGACGACCAGCUAUCAUCAGUGCCGGUCACCCAGUACUUCGACUCCGCGAUGCAGGCCGGACGACUCGUCAUGGCGAUACCACCGCCGUCGCCGCCCAAGCCUGCAGCCAACAAGGUGAUACGACUACAUUUUUAUAUGACGAACAAAUCAACUGAUUUACAGUAUCUCAUUAACCAAGGAUGAAACAGCGUGCUACAUAUUUGUAUGUAGUUCCAAAUACUAGCAAGUAGAAGGCUGUGUAAUCCCAGACUUGUUCAGCAGUGGGAUGCAAAUGUACUAAAACUGAUCAGCAGCAGUACAAUGUGUUUCAUUGCAUAUUCUGAAUACUAGUGAUUUUCUCAUGUGUUGAUUAGCCACUGAAUAUGAAAUUGACUUGUUAGAAUCAGCCAUGCUUCGUUCAUUGCAUAUUCUUUUGGUAUUAGAAUAUGGUCUGACUAGCCACUCCAUUAAUAUAUUACUAAGUCUAAGUGGAUUCCAGCUUAUGUUUCUUUGCACUAAAAUUGACAAUGGUUUUAGCCAUCUAAUGACAGUAAUGAUGCCAAUUGUGCCAUCGUCCUCAAAUUGACACUGGUUUUAGCCAUCUUAAUUUUAGUAAUUGAUAUCCAAGUUCUAAAAAAAUUUAUGGCUGACAAUGAUUGGGAUAAUGUCGAGAAGCAACUGAAGGAAUUAGUUUCUGUUCAGGUGCAUCCAUGCCUGUUCAUUCCUGUGUAUGAGGAGUUGAUAGCUGAUCAUGUCAGGAAGUAAGAGCGUGGAGCUUCCUUAAAACUAUUCUCUGAAAAAGUUGCUGUUCUGAAUAAUAUCCAGAGUGACUUUGUGAAUGAGAAGGAUCUGAAACAGCAAGUUAGUCGCUGCAGAAGAUCGCAAAGUAAGUUAAAUCACUAGAUAGGAAUUGAAACAAUUUCCAUCCUUAUAUAACACUGAAACAAUUUCCAUCCUUAUAUAGCACCAUUCUCAUCUUUUAUUCCCUAGAUAGGAAUUGAAUUUCGUCAGUUGUGCUGUUUAGUGCUAUGCAAAGACGAAUUUGCUCUCCCUCAUGCAUAAGGUUCAAACACAUGACUUGCGCAUAAGUUCACACAUGUUACAGUACAUUAGGUUCACAAACAUAAAGGCACACAUACAUAUGAGACUAUGAAAGAAUCACAAACCUUCUCUUGCUUGUGCUCAUAGCAGGGCUAGCAGAGUCAGUGUCUUUUUGCUUCUUGUGGCCAUUGCAGGGCUGUCAAAUGAGCCCAAAAGACUCUUGCCCUUUUGCUUGUUAGCAACCUGCUUCUUUUUCCUUGCAGCCUUUGACUUUACAGGAGCAUUUUUCAUGUCAACAGACAUAGCCUCAGGUUGAUUUGAACCAGAUCUUGACCUCACAGCCCACAUAGCUUCAAUAUCCUCUUGGCUACCGUUCUUGCAAUUGUGCCAGCGAUGACCAUAUAACCCUUGCAAAUAGAGCAUUGGUGCUGUCCAUUUUUCACUUGUCUGUAUAGCAUCUCCUAAGCAGACUGAAUUUUUCUUUUCAUUUAUCUUCUGCACAAAGGCAUUACCUACGAUCUGAAUUAUAGAAUUAGUAAAAACAAUAAUUUUUAUGUUGGCAUAUUGAACAACCUUACGCAUUGAUAUGCUUUAUGAUUUUUCACUAUUGUAGUAGGCAUAACAAACAAGCUGACCGUCAGAGUCACCUAUGGUAGCUUUGCUCCAUCUGUUUUCUGUAUAGACUUCUGUUGAUAGUAUAUUAACAGUGUUCAUUUUUAUUCUGUUCAAGUUAUAGUUUCUACAGUUGAAAAUACAUUGGAUUUGUCAUCUUAAUAAUGGGACAGUGCACUGAUUUAGGAGAGUAAACAUGUUCUGCAAACUAUGCUCCUGCAUAAUGUGACAUAAAUCAUCCUCUUCCAUGAAAGUAUCUUGUACUGAUUUUUUUUAGCAAGGUUUAUCUAUACAUCUUUAUGAAAGUAUCUUGUAUGAUAGUUUCUACAUGUUAUGGAACUUCAGUUUAAACCUACUAUGUAAAUUGUAGUUUAUCAAAGGUGUAGAAGCCACUUUGAUGAGUAUUUGUUGUCAUGCGCCUUUCUUUAAUUUAAAAUUUGCUUGGAUGUGUGGUCUUCGUGUCAUAUAUGUGCUGUCGGUUUUUUUGCAGGUUUUGAAAACCUCCCCAUGCAGGGGAGGUUCUGCCGAGAUUUUUUUUUUAAAAAAUAAAAAGUCUUUGCCGAGAGCCUGCCAGCACGGCUCUCGGCAAAGACGACGUCAACAUUGACGUUCCUCGACAGCGCCGUGGGUUUUGCCGAGAGCGUUUCUGGCCUUCGGCAAAGUCUUUGCCGAGAGCCUGCCACGUGGCUCUCGGCAAAGAAUUCUUUGCCGAGAGCUUCUUUGCCGAUAGCUCUUUGCUGAGAGCUUUUAGGCCUUUGCCGAGGGCUCCUGGCUCUCGGCAAAGAAUACGAAUCCAGUAGUGUGUGCAAAAUAAUUUCUCCACCAACGUUUAUGAACAAAGUCACACAAGAAAAAAGAUUGUAUGAUUUUUUUUUUCGAAUUCAACCUUGAAUUCAGAUCUUGCGUAUUUUGAGAUAACAAAUUAAAUACAGUUUCAUAAACAAAUUCUUUUUUUGCAAAGUACAACUUGCAUGCACAUAAACACUCACCUAUGAAUGCCUCCGAGACUAGACCGACAAAGCUUGAGAUCAACUAAGUAAAAUGUGAGCAACAACCCUAUCUUUAAGAAAGCUUGAGAUCAGCAAAAUAAUUAUCGUCAUGUGUUGGAGCCUUUGGUCCAUGAGAAAUGACUGCUAGCUCUAUAGGAUCAUUCUAGGGUAGAUCUAGGGGGGAAAACAUAUUAUGUUCAUGGUAAACAAGUAGUGCAAACAUAGAGAGGAAGAGGGAGAGGUGUGAGUGUCAUCGACUAUCAGAGGAGGGUGGAGUCGGGGUGCUUGAGCUGGUGCAUGACAUUUCUUGGUCGGCGACUAUCUGCGCUAGGCAGCGAUGUUUGGUGAGAAGGCGAUGCAGUGGUGACCGGCGUCGAAGAUGGUGGUGUAGUGCAGUGGCAGCGGUUGGGGUCUUUCCGUCACUGGCUACGCCCCUACUCAAGAUCGGCUUAGAGUUUUGUCGGUGGGUUUGGCGGCUUACGGUGAACCUCAUACUGAGUGCCGCCGGCCCCAACCUCUCUUUAUAGUGCAGGGUGACAGAGGCCCUUCAACUAUAAAUGGGGUGAGCGUCUCUGAUUAGGGCAUGAGUUAAGACCCAAUUAGACCGUUGGGCCUAAUUGGUAGAGAUCAAUCCAACGAUGACUUCAUCUUCAGAGAUUAAUUCCAGUGGGCAUCAAUUUGAUCUUGUUUGUAACCUUUUCUGUUUCUUAAAUUCUCCUGUUGUAUCUCAUGUUUACCUGUUUAUAAUAUAAUAACAUAUGGCUAGUAGGGGGCUAGGGCUUGUCCCUCCUGUUCCUUCCAAAAAAAAGUGAGCACCCAUUGGAGACUUGAACUUUGCUUGAAACUAUAAAAGGGAUCAAGAGAAAUUGAGAGGAGAAAUCUAGAGUCAAUUAGACUUUAUGAUGCAAAUAGGCCUGUUGUAUUUGUGUAGUGGUAGGGUUGUCUAGUGAGAUGUUAUCUACUAGGGUUCAAACUCUAUUGUUGCACUUUUUUCUAUUUUUUUUCUAAAAAAUUAGGGUACGUUCAAUGGUACUGCAUGUUUUCUGUGCACCGGAAGUUAGAGAGCCUCCCAAUCUCCUAUGCCCCAUUAUCGAUCUCUUAUUUGCGUGUGUACGGACGCGCACACAUGUGGUGUGAGUGUGGGUUAUGUGUGACCAAAUUGUACCCAAUAAUAAAAAUAGACUUUAUGAUAAUUUUGGACUUAUGCUUCUUUGAAGAGGUAUAUGGAGCUGAAUUUAUAACCAUUAUCUAAAAAAGAUUGCAACUUGCAUCCCUUCUCCUCUCUCUCAUGCUUUCAUCUAGAAUACGCUUGGCCCUACCUAGUUCGAAGCGAAUAGGCAACACUGAGACCAUGUCAAACACCACGCUUGUUUUUCAGAUGAGAUGCUUCCAUUCUUUCCCUUUUUGUCAUCGGUUACUCCAAUGCAAAGUUUUCACUUCACUACAAGGGCAUGGAAAUGCACAGAGUUAUAGAAAUGUAGUAGACGACGACAUGCAUGGACAUGUCCAACAAACUACAAAUGCUUGAUUUGGCCCGUCACUCCCUGCCGCUCUGAGCCUGCAUCUUGGAGCCCGUCGCAGAAUUGCAGCGCUGACCGAUUCUCCAACAUCCUAGCUAGGAACCAAACAAACAAGCUCUCUUCUCCAUGGUCGCCUAUAUAAGCAGCUGAAUAUGUGUGCUUCUGAACUCAGGGCAUCGCAUACAUAACGCACAGCCAAGAAAGAAAGAAGAAAAAAAGAGUCCGGCAGGCAAAGGCAUCCGUACGUCUCCAUGGCUUCCAAGCAAAUGCUGCUGUCUGCAGUGGCCGCCUCGAUGGCCCUCCUCGUCUUCCUGCCCGCGCUCGCCUCCGCCACGGAUCACGUCGUGGGCGACAGCCAAGGCUGGACGCUCGGUUUCGACUACGCCGCCUGGGCUGAGAGCAAGCACUUCACAGUCGGCGACACACUUGGUACUCGCACGCAGCUGGAUCUAUCAAAAACCUUCUACUAUAGAUCCCGUUUGGUUCUCUUGCUAAUUUUAACUAGCUAAAAUUAUUUUACCUACUCUUGAAUAACCGGUGAGAUUAAACUAUUUUAACUUUUUUAGUCCGUGUUUUUAGAAAUUUAGCUACCCACGACUAAAGUUUAGCUUGCUAAAAUUUAGUAAAGGGAACCAAACAUGACCUAUGUGCAACGUACGUGCAUAUGCACAUAGACCUCGCUCGUUCUCUGAUGAUCUGGCAACACUUUUAAUUUGCAGCGUUCAAGUACGCCUCAAGCUUCCACAACGUGGCGGAGGUGAGCGGGCCGGACUUCAAGGCGUGCAACAAGGCGGGCGCCGCCUCCGUCUGGAACUCCGGCGACGACCUGCUCAGCCUCGACGAGCCUGGCCGGAGGUGGUUCAUCUGCACGGUGGGCAGCCACUGCAAGCUUGGCAUGAAGCUCAACGUCACCAUUCUUCCGGCGACGACGCCGGCGCCGCUGCCAGCACCAGCGCCGGCGCCGGAGCUGUCUCAGCCUCAGUCGUCUCGCCGCUUCCUCUCCAACUCCAACUGGUGAUGGAUGCACCAUGCAAUUGCACUGCAUGCCCUCCAUACCAGAUCGAGUAGCUGGUCCUCGUAUUUGUUAUCCUGAUCGAGUGACAUGGUGUGAUAAUAAUUCUUGGACCCGUGCCUGUGUUCAGUGGCGGGCCCAGGAUAUUUUGCUUGGGUAUUCAAAAUAUGAAGGGUAGUUAUUUUUAUUUAUUUAUUUUUGCUAUAUUUCUGUCGGCAGAAUAUGUUGAUUUAUAUCUGUCAGAACAAAGAAAAGAAGGUUAAAGUGACAGUGUUCACUCUUUUGUCAUACACUUUUUGGCUCAUCUCAAAACAUGACGAACUAAUUAUCUAAUUUUGCAACUUACACUCCAAGACAUUACCCUCUAUUUAUGUAUAUCUCUAAGUAGUAAAGGAAUUUUCAUAGGAAUUCUGCCAACAUGCACUACAAUAUGAUACAUGCACAGCAAAAUCAACUGAUUCUUACACAAGACUAGUUAACCGAAACCAACGACAAAAUAGAGCGAAGCAGAUGAAAGACCUGUGUGCUUACUGCUUAGUCGUAAUUGAGCAUCCGUAGCUACAAAGAUGGAUCAUGCUUCAUACUCAAUGCAUAUUUCAGUUCAUCCAAUCUGUAUUACACAUGUACAAAGUUGUGUGGCAUGCCCACCUUCAUUUCCUUGGUGCAAAUUGUUGUUACCACUCGCCAUUUCGGUGUAUAAUCAAGAAAUCCAAGCUUUGUAUCAAAAGCAGCUAUUAUGAACUUUGCCUUUCAUUUCCUAGUGGCAUUCUCCAUUACAUCAGUUAUGUAUAAAGAUCAUAGAGCAUACUUGUCUAUAGGCUACUAUCAUGUAUGGUCCAAAUUUAGCACAGUAGCUAUCUUACAGCUACUGCUAAUUAAGAGUCUGCAUUGAACAAACUGUACUUGAAAACAGAGUAAUAACCAUAUGUUUUACUGCCCAAGAAGUGAAACAGAUAUCGUUUUGCUACAAGAGAAACCGGCAGACACAUAAUACACUAAACCCAAAUAAUGUUACUAAAUGAAGGUCUAUUCACUAUUCAUAAUCUGCCUAACUGAAUACUUGUGCACCACUACUUUUGUUGAUCAUGCAUCUAAAAAGCUGUAGUACAUAAACAAAGGAUGGAUGCGAAUGAGUUAACAACAGAACAUACUGUACCAGCAUGAAACCUUCGUUCAGAACCAACAACUAUAGACUUAUGUUAUGGUUCACCAAGCGGGUCCCCGAAAUCAGCUCAUCACAAGUUGCAGAAACUGAACUUAAUCUUGAAUCUGGACACCUCUUUGUAGCUGAACAUGUCUGAAUGCAGGAAUGAAUAAAAAUGUUAUUCGGCAGGAACCACCAAAGAAAUCUGAAACCGGAGGACAGUAAAAAUAUCCUUAAUUUUGUAUUUUAAACAGUCAGUAGAAAAUUAGAAAAAUGUAGAAAUAACUACUCUGAAUAACCAAUAUGACAUUAACAGUUAAUCAAGCACCUCUUUACUCUCUCCAGACACAAGGUAAAUGCCAAAUAUCUGAUGGUACAACAGAGAGUGAACUUAAAAGAAACUGAUUGUUAGCUACAGAAUAACAAACACUCAUACAGCUAUGUACUAGAAAAAAAACACCAGGAUUCUUCUGCUUGUUGUACAUCAACACGAUCUAUGCAAUAACCCAUGCAGAGAUAUGGUGAGAUCUUACAUUUCUUUAAGCUGCAACUAUGUCACCUAACUGAACGUAACAAUUAUACAUUACAGGACAAUAUCUACAUUUAAACUUAGGCUAUUAAUUUCGUUUCUAGAGUCCAAGGAUGCUCACUCUCAGAAUCAAUGAUGAAAAGCAACUAAUGUUCCGAGAAAGCAUCAUCUGCGACCCACGUCGACAUGGCACAGAUUAUGCGCCCCUUCCACCCUUCCAAGAGCCAUUGGUGAUCCAUAUCGAUGACAAAGUCCUUAUGAUAGCUGUCCUUGACCUUAUUCCUCACGACCUUAACAAUAUCUGGAUCCAAAGGCAGCUGUUUUAGUCCUGCCCGGUGGUUCCGCACUUGCCAUUGCUUAUAUGUCUCGUGGCGCUCAACCCUAUCGGAGCCCUCACAGGCAAUGACAUUCAUAGCAAACCGUCCAAAGAGGACCCGUUCAAUCAGCAAGCGUCGGUCAUUGUCCCGUGGCACUGUAACAUCAAGCAUGUCAAACAAUGCCGAGAAAAAGAACAGUACCUCUCGGAACCGUGUUACAAAGAAUGGCGUGCCAUGGGAGCCAUUGACAUUACAAAAGAUAAACACAUCUGGCCGCAUCUCUCGGAUGUUAUUGAGGACCAUAUCCCUAGGGCUUGGGCUAUAUAUGUCAACACCCUCAUCCAUCAAGUUCCCAAAAUCAAAUAGACCAUUGAUGAUGAGUGCCUCGUCAGGGUCAAUGUUCAGGUCAUCAACAGAAACCAUCUCCCACUUUGCCGCAAUGCUUUGGAACUUGAAUGGUAUGCCAAACUGUCGGGCACAUUUGCUGAGCCGGCGUCCGAUCUCUUCAAUAUGAGCAGCUGGGCGGAAUCCAGGCUGGGGGAGGUCAAUGCCGGUGAUCCUCACCUCUGGUGGUCCACCUUCCCAAGUAGACAAAAUGCCAAGGAAGCUUGGCCACUGGAUCCCGUCACGCAUGCCAUAGUCUACAAUGUGCAGUUUUCUCCUCCCUCCAAUAACAUUGGCAAUGGUCAUGUUGGAGAACUUGUAAGCCAUCAUCUUGAAGCAGCAAACUGUUAGGUACAGCUGAUAGGCUUUAAGGAUAUCCACUUGCGAGGUUCGCUUUGACAUGAGCGACUUGUAAACCUGGCUUCCUGUGCCUGCCAGUCGUGCCUCUAAUCCAUCUGCAAAACAAUGUGCCAACCUUUGAUUGGCAUCCCCCCUCGGUGAGGAAUGCUGCUUGAUCUUCCCAAGUAGCAUGGCUGCACUCCAACGAUCGUCCGUCGAAAUGGCCUGUGCACAGUGGAUAAGCAAUGUGUGGAAGUCCACUGCCUCAUUCAGGCUCCGCCUUCUCAGCGCAGACUUCCAAUUCCCCUUCCUGACGAAAUUCCCAUCCUUGCUAUCCAUGGUGAUGUCCAGACCCAGCAUUCCAUUGAGGCACAAGCGAUACUCAUUGAGAAUUAUCUCAUCAAUGAUCUCAUCUGUUUCCUCCAACUCUGCCAGCGCCAUCAGCUUGCUGUUCCUGCUCAUCUCUGUACUCUCCAAGUCCUGCCAAUUACACCACUUCUUGCGGCCCCGGGCAUUACUGAUUCCUUGGAAUGUUAGCAUUCUGUCCACCUUGUCUUCAUUCCUCGCAUGGCCUGGGAUAAAGACUUGUGGUGGCUUGCAGCCUCGAGCCUCGACGAGAAGGCUGCUGUCAAUCGGCAAGAAUUUUUUGGCCUCCUCCAUGCCCCUGAGGAACGCCUGGUUGAGCAUGUCUAUGUUUACCCUGUUCUGGCCACUGAAGAAGGUCGACGCCAGCGCGCCGUGUUCCCUGUCUCCGGUAGGAGGAGAGGAGGUGGUCGAUGUAGUCGUCUCCUCCUCGGGGCCAGCCAACAACUCGGAACAUUGGAUGCCAGCGCUGCCGCAAUUGCGGAACGAGCUGGCCUUGUCCGCUCUCUGAAAUCUCGCGCUGGCGGCGUCUUGUUGGGGCAACAAAAAUCGGUUGGCAUCAUCUGCGGUGAACUCGCCGAUUCCCACUCCCAUGUCUGGGCAUGGCGAGGACAGGAACAGCUGGGGGAACUCGACUGGAUCGAAGGGCCAGGUGGUGUUGGCCAACGCCGGGACGUCCGAGGAUGGCGGAAGGGUGCAGGCGCCGCUUCCAUCGUUGUUGGUGGCGAAAAAAUCGGAGGAGGCGCCUGCAUCGGAGAGGAUCUGCGCGAAUGGCUGCUGGGCCUGGAGGAGCUCUGGGUGGUCGGGGUAGUGGUACAAGAACUUUUCGUCGAUGUCCUCCUCCAUGAGGAUGCGCGAGAUGAAGGUUAGCGCGAGGUCGUCCGUGGAGGCCGGCGGGUCCUCUUCGCUUGGCGUCGGAGGAAGGUCGAGGAAGACGGAGGGGGAGAACGGCUCAGGCUCGGGGCCCCCCUGCACCGGGAACUCCUCCGGCGUGCCGGCCAUGCCUGACUGUCGGUAAAAAUCGAAGCUUUAUCCGGUUGAUGAUGACGAUUAUGGUAGGUUUGCAGUGGAGAAAACAUGGAGACGAUGGAAAGGGACCAAAUUGGGAUAGCGGCGGUGGAGGGUAGAAGAUUGCGUCGGAGGGGACGGGGUAAAGUCAAGCAGGGAACCUUCGUGGAAGGCGUCGGAUACGACUGCGGCGGCGGCAGCCACAGUGGAGCCAUUGGAGCACAGUGGAGCCAUUGGAAUGUCAGUUGCCCUACAGUAGUAAGGUUGAUGGAAGCGAGGCAACCGAUUAGCGACUAGCGAGUGGGGUCACGAGUGUCUUUGCAAGUGACCACUGACCAUGGACAGAAUAAAUACCAUUGUGGAGGUCAUUUUAGUUCUUUGAACGGAGAAUUUUGGUAUUUUGAAGGUAGCGAUUUUUCACAAGAAACGUGCUGGCUAAAUUUUUUUUGGUUUUUUGAACAUUAGGACCGAAAUGUGGCACCGACAAUAUAGUGAUCUUGAGUUUGGAUACCUGAAAAUUUAUAGAUUGGUCUCUGAAGUGACCGUUGAAUCGCUGAUGUAGAGGCCCUCCAGGUGGAGUUUGAAGUGCAGCACUCAUCACAAACCUUUUGACCACAAGCCCACAACGGCUGCCACUCGAUCUCCUUCCUCUUCAGCCCGCUGCUCGUGCUCCUCACAUUUGUUGCUCAUCUGCAGAUCCAUCGCCCAGCAUCAGGGUUGAGGAGUUGAAGUAUGGAGUUGGAAUCCUAGACGAAGGGAAGGGUCAAGGGGGGAUGGGGAUUGGACUUUGGGUCCGGCCCUGUUUGGCUCGCUGAAAUUCGGCCAUUGUUGAUGUUGAUGCUGUGAGAGAAAAACAAUAUUUCUACGCUAAAAAGUGGUGAGGUCGAGGAUGAGAAAGUGGUGGAGAGCACUGCCCUGUUUACUUGAAUACCCCAAUGUCGCAACCUUCACCAGAACCAAACAAGAGACUGGAAAACAAGACUUCUGUUUUUUUAGAUUAAGGAAUAAAGGUUCCAGCCUUCACAUUCAUGAAGAAUGCUUAAGGCUUAAGCUUACACGAAAGGGACUAAGCCCCAUUUUUCACUAUGCGGCCAAAUCUGACAAAAUUCCACUAAUAAAAAAACUUGACAAGCACAGAUGACUAACACAACAGAAGAUAAAACAAAACAAAGUGACAUAUCUCCACAGAACAAGAUCCACCAGCCAAACCUAUGCUCCCAGCUUCAGAAUAGGUCAGAGCAAAACGGAUGCCUCGGCAAACAUGCACCGCCCGGUAUUGUGGGCAAUUUGAAAAACAGGUGCACGCCGGGUAAAAUGGGAUGGAGGGAGUAGUUUGGAAGGCAUACGUUCAUGUGUGACAUGUCCAAGCGACAAAACAGCUACUGUGACAGAUUCGAGAGAGAGUUAAUUUCCUUCUUUAUCUUUAGCUAGCAAGAAAUUAGUAAUGGAUGGAAGAUCAAAUACAAAGGCUGGAAGGGGCGCAUAAUUUGUGUCAUGUCAACAUGGGUUUGAUGAUGCUUUCUCAAAACAUUAACUGUUUUUCUUCAUCCAUUCUGGGAGUGAGGUAAUGAUAUUUCGCAUGCUUGGACGAAAGACGAAAUUACUAACCUAAGUUUAAGUAUGCAGAUAUUGUCAUGUAAUGUAAAAUUAUAGGUUCAUUUAGGUGGCCUAGUAGGUAGGAUCUACCAUAUUUCUCUAUCUGUUGAUGUACUCUCUCCGUCCACGAAAGAAUACAAUUCUCUUAUUUCGAGAAGUCAAACAGUUUUAACUUUGACUACAAUUAUAUAAAAAUGUGCUAAGAUAUAAAAUAAGUAUCAUCAGAUUGAUUAUAGAAUAUUUUUUAUAAUAACUUUAUUUUAAGAUAUAAAUGCUAAUAGUAUUAUUUACUAUAAACUUGGUUAAAGUUAAGAUAAUUUGACUGACACGUUUUUUAUAAUUAUAUUCUUUUUUAGACGGAAGAAGUACAUCUGUGUCUGUUGAUGUACAACAAACUGAAAAAACUUGGGGUUUUGUUUUCAUGUAUUUGAGUGUUUCUCAUUCUGUAGCUGUCAAGCAAUUUCUUGUGAAGUUCACUUUCUGUCGUACCAUAAGAUUUCGGGUGCUUCCCUUGCGCAUCUGGGAGUGAUUGGUUAUUCAUUAAUGUUGCAUUGGUUAUUCAGUGGGAGUGAUUGCUUCUCUUGUUUAAAAGAUUCAUCUCGUAAAAUAGUCACAAUUUGUAUAAUUAAUUAUUUUUUAGUCUACAUAUAAUAUUUCAUAUGCGCCAAAUAUCGAUGGGAUAGCGCCUAAACUUUAGGCUAGAGAAGCUCGGUGUGGUGUAGCUAGAGAUAGCAACGGGUAUAAACCCGCUGGGUUUUAUUAGCCCAAACUCAUAUCCAUGAACAUAAAAUUUGCCCGCUAAAAAACUCAUAACCCAUGACGAGUUUAAUUUGGUGCCCAGAUCCAUGCCCAUCGAGUCAUGGGUACUCAUCAGGUUGUCCAUGACAUCCACAUAGCAACAAAGAAAAAAAUACAACAUAAAAAUCAUGUCUCAGAACAUGAAAUUGUAUUCAUUCUUCUUGAAUAGACCUAUCAUCUUAUAUAUGUUUCUGAACAUAGUAGUUUAGUAGAAGAAUUUAGGAUAUUGUGCAGUGAUAUGAUUGCUUCACUGUGAUGGAUCGGGUUUUAAAAACUCAUAAGGUUUAUGGGUUUGGGUACUACAUCCCCAGACUCAUGCUCACAAAUCCAUUAGGUCUAGAUUUUUAUCCAUCAACAAACCCAUGGUAGAGAAAUUGCCAAUUCCCUGGUGUUUCGAUAACUGGCUGUAUUUAGCCUGGCCAAAGAAGUUUGCAUUUGUUGCUAUCUCGCAUUGUUGCUGGCUCACAUGCGAUGUGGUGAGUUUAACAUCACUUCUAACCCCACUCUUUUCUCAGCUAGCAUAAAACAACUCGCAUUCAGAGUGAAGUGCCAUACAACGAUGAUGCUAUUUGGGUAAACAUGGAAAUAGGCAAAGCAAUGCAACGAUCGUAUGAUGACAUUUCUUCUUUCAGCAUUUCUUACCAACUGAAAUUUCAAAAAUACCAUCACAACAGUCGCAAUUUUUUUAUUGUCACAUCUCAGAACCAAGGUGUUGGCAACCUAAAGUUCUACAUGACACUACAUUCUGAGAACAAGCAAACAAUCAGAAACUCAAAGUUCAAGCGAACCAACAGCAACAUUUCCAAUCCUUCUCUAAUCUCUCUUGAAUCAACCCAAGCAGCAGCUAGCGGCUUCCUUCACCACUGAACCCAAUCAACAGCUCCAUCCCCCAAUUUCUCUCAAUCUACAAUCCAGUACCCUUUAUGUUUCCCCAAUUCAGAGCAGGCUGUCAAGCAAACAGAGUUUCAGACUGCCGUUCAUAUGUGGGCAGUCGGAGGUGGCCAGCCCGCCGGGAGCGGCUGUCACUCGGUCAUCGGCGUUGGCGUCUCGCAGGGGGUCCGCUGGUCCAGGUACAGUUCUAGCUCCAGCAGCAGGCACUGUGGGCUGUCACUCGGUCAUUGGCAGGGGUCCGCCAGUCCAGGUCCAGUUCUAGCUCCAGCAGCAGGCACUGUGGGCUGUCACUCAGUCAUCGGCGUUGCUGUCUGGCAGGGGGUCCGCCGGUCCAGGUCCAGUUCUAGCUCCAGCAGCAGGCACUGUGUCGAGACCCGCCCAGCCAUGGCAGUUGCGAGGUGGAGCCUGUGCCAUCAGUCAUCAGCAAUUCAGUAUGUACUGACCAACACCGCUUCCAAAAAUCCAAAUAACGUUGAAUUUUCCUAGAAUAUGUCCAUUCAUCAUCUCUUCGUCAACCAGGAGUACAAUAUACAUUACAUAAUAUAAACUGAUACGCACAACUCAGAAGAGAAACCAUACCCAAAAAAAAUAGGUCAGCCAUCAGCCCGUCAGUGUCACUUUGGAUCGACAGACGUCUAGGACUGAGUAGUUCCCCAGCUAGCGCUGGUCGCCAGCUCCUCCACUCCCAGGCUCCCAGCUGCUUUGCUUGCUUCCAUGUACAGUGACUCAUCUGCUCAACUCAAGCUGAACCCAUGCUGGACACUCACACCCAAAGCGGAUGGAGGCCUUAGCACAAGCAAAUCAAUCCCUACAUCAGUAUAGUAUGCAACUGGAUUCUGGAUCUGUAGAAUGAUCGUCUCCUCUCACUACCUUCUACCUUCUACCUUACAGUUUACAAACCUAAAAUUGCCUGAGUGAUAUUAAUAGCAAGCCACUGCUAUCUGGAUAAGGGGCUGCACUGCAACAGCCAGAAUAGCUGCUUCCCUAAGAUCAGAAGAAAGAACCCCUGAACCAACCAAACAUGAAGAAGUGCCGCCAGGCCUACAUAAAUAGGUCGACAGAGCUCAAAAGCGGAGUUGAUAGUCACAACUCACAAUCCCUGAAUAAGGUUUUCCAAUGACAUCCAGAGGAACCUGGACCUGGAAAUUAAGAGUAACAAAACUUCAGUGCAUAACUGCGGGCAUGGGCUGGUAUCAUGCAUACAGCAAUCGUAUGAACAUGGUGUAAGUGCAACCUUGCCCUGUAAAAUACUUAUACCAGCCCAGGACAGGACCGCUACCCAGCUCUAAUGUUCAACAUUUGAGAAAAAUAAAAUACAUGGGAGAUGCACUGGACUACUUCUGCAGAUAACAUGCAUCCUCUUGCCACAAGUGCCAGCAAGAGCAAUAAAACAAAGGAAAUUGUUCCAAAUAGUAGGCAUGACACACACAAAAGAAUUUUGCAUGUACAUUGCAUACCUUAAUAUCCUUCAGAAGUUCAGAUGUUCUUGGCACCACCAAAAGUUGAAUUGGGGCGUAUUGCAAAUGCAGACAGAUCCUGCUGAACAUAAGAAAAGCAAGGGCAAAUAAGUUCAGAGAGCAUAUCAAUUUUGUUGCACCUACAUCCAUAAUGCCUAACUAAACUCCAUACCCAUAUUUUUGCUACAGUUAGUGUUGUCUGCAUCUUUAUUUGGUUCUGUUAUCUCUCAGGGUCUUGCCAACAGUUGACCAUGCAUUAAACUUUCCAUCAGCGACAUGAAGAGCUCCGGUCCUAAAUUUCUCUAAAAGAAGACCACUGAACCGAUCUACCAAAUGAAGCAUCUUUUUUCACGAGCCACAAGUUUAUUAUUUUCUUGGAGUUUAACAUAUAGUGUUGUUAUAAGUUAAAAAGAAAAUAAAAGAAAUAGUCUGCUAUUUGGGGUAAAGAUCCUUUUUAGCGACAUAACGUGAGGCUUUUCCACACCAACUUGGUUCAGAAGUUCAGAGCUCAGCUGCUGCAAUAUCUAGAGUUCAGAUCAUCAAUUUGUUUCAGUUCAGUUCAGAGUUAAACUUGCUAUGUUGUUGCAUGUCUCCCAGAAUCCUGUUGCCGUUGUGUUACAUUGUGUGAACGGUGUUGCUGCUGCUUUCUGUUGGUUGACCUUAGUGGCCAUGUAUAUUGUGACUUCCUCAGCUUCAAGGAUCCUUCAGACAUGAUUUGCCAAAGUUCUUCAUUGUUCCUCAUGUGUGACACAGCGCACUUUGGGGUGACAUACAACCAUCAAGCUUAAACUAUGGCCACCAUCACCACUUAAAAAUGAGCUAUUCUGGAGUUAGAAGGUGGCAUGUACAAAGGGCCAAGGACUGUUCACACAGAAAGCGGUGCCCACAUUGCUAACGCAGGUCAACAUUUUAUCUAUACUUGAUAUAAAAGUGGAGAGAGACCUCUACAAAGAGAACCCACCCACCCACCGCCUUCUGUCAGAUCACAUUGAUCUUUUGCAAGGUGAAAGAAACAUUUUCAGGUCAGUCUGCUGAUGCAAGUACCUGCGGUGUGCAAAGGGGCACUGUGUGCAUAUUUGGAUGCAUGUACAUCUGGUUUGGUUGGAUAGGGGCAUUUGGAAAAGUCUGCGGAACCUGAACAUGAAGUAUGUAAGUACAAUAUCCAUUAAAUGCCAAAAAGAAAAGGAAAAAAAGGAACUUUUUCUAUGUACCUGAUAGUAAUAUGGUCUUCCAAUGGUUGCAUUACCCUGAGCAUCUUGUGAAGAUUGAAAUUGAUGCUCAUUAGUUUGGACUAUCAGCUCCAGAUCAGUUGAGGAAACUCCUGGGGCUUGUUUUGCUUUUUCUGCAUAAUAGUGUAUAGUUUGAAUAAAAUGAUACCCUAUGAGGAGGGAGUUUAAAACUGUCACUUACUUGGGUUUGGUCCUUUUGAUGUUUUCUUCUUCUUUUUCUCAUUCUUAUUAGCAUCCUUUGCUGCUUGAGUGCGCAUGUUUCUCAUUUCAAAGAAUACUUCCAGUGCCUUCUCUCCAGUUUCAAGGGAAUCCCAGAAUAUUUUUCUUGAUUCUUCCAAUUCCUGGCUCUUUAUAAUUAGGUUAUAUGCAUACUGCAUUGCCCGAUUGCGAUAUGCAAGUUCAGCCUCUGUGCAUUCCUGUUGGGUUGAAUCAUCCUGAGCAAGUGUAUACAUGCUUCUCCUGGCAUCUUUUGUCCAGCGUUUCAAAACAUACUUUUCUGGAAUUGUGUCCACAUUCUGCAGGGUGAAGACUUUGAGGGCAUGCGAACAAAGAAGACCCAUCCUUUCAAACUUUCUACAACCACAACUGAUCUCCAUAGUGGAAGUGUCAAGAACAACAUCCCAUACUUUUGAACCCCUUCCCUGCAUUGUAAUUCCAAACCUCAAUAAAUUUCCACCACUCGAAGUUUCGUGGCAAGAAGUUGCUCCACACCCAUCCAGAAAUUCUGCUUCAAAUAAUUUGUAGAUCCUAUGUGUAUAUGAUUCUGCAGCUUGCUUCAGAACUGUACUGUGCUUAAUUGCACGGACUGGAGCAGUUUGGCUACAGCGAAAAUCCUCUUCAGAUUCAUUUCUACGUAGAUCCUUGACAACCUUUUCUAGCAAAAGGGCAAAACGUGUAAGAGAGGUAUUUUCAUCAGAAAUUCCAUUGAAAAUAUUACUUGAAACCUCCCCCCACUGAGAAGAAUUAAUUCCACCAUCAAAUGUGUCUUUGUUAAAUGCUGAACACCAUUUACGAUGGAAUGCAUAAAGGUCAAUCAACCAGCUAUUAUCCUGUAGCUUGUAUUCCUGGAUCAUUGCAGUCCAUGAUUCCUUAAAAUCCUCUUCUGAGUCGGAUCCUUGCAUACACUUGGUAAACAUACUUUGAAAUGCUUGAGAUGUAUUUAGUGAGCCUAAAUGAGAUUGUGCAUUCUUCACAAUAUGCCAGUAGGAAAAGCAAUGUUGUGUGUUAGGGAAAACCUGUUCAACUGCCUGCAUAAUAGCUUCAUCCUGAUCAGUGAAUAUUGAUUUUGGCGAUCGGCCUCCCAUUGACUCCAAGAAUGAUUUAAAUACCCAGGCAUAGGAAGUUACAGACUCGUCUAACAAGAAUGCGCAGCCGAAAACAACAUUCUGCCAAUGGUGGUCAACACCAACAAAUGGGGCACAUAUCAAGUUAUAUUUGUUUGUGCGGUAGGUUGUGUCGAAUAUAAUGGCAUCUCCAAAGCAGCCAUAAUCAUUUCUACUUUUACCAUCUCUGUAGAAGAAGUUAGUCAUGCGCCCUUCUUGAUCAACUUGGACAUCCCAAUAGAACAUGCCUUCCUCAUUAGUUCUACGCUUGAAAUAGCUGACAAGACUUUGGCUAUCCCCUGCCUCAAUUAUCGUUAUAUUCUGCAUGCACACUUGAUUGUAACAUUCCCUUAUAGUAUACCCUGAAUUCUCAGCUAUAUCACCUGUCAUAUCAGAGAAACCAUUGAUUGGAUGUGACUCUGUAGAUGCUGAUGGAUCUAUAACACCUGAUUUGCCAACAGCAAGCGAUUUAGCUGAUCUCAGCAUGUGCCUUUCUCCAGGUUUCGCCAACUGGUGAUUAUGUACAGGAACAAAGCGUAUAACUGUCCAUCGCCCCUUCUCGUCAACUCUAAAGCGGAUCAUUGCUUUGCAAUUAGUUCUUGUGUCUGGUCGAUUAAAAUUUGCUUCUGUAACAGGCUCAUCAUAUUUAAGCCCUUCCUUUGAGCAGUAGUAAUCCUUUGUUCGAAUAUUCUUGGUACCAAUGAAGUAAGACUGUUUGCCCUUCCGCACGCUGAAACCGAUUCGAUGCCCAUAAUCACAGUACAGCCUGUAUGCCUCUUCCUCACUAUGAACAACACAACCAAGAAGCUCUUCUGUUGCCUCCUUACGGCUCAAAGCAUUUCCAUAGUCAGCCGCCUUUUCAGCUUCUUCACCAUUCUCCCUUCUUUGAUGGCUUUCUUCUUGGGAAUCUUGACUACAGUCCAUUUCUACUCAGCUAGCUCCAUCAAUAUUUACAAAGACAGCAUCAGAAGUGGUUCCACACCUCCAGUAAACUGCUGCGAAUCAACAUUCAUAUAUACCUUGUAAAUUGCAUAAAUUAAAACAUUUGGUCUCAUAAUUAUGGGGGAAAAGAGAACGAUUCUCUGUUCUACAUAGGAUGUUGAUUACAUCAAUAAUAUCAAGACGGUGCUAGUGGAUGGCCUUGUGCUGCAACAUGACAUGACGCCUGAAUUCUAAACUCUUACUUUUUUUUAAUAACAAAACAAAAGAAGGCUUACAGCUAAGCUCUAAUUCCAUCGUAUCAUCAAGAGAAGAAGGCAAAUUGCUAAACCCUCGAGCAGGGGCGGACCCGCUAAAAGACACCAAUAACUUCAUCAAAACAAUCGAAUUUCUUAGGUACAUAAACUUGUAAUUAGAUCAGAUCCGAAUACAAAUACCCAAAUAAAUUAAGUUAGGGUUCGGGGUACUCGGUUUCUCACAGCAGGGAGGGAAGAGAGGGGUGCGCAUACCUAGUGGGUAUUGGUCGCCGGCGAAGGGCCUGAACGCGAAGGAACCGAUGAGGAUAGACCCAAGCACGUGGCGCAGAGCAGCCGGCCGCGGUCGCCUAGUUGCGCCACGAGAGCGCCCCCCGCGCGCAAGCAAAGUAGUCGGGAGAGGAAAAGGCAGGAGUGGAAAAAGAUGGUUCUGGCCACUCCCGUCCACGGAGGUGAUUCGGGAGGCGAUUUCCGCCGGAGUAGCCGGCUCCGGCCGUCGCUCCAGAGUCUGACGAGAGCAAAGCUCUGAAACGCUGGCUCCAGGAGGAAGAACGAACCGUUAUCGUGGGCCUUUUGGUGUGUUUGGGUUGGGCCUUGCGUUUUGUAUAGACCAUCUCGUUUAGGCCUUGUUUAGUUCCCAAAAAAUUUUGCAAAAUUUUUCAGAUUCCCCGUCACAUCGAAUCUUUAGACGCAUGCAUGGAGUAUUAAAUAUAGAUAAAAAUAAAAACUAAUUGCACAGUUUGGUCGAAAUUGACGAGACGAAUCUUUUGAGCCUAGUUAGUCCAUGAUUGGAUAAUUUUUGUCAAAUACAAACGAAAAUGCUACAGUAUCGAUUUUGCAAAAUUUUUUGGAACUAAACAAGGCCUUAGUCAUGAGGCCCAUCUCACGUUGCCUCGAUUCGUCAUCUCAGGCCUUGUACAGUUUGCGAAAUUUUUUAACUUUAGCUAAUGUAGCACUUUCGUUUGUAUUUGACAAUUAUUGUCCAAUUAUAGAUUAACUAGACACAAAAAAUACGUCUUAUAAAAUAUAGACAAAUUAUGUAAUUACUUUUUAUUUUUAUCUAUAUUUAAUGUUUCAUGCAUGGGUACAAAAAGUUUUGAUGUGACGAGAAAUCUUAAAAAAAAAUUGGAACUAAAUCAGGCCUCACCGCGCCUUGUUCGUUUGGCUGAUAAGUGAUAAGUCAUGGCAGAAAGUACUGUUGACUGAUUUAUUGUGAGAGAAAAAUACUGGUGAAUGGCUGACAUUUGGAUGAUAAGCCCAAACGAACAAUACUGCUGGGGGUGUUUGGGACUGCUCUGCUCCACGUUUUUCAGCUCCACUCCACGUUUUUUAGCUAAACAGUUUCAACUCCACGCACUCAAUUCGAGUAAAAAGGGUGGAGUUAUGAGAGCACCUAAAGAGAUACUCCACAAACUCCAGUUUUUUGUAGAGCUGCUCCGCGAUGGAAUUUGUGGAGCAGAGUUUGUGGAGCAGUCUCAAACACCUAUGUGCAGAACUUUUGGAGUUCCCUCACAGAAAAAAAAAUCGUAUACGUCUUUUGGAGAGCUGCACCCGUCGCAGAAGUUCUGCCAUGCGGUGAUCCGGCGAGCCUAACGAAAGGUUGAGUGAGGCUCUUGUGCAAGUUGUCGCCGUAGUUGUUGGCUUCAGUCUCGUUUAGAUGCGAUUUUUUUUUAUUUUAACAAUGUAGCACUUUCUUUUUAUUUGAUAAAUAUUAUUUAAUUAUAGAGUAACUAGAUUUAAAAGAUUUGUCUCACGAUUUAUAGGCACACUGUAUAAUUAGUUUCUAUUUUCAUCUAUAUUUAAUUUAAUGCUCUAUGCAUAUGUCGAAAGAUUACAUCCUUAGAAUUUUGAAAAGUUUUUGGCUGAACUAAACAAGGCCUUCGUCGUGCGUUUUUGGAGAGAGAGAUAGAGGUGGGUGUUUUACGGUGGUGGACAUGGAUAAUAACCUUAACCUCCUCAAUUGGUAUAGCUGGUCUACCCACAUGGUUUGCCUAUGGACCUGUGGUUGUUACGCACAAGUCUUUGUUUUAAGUUCCCUCUGUCCGUACAGAAACCACACUUGCUUCUUGAGUCCAUCUAGCCUCUGCAACACAUCCCCGGUCACCAGCCACCAUCAAUUGCCGGAGCUCUUCAAUUUCGACGUGUAGGGUACUAUGAAAAACGUAUAUACCAUCCGCACUUCAAUUUUGAUGGGACGGCUGGGUUUGUAAUAUUAAUAUUUUUGUUCAUAAUUAGUAUCACUAAAUGCAUCUUUGAAUAUAUAUUUUAUAAUAAAUUUAUUUGUAGAUAUAAAUGUUAUUAAUAUUUUCUAAUCAGCACAUAUCCAGAUAUCCUAUAGUUACAUACUUUUUCGGGACAGUUUUUCUAUUAAAUAAACGAACGCAACAGUUUGACAAGUUUUGAAUGGAACCUGUCAAAUUUCUUUGAAAUGCGUUCAAUACACCUCUAGUGGCUACUGCAGCUUUUUUACUCAUGUAUGUACGACCUUCUUUAGCUUUUUGGUUAGCACGAGUUUUUUUUUUCUGUCCUUAUUACAAGAUCGACGACACGGAUGUUCAUACGGUAUCUAUAUUGACAUUCAGCCUACUAUUAGGGAUCUCUCAACUCUCAAGAACAAGUUCUCACUUUUCUAUUUUUGCAAAAUCUUGCAAUUUUGAACCGAUUUUUUGUCUAUGUGAACAUAGAAGUAAUUUUCUUGCACUUGAUCUGUAAAAUAGGACAGAGAUACAACCGCACCUGGCCCUUGCACCAUCUGGCAUCUUUUGGCCGUCUUCUGCCGCUGGCGCACAAUCCAAUGAACCAUUUUUUUUUUUGUUCAUACAGAAUCCAAUGAGCUAAGUUGGUGUAGCAAUCCAAUCCAAUGAACUAGAUAAGAGUUAGUGCUAGAUGCAGCAAUUCUAUUUCAGUUUCAGACUGGGCACAGCCGCACAGGGCAACUAAUAUAAUGUGUCAAAUGGAGCUAAAGCAUCGAAACUAGGUGGACAUUCGCAAGACAAGGCAAGAUUUAGAAUACUCAGAUUAUACAUUUUGGCAUCUCUGGAUUGAAAUUCUUGUGUACUGUAUGUCGCGAGGAACACGGAACUCCGUUGCGUUUGUGCUAAUCAGGAAUUACAGGCAGAGUGGACAGCAGGAAAAUGAGAAAAAGAAUUAUAUAUAGCAGGAGCCCCGCACCACACAAGUCACAAGGGCUCAGGCGAGGGCUUCGGCACCGGCGACGAUCUCGAGGAUCUCCCCGGUGAUCUUGGCCUGGCGCUGUCGGUUGUAGGCGAUGGAGAGGUUCUUGGCGAGCUCGAUGGCGUUGUCGGUGGCGCUGCUCAUGGCGCUCAUCCGGGCGGCGAGCUCGCUGGCGAGCGACUCCUGCAGGGCACGGAGGAUCUGGCUGUUGAGGUAGAGCGGGAGCAGCGCGUCGAGGAUCUGCACGGGGUCCUGCUCGAACUGCACCACGGGGGAGAAGGGCUGCGUCUCGAUCUUCACCUUCUCGCGCUCCACGGUGAGCUUGCCCUCCUUGGUGGUGAGGCGGAAGAGCUCGUCCUCGGUGGCGUCCACGCAGACGCCGUUGAUGUCGCAGAUCUCGCCCUUGGGGGACAUGGGGAGCAGCGUCUGGAUGAUGGGGUCGGAGCGCACCAGCGACACGAACUUGGAGUAGAGCAGCUCCACCUUGUCCACCUCCUCCGAGACGAAGAGCGAGUAGACGAGGUCGCAGAUGGACUGCGAGUCCUUGACGGUGGGCACGCCGUUCACCUCCAGGUCCCGCUCCAGCGGGAUGUAGGGGCGGCGCUGGAAGUAGGCGUUGCCUUUCUUCCCCACGCUGAUGACGCUGUACUGGAGGCCCAGCUGCUUGAGCUCCUCGAUGCGGGCCUCCGCCUUCUUGAGCACGUUGUUGUUGAAGCUCCCGCAGAGGCCGCGCUCGCCGGUCAGGACCACGAGCGCCACCUUCUUGACGGGGCGGGUGCGGGUGAGGGGCAGGUCGAUGUCCUCCGUCUGGAUCUCCUGGUUCAUGUUGUAGAGCACCUCAACCAGCGCCUCCGAGAAGGGGCGGGAGGAGACGACGGCCUCCUGCGCGCGCCGGACCUUGGCGGCGGCCACCAGCUUCAUGGCCUCCGUGAUCUUCUGCGUGUUCUUGACGGAGUCGAUGCGGGUGCGGAGCUCGCGGAGGGAGCACCGCACCACGAGGCCCGAGCGCGGGGCGGAGCUUCCGCGCCGCUGGGUGGUGGAGGCGCUGCUGGCGAGCGCCGAGGAGGACCAGGCGGUGGAGAGGUGGGAGCACGACAUGGCUGCUGCUGCUGGUCCGCGGCGACGGGGAUCACCAGCGGGCGGCGGCGCGCGGGGGGGAAGCAGAAGAGACAGACAGGGGCGGGGACGGAACGGGAGGGAGGGAAAUGGGUUUGGAAGGAUUGGGUUUGGGUGGAGAGGUGAGCACGGUGGGGUAUUCAAGCCGAGCUGAGUGGUGGAGGGGCAGUGACGGCGAGAUGGGGAGGAUCAUGUGGCUCCGCCGAGCUGGCUGCACCCCCUGCAUACCGCUGACGCUCCACACUUCAUUUUUUGAUGAAUUGUCGGGAAUGAAAAACCAAAAAUAAUGCUAUGGCCUCUAGUUCCACAAAGGAUAGUGGGAUCCUGCUCAGGAUAUCCCACCUUAAACAACAGAUACUCUCUACGACCACAAUUUGGAGGAGCUCUUGCCCAUUUCUACAGGAAUCGAAUUAUUUCCACUGAAAUCCUGAAUAAUUUAUGUGUUCAAAAAGGAACCCAAGUUUAAGGCCUGUCCCGAACACAUCAAUUUCAUCACAAUUCCGAGAUAAAAAUGGAACUUUGAUGAUUCAAUCUGUUGAGUUGAAUUCACUCGUAUAAAAAAACGGCUCACCUAAACUGAUGCAAAGUUCAUGCCAAAAGAAGUAGAGACUGAUGAAAUUGGUAUUUCAAGAUAAAGCAAGGUACUCGAACAAGCACACAGACUGAGUGAUACAUACAAGUACAAAAUAUCAGGAUUAAGGGGAUGCAACCAAUUCUGGGAAGUAAAAGUUGAACCUCAGGGUACAACGACAGCAAUGGUACUGAUGACAUCCGCGUAGCCUAAUCCCUUGCAGAUUGAGCAUCUUUCCUUGGUGGCUUGUAGACACUGAAGUCACCGAAAUCCCGCCGUCCACUGCACCACACAAGAGGACAUACAGAUAGCAGUAAAUAUCUGGUGAUGAAAGGAAAUCUGGACGAAAAACAUCGCGACACAGAAAGAUCUUUUGAAGUCACUGGUACAUGGCUAAAACUUCACAUACAGCUUGGUAAAUUCAAGAAAAGGCAUAUAUGAAUGGCAACUAACCUGUGGUUAAUAUUCCAGCCAGAAGGUAAAUAACGGGGGUGAACAGCUUCAACAAAGAUCUGCCUCCAUCUUUGGCAGAACUGGUUAAUAGCUUCUUCCCCACCAUUUGAAAGCAAAAGUUCCACAACUUGUUUACCGUGAUGCCCAUGACCCAACAGGGAAAUCUUCUUCUCAGCAUUCUUGGAAAUGGCCUGGCUAGAAUUGUCGCGGAUGGAUAAUUCCCUGUCGACAUGGCUGUUUCCAGGAGUGCAGGUGCCUCUUGCUUGCUGCUUGGUAUCUGUCUUGAGUGUCACAGUGUCAUGAUCAAAAGUGGUGUCCUCCAUGCUGACUGGCAAACUUGAGCCAACCUGGCUCAGGGUUAAAUUCUCUAGCUGGUUUUGACUCUCUGUCUCGUCAAACUCCUGUUGACCAUUACUCUCAGUUCCAUCCUCAGGAAAUCGCUCAGAUAAGGAAUGAGAAUUUUCUGAUCCAUGUCCACUGUCUUCUGAGAUGGUAUUGCUGCUGCUCUUUCUAAUAAUAUUUUGAGCCUGAGCUCUGAACGAAUAGCCCUUUUUCUUUUCCAGACGCCUUCGCUCAUGAGGACUCAUACCAACAAGUAAUGCCACCUCGAGAUCUUCAGGAGUCACAUCCCUACCACCAUAAUAUGACUUCACAAUCUGCAAAGAACUGAACUGAUCCAUAACAGAGAUCUAUAGCUAAGAACAAGUACAUAUUUAACAAGGAAAGAAUAUGGACGGGUAGGAUAAAACAGGUAUGUUAAUACGUCAAUGCCAAAGCUCCCGAAACUGUGAAGUACUACAUAUUGAGCCAGAAAUACUAAAAGGAUGCCAUCACCUGCAUUAGCUCUUCACAUCUCUUCAAUGGCAUGGUGGAUCCAUGCCGUAGAAGAGCCAUGGCAGCGGUCCUCAGCUGCAAUGGGGAGACACCUGUUCCAUUCAAUUUAUCUUCAGAUACUGAUGUGCUCGUAAUCAAACUUAUAUCACCCGAGUUCAUUAUCUUUUGCACAAAAAGGGGUAUUCCAAAUUCUUCUGCUAUUCGCCUCUUGUAUUUCUCAGCUGCUGAAUGAGCAAUUUCAUGACAGUCUACACAAAGAAGUACAAUAUCAUGUGAACGAUGGCUCUUCAGAUGUUCUGGAAAAUGCAUCCUGUAGCAUGAUGGUAUUAUUCUGUAUCUAAUAUAAUGGCUCUUUUCUCCACAGCCAACACAAAUAUUUUUCUUGCUCUGAAUAUAGAACUCAUUAUCUUCGUCCUCUGGACGACCUUUAGGUUCAAAGAGAAGCAUGAUUGCUGGAGGACUAUCUUCAAUCAAUUUCGCCAAAUUACGUUGAACAUACCUGGGAAUGGGAUAGAAGAGCUCGUCAGUUUGACAAAAUACCUCUUCAUUCAUGCUACAUGCAUGUAAAUAGUUAAUGGGUGUAUAUUUAAGAGACAAACCAUUCCAAUUUUUUGUGGUCACAGUAGCAAAGUAGUCUUCCAUCACUAGCAUAAAUCCUGCAAUUGUGAUAUACAGGGGACUUGCAGGAGAACUUUUUAAUGAAUAAAUCCCGUGAAGCCUUUUUAUUAGGCGGUGCUGUCAGCAACUUUUCUCCACUUGGAGCAAAAGAAAACAUAUUUGUUUGCUUCAAACUUAGGUGUGUUAUAAGGUUAUAAUUAUAAACUGACAGUCGACAUAAUCCACUUGGAUCUUUAUACUUCUCCAGUAAACUUUUAAAGAUGCCUUCCAUGCUGGUAGUGAUGUCAUCUAGCAGAUAGCAAAGUUCUUCAACAUGAGCGACCACAAGAGGUGACGGUGAUGACAAGGAAGGGUACAUACUUGAAAUGCUUAGGUCAGUUUCUGAUAUGACAGCAAACACCUCUGUUGGGCCUUUUGGAAGACUAACAGCAAGGGCAGCUAUAGCUUGGUCUGACAGAACAUAUCGUAAGCUUUCAUCAUGCAUCCGAGCCUGGAAGGACCCAAAACCCAAGUUAUUAGGAGAUACUAGAAAGGAAGAACAGACCUGCAGCUACAUAACUGCAAAUAUGCAUGACUAUCCUGGUGACCACCAGAUGUCACUCGGGCAAGUUUAGCAAUGGGCACAUGGAAGCAACAAAUGCAUUUCCAGGAAGAACAAAGUGUACAACUUUCUAAGAAAUACUGAAGAUUGUCUGUUUUAACCCUUUAAUAACACGAUGAUGUUCCAAUGUUUGAUCCGGAAUUCAAAGAUUGAUAAAAAUGUUACUACAUCCAGUCAAGAAAAGUUCAUGUUUCAGACAAGUCAGAAACUAGUUUGCUGCUGCUUUCACUUGUCUGAACAUCAAGAUUUGCUGACCGGAGGUAACAACAAAUAAGUAAUUAAAAAGAUUUACUUUGCAGAGGGAGAGGGAGCCAUUUUAAGGGAAAUAGUUUUUUUUUUACUGACCAUUAAGUCCCUCCAUGCACAGAAUUUCCAAACAAGAUCCUGCAGAUGCAGAAGAUUAAAAAAUCAGGAACAGAAAAUACUAAAAUCGUUGGCUGGCAAGCUAACCAGAAGACAUUCUACAAUCAAACAGUGAAUACAUAAAAGAAGCACCUUCACUUCACUAGACUUUUUGGAGUCGAGACCAUGAGUUUGCAAAUUUCGUGAGAGAAUAGAUGCUGCACUGGAAGCUCCAGGAGGACAUUCAAUUUCUUUUGCAUACAGUUGCAUGCAGACCAUAUUUGAGCGAUGACUAGCCUCGAAGAAAAAAUUGAUUUUAUCACUGGAAGUAUCUGAUUAGAUAUUACAGAUGAUCAAAGACUUGAGACAUGUGAUGAAGGCCAAGGGUACCACCGUACCAAUAUGUGAUUUGAUGUUGACAAGAAAAGAGAAAAUAUUUAGGACUAUCCAAAUCUUAUGAGGGUUAAUGUAUCAAUUUCUGCAGUUCAGCAAUAGGAUGUCAUGAGUGCCUCAUCACUGCCAUCUGCCUUUCUUGGUCCCCCUUAAUACUGCUUCCUUUCUUAACUACACAUCAGGAAUAUAUAGAGAUGACACAUUGUGCUUACCAUUCAAAAGCUUAUGUUGACAUUGUGAAAAAAGUUUUUGACACUCAAAAUAAUAAGAAAGUGGCCAUCUAGUUUUCCGCAGGUGAAUAGGAUUGCAUAUGCUUGUUAAUGAAAUACCCCAGCUUACAUAACUCCAUAGUGUACGAUUCAAAGUUCUUUUUCCAUUGAUAGCACAUGCUUCCUAAUUUUAAUUGAUUAUUCACAGUUUACCCAGGAAAAUCCCAAGGCAUGGGUCGAAUAGUGUAAUUUUUAAAAAGGACUCAUCAUUUCCAAGGAUAAUGCAUUUCAUUUCUGAACCCCAGUACUAGCAAGAAGUGUUUCAAGCUGCUAGUGUCUAAGAAUGAAAAACAGCAUCAUCCAACUCAAGAACCAACAAUCCAAAGAACUUUUGUUCUUCAUACCAUGUGAAAUAGUUUAAAAACUUAAUGGAACUAUGACUUCUACACUCUGAGAUAGCAAGUUCAAAUAUAUUAGAUAACUGUGAGGUUACUGAACGGUGAACAAAAAUGAAGCACAAACUAUAGGAAAGGAAAAGCUGAUACAGCACUUAGAACAUACCACAGGCUUUUGCAUGGAGCUCCGAUGCCAAACAAUUUGCAAUGUACAACAGAUAGUGAGCAUCAGUGCGAGCAUACUCAAUCAUUUCGGGAGUCAGAGGACGCAGUCUCCAAUCUUCACGCUGGGGUUUCAAAAUCAAGGUAGGAAGAAACAAAAUGGGAGCGGAUAUCAGGCAAUUGCAAUAUUGGAAUUUUUGAGUUUCCAACAAACUUAUUUUGAAUACCAAAAGAAAUAUGGCUUACAACAUGUAUGUACUUGGUUAUCAUUUUCAAAAGCAUGUCAUCUAUUCAACACCAAACAUAAUGCUCGAUAGCAAGUAAGUUCAAGAAAAUAUCUUUUGUAAAGAAACUUAGAGUUUGCUCAACGGAAGAUAAAUUCAAAGGUGGUGAUCAUGAAUUAUCUUUAUUUGAAUUGAUUAAAACAGCAUGGGAACUAUGCAUUCAUAGAUGCAUGUAAUGACUCCACAUAAUUUAAGAUUUGACAACCAGGCUGUGAAGGAUGUAAAGACCAGUUAUUUGGAAACCAAUCAAAACUAACUGGGUAGGUUGGAGCUAAUGUACGGUGGACAGUUGACCUUAUAAGUUCUCAUGGGUAGUAAGCUACCUUACCUUGUUUAUAUUAAGAUAUAAAUUGAGCAAGUCAGAAUACAAGAUAAACAUAUGUAAGCCAAACAUGCCUUAAAAGUAUGUUUUAGCACUAUGUUUUGAAUAUAAUCUAUAUUUCUAUUCAACAACUGAAAAAAGUGGUAUCCCUGUAGUAAACUCUGACUCCAUGGGACAGCAUGCCAAGCAGACCCUAGAUCUGCUUCUUUGUUUUAUUGUAAUUUACAAUGUGAAAACAUAAUAAAUAGUGUACUCCUCAGUAACCGAAUACACUUUUUUAAGCAUUCUGCCUCAUAUUUCCCGUCCUCUCAUGGAAGCAUGAGUGCAUAAGGUCAACUGGCAUUGGAUAAAUGAGUGGCUUCACUGAACCCGGUACUUUUAAGCUGAUACUGAACGAUUACCUACCUGCAUGGUCUUGUCAGUGGUCACUUCACAAUAUACUUCAAGCAAAUAUGCAAGUGAUUUUUGUGGUUUUGAUAGAGUUUCACAUGCCUGUAAUAAAAUCAGUUGUAAGGCACAAUUAAGAAAAGAUGCACGCAUUCAUAGCAUAGAAAAAACAAACUAAGGAUGUAAAUUCAGAAAUGAAAAAAAAGGACGUUUCACACAAACUUAUCAAAAAAUUGAGUGAGGGGGAAAGAAAUAAAAUUGUUCAAAAACCAAAAGAUUUGUAAGCAUGAUUGUAGCAUGCGAUUAUACGGUGAGCAAAGAUGGUUUUAUAACUAAAAGUUCUGAACUUCUGAUUCUUAACUGCAAUGGCAUUCCACCACAUGAUAUGUUCAUUCACAAAGCUUUUCAUGUUGCAGUUAUGAGGUUGACAUUUCCAUGCUUCAGUAAUAGAAAGUAUAAUCAAUUAUCUGACUGAAAUCUAUUAUAUCACUUUUAAAAGGUGAGUGAAAAAGGAGGAACAAGAACACCACAUCAUCAUAUCAUUUCCCCGCCCUUGGACUAAAUGAACCAUAUAAUCUAGAACCUAAUACUGAAGCAAUCAAUAUCAUAUAGUAGCAUAGUACAAUUGAAAACAACCUGUUUCUGAGAAACCAUGAUAAAAGUAAUAAAGAGGGAGAUAACAUUUUUCUGGAUUGACAUUCUUAGUUAACUAGGUACAGUAUAGGGGGUCUUCCUUCAUUUGUUAAUAAUACAACUUUUUCAAGUGAUACAGUAUUUGUUAAUCAUAUUCCUUUCAUUUCAUAGAGCAGUUACAACAUGCAUACAUGUGAUGUGAUCUACAAAAAGUUAGAAAUGACCCAAAAAAUCACUAAACUACCUGCACAGAAUUGUUCCUUGUGAAAAUGGGGUGUCAAUUUAAGCAAUGCAUGCCACACAACAUGCUGUACCAAAAAGGUCUAGCAAGCAAAUGACAUUAAAUGUGUUACAUACCAGAAAUCUUUGCAGAAUAGAUAAAAUGCGUGAAAAGGAUAUGUUAUGCAGGUACUUACCUUGGCAGUAUCAAACAUAUUCACAACAUAAAUAUGAAAAUCCCUUUGAAGCCAAAGAACAUCAUUGUCAGCUCCAUGGAAUAUCUACAGCAUAAGGCAAAAGAGAAAUGUGUGUAUUUAGGAUGUCCUACACUCCUACAGCUUAUCUUUUAUUCUAGGCUGAGUAAUUGAGGGGCAUAUAAACACAGUAAAGGGAAAAAAUAAUCUGCUGACAUCAGUAGGUCCUACAGCUUAUACCUAUAAUGCAUAUCCGAAAAGUAAACUCAACUACAUUUCAAUGGCAUGUAAAUAGAGUUUGUGGCAGUAUCUUUGCUUGUACUGUAAUAGAGCUUAAAGUUUGCAGUCACCACUGAAAAAUGAAAAUAAAUGGCUUACCACUGGCAGGUGGCAGCAGGUACAAAGAUGUGUUACCUUACAAAUAGAAGAAUUAGCAAAGACUGGUCGUAGAAUGCCCAUCACAUCAUGCAAUGCUAUUGUGUCUAUCAAAUAGUCAUCAUUCUGGGUGGAGAUCUAAACAGAACAAUCUAUAUUAAAAAUAAUAAUAAACUUAUAAAGAAUAGAAUGUUGAGGGUGCACGUGCAUCUACCAGUAAUUACCUGCAUUAGUGCCGUAUAUCCUAGGAAAGACCGAAUGCUAUGUUGCUCUGUAUCAACAGCAAAAGCUCUUUCCUCACCUAAUAAUCUUGCCAGAUGCUCCAGUUGAGCUUCUGUAUCAACCCAAUUAUAUGUAGUACUCAUUUUUGGGCACUGGGCACCCAGCAUAAAGCUAUGGAAAUCAGGGGGGUUGUUUAGCAAAGAUGUGAUUUCUUCCUCAAAUGGAUGAACUUUUUGUGAUGAUUCUGUAUCAAUUAAAAUGGAAUGUCAGAAGAAUUAAAAAGAAUGGGACCAAUUGGGAUAUGGUCUGAUGAGUAAUCAAUACUCUAUAUGCUAGAUAUGCAAAUUUCAUAUCUUACAGCAAAACUUAUUCAAUCAACCAUCCAGCUUGGCUUCCUCGAGUAAAAUAGAUAGCAAUUACUUGAGCAUUCCCUUUACUAACUCUACAUCCCCUUUACUACUAACUCCAAAUAACAGCUUGACUUCCUCGAGAAAAAUAGACAGCAAUUGCAGUACAAAUAUUAAAGUUAGUUGAGUAUUCCAGAGUCCAGAACAUGACAAGCGAUUGCUGUUUCAAAUGGUAACAGCAAUAAUCUAGUCUUCAGUUAAGAGCAUGACCUGGAGCUCUUCUGUAGCUUGUAACACUAUGCUAUUAUUCCACUAUGUGCAUCACUAGAGUAGUAUGAACAAAUAGAAGCACGCAAUAGAACAGCGUUUUCCAUGAAUGCAUAAAGCAGCCACUGACUGGAGAAUGCACAGCGCUGCCCUCAGGUGUUCGACGAAAUUCCUCAGACAGAAAAUCCACAUCGAACUGCAUUCCUCUAAUCCUCUACUAGCCUCCCCACCCAGGCCCCCACCCCCACCCCCCACCCCUGUUGCGUCGCGUAGCUCGAUCCUACGUACCAGGGGCGCCGUGGAAUUCCUAAAACAAGCAAACAACCAUACGAGUUCGACGGCAAUGCCGAGAUCCCCGCAAGCAGGAGCAGGAUUCCAGGAGUGCAUGCGCGCACCUUGAGGAGGUGGCAGGGGUCCCUCGCCUUCUGCACUUCCCGGCUGAGCACUCUGACGACGUAGGUGUUUGAACGGGGAGUAGGAGUUGUCCGCGAGCACGCGCUUGAACCGGGCCUGCGGCUUCUCCUCCUCCUCGCAGGCGCGGCGGGGGCGCCCCCCGACCCCGAGGCGGCGAGACGAGAAGGGCGCCAGGUUCCGGCGUCGCCUGCGGUGUAGCAGCGCCGCCGCGGCGAGGACCGCAAGGCACGCGGCGGCCGCGACGGCCGCGCGCGAUCUGAGGGUGGCGGCGCCUGGCAUGUCGCGACGCAGGCAGAGGCAGUCCGACGGUGACGGGAGGGAGAAGACAGAAAAAGGGUAGCUCGAUUUGGACCGUUUGGACUUCGGAAGGCGCAUGCGCAACCGUGCAAAGGAUCGGUCUAUGUCGGGACCGGACCUGCUGACUCGAGAGAGUGAUAGGAUCACCGAGCCAGAGCGUGCGUCUCCUGUAAGGCCCCGCACGCUACCACGGUUCAACAAAAAAUGAAAAACUCUCGUGGAUUCAAAAUCCAAUAGUACUCCGUAAUUCUUUUUCGUAUCAUCCCUUCUGGAAUAAAAAGGGUUGGAUUUCUAUAAAUCCUACAUAAUGACUUGUUUUAUACAAAUUUUAGAGGAAUUUUGCAAGAGGUUAAACCAGUCUGUUCGUUUGAGUUUAUUAGUCAAAUCAGUAAGCAUUCAGCAGUAUUUUUCUCCCACAACAUCUUUUGUUUUCCAUCAGACACUUAUGUCACUUUUUGAUUGUAACAACAUUAAGUCCAAAGGCACAAAGACCAUAUAUACCUAUCGUCUGUGAGUUGAUUUUUUGUUCUCGCGCCACCUCAUUGCCUCGUGUGUCGCUGCAUUGUGCCCACGCGGGGUUUGCGGGCGCUAGCUUGUGUCACACACUACGGUUGUCUAGCCUGGCGGUUUGGUGUCGUGGUUCGUAAUCAUGGUGUGAUUAUUAUUGAUUCAAUUAUUGGUUCAAUGUGUGGGCCCAUGGUAGUUUAGCACUCAAAACACACAAAAAAAAUUUCCUAGUUCGAGUGUCUAAACCCAGCAUCUAACACCUAGUUCUUUAUGUUAGAAUGCUCAAUCGAGUUCUUACUAUGGAGGUUAAGAGGGAGAGAAGGUAGGAGAGCAUAGCUUGCAGUGAUCUAGGAUUCAAUUUCUUCUACAAGAGCCCCUGUUCUACCUUAUAUGUCGGAGGCUGAGAGGAGUACAAAGAGAGUGGAUUCGGUGGUCCUAGGGUUUCCUAUCCUAAUCUUCGAGUUGCUGGCUAUUGCUGUUCAAGAUUGCGGCAGGGAACCCGCUAGGUGUAGCCUCUGAGCCUCUAGCUGAUUAAGAUAUUGGUCGGUGGGUUAGUUGCACAGUUGUGGUACUAAUCUAGGGAUUUAGGUGAUCCAUUUAUUUGGUACUCAACAAUUGGCAUUGUAACUGAGUAGUGGGCUUUGCAGCAAUGCGGCUGAGCAACCAAACUAAAGUGCACCUUGUCGUGCUAGGCUCCUUAUGUUGGAACACGUUCAGCCGAGGGUUAUAGGGUCACCGGUGGAUCUGAGGCUAACAACGGUGGCAUUUGUUGUACCAUCGGGGUAGCGACAGCAUGGCAGGGGCAGGGUUACUGGCACCGUGCGAGAGAGCUCAAGCCCAGAGAUAGCAAGGCAAAACAUGAUGACACUGCCUUGUUCGUUUGGCUGAUAAAUAAUGGCAGAAAGUACUAUUGACUAAUUUAUUAUGAGAGAAAAAUACUACUGAAUAACUAAUUCAAUUGUGGACCAUACAGGAGGGACCAAUGGCACGACAAUAGAAACUUGAUGUGAUCGCAUAGCCUGACCAUGAUGUUGUCAUAAUGUGGAUGUCAAUCAACCUCCAGAGUGGCGUGCAAGGUGGCGCUACGGUGCAGUACGUGAAUGCUACUACUCACGCACUUAUGAAACACAAAUCCUUGUGACUUUGGAGGUUUUUGAAUUAUUUGCAGACCCUAUGAGCUUUUAUAUCUUAAGGUACUCCUUCCGUCCCAAAAAAAUAUCGUUUUAGAAUUUCAGAUAUCUUGUUUAAUCAUCCAUCUUAUUCAAAAUUUUUACAUAAAUAUUAUAUAUUUUGUUAAGACCUAUUUUAUCAUUAGAGAUACUCCCUCCAUCCUAAAUUGUAAGUCGUUUGACUUUUUUUUUCACCUCAAGUUUGACCACUCGUCUUAUUCAAAAAAUUUGUGCAAAUAUAGUCAAAUUUAAAUCAUUCUUGAAGAACUUUUAUUAAUAAACCAAUACACAACAAAAAUGAUAUUUUGUACAAAACUUUGAAUAAGACGAGUGGUCAAACUUGAUAUUAAAAAAGUCAAACGACUUACAAUUUAAGAUGGAUUGAGUACUUUACUAAUGAUUUUAUUAUACUAAAAAUACAAUCAUAUUUUUUAGCCCCUUUAAUCAAAAAGGCUAGUUCCACCACUGCCGUGGCCCGUGGAGGGGAAUUCGAUUUGGUGCCAGUUUGAACUUUGAAAUAUCACGGGCUAGAGUUUAUGCUUACCCACGGUAUGACUACAAGUGUUUCCCUGCUCAGGUCUGGUUUAAUUUUAUUUUUUUAUAAAAUAGACAGUGUAGCAUUUCGUUUGUAUUUGAUAAAUAUUAUCUAAUUAUAAACUAAUUAGUUUUAAAAAAUUCGUCUCGCAAUUUACAAAUAAAUUAUGUAAUUAAUAUUUUUUUAUUUAUAUUUAAUGUUUCAUACAUAUAUUGAAAAAUUUAAUAUGACAAAAAAUCUAAGAAAUUUUUUAUAAAAAAAUACGAAGGAAACAAGGCCUCAGCUCUGAUGAAUGCCUCGGGCAGCAGAUCACGAUCCCGAGAUCGGACAAGAUGACUACUCCGGCCCCGUGCCGCCGUGGCACUCACUGACUGCACAGUCUGACAGACUGACACGCGCUCACGAAGCGUCCAGAGGCGCUCUCCAGAACGCCCCCCACCUGUCCGCAGUCCGCUGCCAGCGGGCCCCGCGCGCUCGCGCACCUUCUCGCGCGCGGGCGCGGCUGGCGCCUGGCGGUGGGGGUUCGGCUUCCCUCCAAGGCAGCCUUCCUUUCUGCAGGCGCGCAGGCCGCAGGGGCAGCUCCCCGUCUUCUUUAUCACUAGCCGAUCGCCGCAGCGCACGACGAUGUACAGAGCGGCCGCCUCGCCGCUCCGUCACAGCCUCCGCCGCCUCUCCUCCUCCUAUUCCGCGGCUACCCCGCUCGCUGGGGCCGCCCGCUUCCUCGCGCCCUCCUCCGAGGGUCGGCUCUCCGCACUCACCUCGUCUCGCCUCCUCGGGUCGGCGCCGUGCCGGUGCUGCUCAGGCGCCGGGAUCGCCGAGCGGCCUGCGUCUGCGUGGCGCGGACUCGCCACCAUGGGUAAUGCUCCUCAGUACCCUCUUUUCUUGCCAAAAACGAAGUGUUGUUCAACGGUAAAAAGUAAAGAAAGCGGCAAAGUGCUAGUACCAUUUUUUUCGAAUUGAGAGGUGUACGGUGUUGCUCAUCAGGCUCAGCGUUCACUAUUUCUCUUUAUCUGUAUAUAUGUGAGAAGAAGAAGAGUUGUCAUACGGUCUGUGUAUUUUGGGUAGCUCGGAGAUUUGAAGUUGUAUUAGGUGACCGAUCAAGUAGUUCCAAGCAGCCAAAUGUCGCUGAUCAUGUCACCCUUUAAAGUUUAAGGGCAUGUUUGGACCACGGGAAAAAAAAAUCCUAUUUCUGCGUUUUUCUAUGUGAUGAAAUUGACUGAUUCCUGUGAAGUUCUUACGUUCCAAACAGUCCCUAAUAAAUUCUAGAUCUCUAUGGUUUUGAUUCUUUUGAAUUCCUAAUGGUUGUUGCUUGUGGUGUCAUUACCACUCAUUAAUAUUGAUCUCCGUAUGUGACCUUACCUGCAGCUGACGGUAAUAGCCGCUUUGGGCAUGUGCUGACAAGCCUCCCAAAGCCCGGUGGUGGAGAGUACGGGAAGUACUACAGCUUACCAGCCCUGAAUGAUCCUAGGAUAGGUACUUAGCCGAGAAAUGCUACGGUGAAUUUAUACACAAUAAUAUGAAGAUCCCCAAGGAGGAUACGUCAUACCAAGCCUUACAACUUGUAAUUCAUUUAUGCAUUCCGUUUUCAGAAAGAUUGCCAUAUUCUAUCCGGUAUCUACUGGAGUCAGCCAUCCGCAACUGUGACGGAUUUCAGAUUACAGAGAAGGAUGUCGAAAACAUCAUUGAUUGGGAGAAUACUGCUCCCAAGCUGGUGGAGAUACCUUUCAAGCCUGCCCGUGUGCUUCUGCAGGUGUGGAAGUGACCUGACUUCAUCCUUCGCUUCAUGUGGUGUAAAACAACUAUUCAUUUUCCUCUCUUUGAAGGAUUUUACUGGUGUCCCAGCUAUCGUAGAUCUUGCAAGCAUGCGCGAUGCUAUGGCUCAACUGGGCGAUGAUCCUGGCAAGAUUGAUCCCAUGGUAGGCAGCACUCAGUACACUAGGACACAUAAGAAUCAUCAUCAUGCAAGAAUGGUCACACGACUGACCAUCUUCUAAUAUUUCUCAACUUCUCACCUUUUUGCUAUUCACUUGCAGAUUCCAGUGGAUCUAGUCAUUGAUCAUUCGGUACAGGCUGAUGUGGUAAAAUCAGAGAAUGCCCUCCAAGCUAAUAUGCAACGCGAAUUCGACAGGAACAAGGAGCGCUUCGCCUUCCUUCGGUGGGGCUCUACGGCAUUCAAUAAUAUGCUUAUUGUUCCACCAGGUUCAGGAAUUGUUCACCAGGUGCAGUUUAUUUUUUUAUAGGCCGAUUAGUUCUCAGUCCCAAAUUUCUGUGCACCUUAAUUUGCAUUAUGCUUCUUGAGUUUCAUUUGAUGCUUUCUUAACUCUAUUUUUUCAGGUGAAUCUUGAAUAUCUUGGACGAGUUGUUUUCAAUACGGAUGGCAUUUUAUAUCUUGACAGUGUGCUGGGAACGGAUUCUCACACUACUAUGAUUGAUGGAAUGGGGGUUGCUGGCUGGGGUGUUGGGGGAAUUGAAGCAGAAGCAACAAUGCUUGGUCAGGUAAUAAAACAGAGAUCAUAAUACAUUGUACACAUUAGGAUAUUCUAUUUGCAUAUGAACCUUGAUUUUGAUUUUGUCUAAUGCAAUAUUUUUCUUAAUGGACAGCCAAUGAGCAUGGUCUUGCCCAGUGUAGUUGGAUUUAAACUGACAGGGAAAUUGCGUGAUGGUGUUACUGCAACCGACUUAGUCCUGACAGUGACACAUAUUCUUAGGAAGCAUGGUGUUGUUGGCAAAUUUGUUGAGUUUUAUGGUAUAACUUUACUUCUGCCAAUUUUUACACAACUUCAGUUUUUAAUAUUACCACUAACGGGUGGGUUUCGCGUGUAGGUGAGGGGAUGAGUGAGUUAGCAGUUGCUAACAGGGCAACAAUUGCUAACAUGUCACCAGAAUACGGUGCAACAAUGGGCUUCUUCCCUGUUGAUCAUGUGACCCUUGGAUACCUGAAGCUGACAGGGAGAAGUGAUGAAAAGGUUUGCUUCCAUUUUUCACCUUAAAAUUGCUUAUUGGUUCUCAAAAAACAUUUCGAUGGAUCCAAUCUAUUGUAGUCUGGACAUUCCUUUUUGGUCCAAUAGUUUUCUUAUGUUUUGAUGUCCUGACAAAUAGGUUGACAUGGUAGAGGCAUAUCUUCGAGCUAACAAAAUGUUUGUUGAUUACAACGAGGUUAGCAUCAUUGGUACUACUAUCUCAGAUAUUAAAGGAAACAUAUGUCUAAUACAGAUCUGUAGUUUCAGACUCAAACAGAAAGAGUUUACUCAUCGUACCUAGAGUUAGAUCUUGCAGAUGUUGAACCAUGUGUUUCAGGCCCGAAAAGGUAACUUUCUUUGCUACCUAUGCUUAUCUUGAUCUUAUCAUGCUACACAUAGGUUUUUCUAAAUAUGAUUGUACCUAUUCAUUGUUAUGUAUUACAUAGACCUCAUGACCGUGUUGCUCUGAAAGAUAUGAAAGCAGACUGGCGUGCCUGUCUCAGAAAUAAAGUUGGUUUUAAGGUAAGAGUACUAAAUUAACUUGAAUGUUGCCAGCAUCCAUGAUAGUAAAAUAGCCUAUCUAUCCUUUACACGAUUUCUGUUGCGCUCACCAACAGAACAGUAAUUUAUUUGUUGUCUACAAUUUUUGUUUGGGUUACAGGGCUUUGGCAUACCUAAAGAGCAACAGGAUAAACUAGUCAAGUUCACCUUCCAUGGACAACCUGCAGAGAUUAGACAUGGUAGCAUUGUGAUCGCUGCCAUAACAAGUUGCACAAACACCUCGAACCCAAGUGUCAUGCUUGGUGCUGGCCUUGUUGCAAAGAAGGCGUGUGAGCUUGGCCUUGAGGUGAGUCUUCAUUGCCAUAAUUACUUCUCAGCACAGCAUGCCUUUCGUAACUUUGGUAUAUUGACAGGUUAAUCCAUGGAUUAAAACUAGUCUUGCGCCAGGAUCCGGGGCAGUGACCAAAUAUCUGCUGAAGAGGUAGAAAUUCCGCCCCUCCCUAGUAGUUUUAAACAUGAAAAUUGUUUAUCUUCAAAUCCUGACUUAUGUCGCAAAAUCAGUGGCUUGCAAAAGUAUUUAGAUCAUCUAGGUUUCAACUUAAUUGGAUAUGGCUGUACAACAUGCAUUGGUAACUCUGGGGAGCUUGAUGAAGAUGUUGCUAAGGCAGUUACUGACAACGGUAACUUCAUACUUAUUAACUAAACACAUUUGCCUGAUUUUUCUCAUGCUCAAUUGUACUUCAGAAAAUGAAAUCCCAUGUUCUUGGCAUGCCUUUGUCAGAUAUCAUUGCUGCUGCAGUACUCUCUGGUAACAGGAACUUCGAAGGGCGAAUUCAUGCAUUGGUUCGGGCCAAUUACCUUGCCUCCCCUCCUCUGGUUGUGGCCUAUGCCCUUGCUGGCACUGUAAGCAGUGUGUUUAUCCCUAUUGAUUUUUUUUCCUGGUGUAGUCACCAUGGAUAAAUUGUCGUAUUUUGUCCCAUCAAUAUAUAUACAUUUGCAUCAGGUUGAUAUUGAUUUUGAGACGGAACCAAUUGGGAAAGGAAAAAAUGGAAAAGAUGUGUACUUCAAGGACAUAUGGCCAUCAAAUGAAGAAAUUGCAGAGGUAAAUUCAAAAUUGUCGCAUUCUUCUAAAUUGCUCAGUAUGCAUUUAUCAUAUAUAGAAUGCACUUAUCACGCCUUAAGGUUGGAUUAUAACAAUACCAGGUUGAGCAAUCAAGUGUGCUGCCUGACAUGUUCAGGAGCACCUAUGAAGCAAUCACACAAGGCAACCCAAUGUGGAACCAGCUGUCAGUUCCCAAGGCAAAGCGCUUCCCAUGGGACCCCAGUUCCACCUACAUUCAUGAUCCUCCGUUCUUCAAGGAUAUUACACCGACUCCGCCAGGUCCACGCAGCAUAGAGAAUGCCUAUUGCCUGUUGAAGUUUGGUGACAGCAUCACGACAGACCACAUCUCACCAGCUGGGAGCAUCCCCAGGGACAGCCCUGCUGGCAUGUACCUGCUUGAGCGCGGUGUGCAGCCAAAGGAUUUCAAUUCUUAUGGAAGCCGUCGGGGCAACGACGAAGUGAUGGCACGAGGAACUUUUGCAAAUAUCAGGAUUGUGAAUAGGCUGUUAAAUGGAGAAGUUGGACCGAAGACGAUUCACGUCCCUACAAGUGAUAAGCUCUUCGUGUUUGAUGCUGCAAUGGUCAGUUCUUCUUCCCCAAGCUACGUUCCUGUCGAGAUAGUAUGCAGCAUUAUAUUAAGAACAAAUAGGCACUCUAUUCGCCUUGUUGGCCAACUGAGCUAGGCUCAGUUCAUUGAAUUAAUUAUGAAACACAGUGCCCAUUUUACUUCAUACUCCUACUAACUAGACUUGACAUUUGAGCAAAUAUCCUUUUGGAUGGUAGCCAAAGGUAAGUAUGCCAAAGUAUAUGCUUGACCUUUUUUUUAGCCAACCUGACUUCAAAAAGCAUCUGACUUUGAGAUCAUUAUUUUUGUCGAUGAGUAUUUCUUAUGUACUCCUAGUAAUAGGCCAUUACACUGGUUGUGCUUAUUUCAGAGAUACAAAGCUGAUGGGCAUCAUACCAUAGUGUUGGCUGGAGAGGAAUAUGGCAGUGGAAGUUCUCGGGAUUGGGCUGCCAAGGGACCAAUGUUACUGGUAUAUGCAUAUCAUACAACUGCCAUUUCUUUGCUGGCUACCGGAAACUCGCACAUUUCUUUGACAAAACUAUGUCAUCAGGGGGUCAAAGCAGUGAUCGCCAAGAGUUUCGAGAGGAUCCACCGCAGCAACCUCGUGGGAAUGGGAGUGUUACCGCUGUGCUUCAAGCCUGGUGAGGAUGCUGAUUCUCUGGGGCUCACCGGUCAUGAGCGCUACACAAUAAGGCUCCCUACCAAUGUGAGUGAGAUACAACCGGGCCAAGAUGUCCAAGUGGUCACUGACACUGGGAAGUCAUUUACCUGCAAGCUCCGGAUUGAUACCCUGGUAAGUUCUCGAGUAAUAAAAGGAUGUGGAACUGGUAAUUGCAGAAAUGUUCACAGCACAGUGGUCAAUACAACUGAAUUACCGCGAUAAAGUUUCUGGGCAUUACAUUCCAUGAUUGCAAGCACGUACACCACUUAGAUUUUUGUUCAUACUGUGAGAUGAAACAGUGCAUUUUCAAAUACUAGCCUACAAGCUUAGCAGUUAGCGCUAAUCAAAUUGUAUUGAUUUUAAAAUAGUAUGAAUUGUGUGACGAAUAACAGAAAAAAAAACGUGUUUUCUAGGUGGAGCUGGCUUACUUUGAUCAUGGCGGGAUCCUUCACUACGUUCUGAGGAACCUGGUGAAGCAGCAACAGCAGCAGUAAAACUCUAAAAAUACAUGAAAAUCUGUGAAUAUUUGCCUAUCUUGUGUGUUUCGAAAAAGGCUAUUGUGAGGAAUAAAAUCACUCCUGCAGUUUGUAAAGUCAAGCCGAUGUAAAUGUUCAUGAGCUGAGGCUGAGCUGUGCUGUUUUGUAUUAAAAUUUCUGUGCUAAUAAAUAAAGAUGGUAUUGGUAUGUUGGCAUCUGUCACCUGAAGGCUGAAGUUUCUUUCUCCUAUGAAGAUUCAUAAAAUUUAGUCAAUCUUGCCUUUUUUCUGCGGCGGCGGAGCAUCCGGCGGUGGCCCUUCCGGGAGUUGUUCCGGUGCCCGCCCUGGCGCUGGCGGCGGCGGCGGCGGGAGAUGGGCGCUGCGCUGGGCGUGGGCGGGUAGUAGAAGGCGGAGGAGGCCGCUCUGCCGUGCCCGUGGACAGGCGAGAGGGCUGCCCGUGGACAGGCGAGAGGAGAACAAGCGAAAUUUACAAGACAAGCUGUUACACCGUUGGAUCGGGAUUGUGCGGCUUAUGGUAGAACUUGGUCUCGUUCAGAUCUCUCCUCUCGCGUAGUGGUGUUCAACGAUUCUGCGGUGGAGGAGCAGCCAGAAAGAAUGCUUCAUUUGCAAUAUGGCUGAAAAUGAUGCUCACCUGUGUUUUUCACUGUGAUUUUGCUAGGGCUAUCAACCAUCAUCACCAUGAAUACAGAAGAAGAAGAAGAGUUACAAAACAUAAUAACUACUCUUUGGUUUAUUUGGAAAGCGAAUGCUCGCUUCAACAACAAAAAAAUAGUCUGUUUUACAGGUACAUCAUUCAACAGCAGCGGAGAUAACUACAUCCAUAUCUGAACUUAAUGCAGAUAAACAAGGAAAUGAACUCCAAGAAAAGAGGAGAGAAAGGCGAACAUUAGAGGAACUAGGCCCUAAUCAUUAUAGAAUCUCACUACCUGCUGCUCUUUGAGGAACACGAUACUAUACAGAUGCUUCAAUCACUCCUGACAACGACGGAAAUCCUGCUAGACAUGCUGAACUGGAAAUUUUUAUUGUUCCCUCUACUAUCUACAUUAAAGCAAAGAUGAUGAACUGUAGCUCUAUCAUUAUGGCUGAAGCUGCGGCAUUGGAUCUGGCUGCACAAAUCCUCAAAAAACUUGGUAUACAACAUCCAAGUUUGCUAACAGAUAAUGAACAACUGGCUAUCUUCUUCAAUGGCCAAAACUACCAAAAUCCACCGAGAUGGGAGAUAAAACCUCACACUCAGUCCUUCAUCAACUCAUGUCUCUCAAGAGGAGAAAAAGUCUUCAAAAUCUGUAGAAGCAACAUUCUACAGCUCAUUGCAACAGAGUAUCUGGGGCUACCAAUGCCUAAUGGAAAAAUGAAAAGAGGAGUCUUCCAACCACUUGAGGAGAGGUUCCAGAAGAGAAUGUGUGCCUGGAAGGAAAAGGAGUUAUCUGUGGCUGGUAAGGAAAUCCUCAUUAAAUCAGUUGAACAAGCCCUGCCUAAUUACGUGAUGAGUGUUUUCAAGCUCCCACUAACAUUGUGUGAUGAGUUGAUGCGACAUAUACGGGCUUACUGGUGGGGUUCUGACAAUGGCCACAGGAAGGUUCAAUGGGUUCCAUGGGAGAAGAUGAUUAUGCCAAAAGGGUUUGGGGGUAUGGGCUUCAGAGACCUCAGAUUGGUUAACCAAGCCUUACUAGCAAGACAAGCAUGGAGAUUGGUGUUCUUUCCUGAGAGCCUGUGUGCUAGAGUUCUGAAAGCCAAAUAUUUUCCCAAUGGCAAUUUGCUGGACACAGUUGCUGCUGGAGAUGCCUCCCCAUCAUGGCGCGGAGUUGAGUUUGGGUUGACACUACUAAAGCAAGGUGUGGUCUAUAGAGUGGGAGAUGGACAAAGUAUUCGCAUUUGGCGUGAUAACUGGUUGCCCAGAGCUCAUGGCAUGAAGCCAGUUGGCAGCGUUCGGCAUUGCCGACUACGCCGGGUCUCUCAUUUGAUUGAUGCUCAAACUAAGUCCUGGGAUGAGACACUUGUAAGAAGAUAUUUUUAUGCCUGUGAUGUCGAGGAGAUAUUCAAAAUAAAAAUACCCAGCAAUCCCUGUCCAGAUUAUGUAGCUUGGAACUUUGAGACAUCGGGUAUGUUUUCUGUCAAAAGUGCUUAUAGACUAGCCAUGAGGAUUGAACACGAUGAAGGGAACAUCGGCACCAGCUCUACUCCUCCUGAUGGUAGAACGGUAUGGAAAAACCUGUGGUCUACUAAUGUACCAGAGAAAGUCAAGGUGUUUGCAUGGAAGGUCGCCAAUAAUGGUAUCCCCACUCAAGCUAAUAAGUACUUCAGACAUCUGGCACAAUAUGAAACCUGCGAGUUGUGCGGACAUGCUCGUGAGGACUGUUUCCAUGCGUGUGUACGCUGCCCACAUGCUGUUGCUCUUCGUCAGGCCAUGAGAAUGCAUUGGGUACUUCCGGCUGAGGAGGAUCUACAAUAUACUGGGCCUCAGUGGCUGCUGGCCCUUGUGAGCCGGUUCCCAGUGGAGGUCAUUGGAAAUCUUUUGAUGCUUCUAUGGCGUGUUUGGAGUGUGCGCAACAGUGUUCUGCGGGCAGGCAAAAGACUCUCGAUUGACAGUUCUGUGUUGUUUCUUACUCGUUACAGGGAUUCUCUCAUGCAGUGUCAAUUAAACAGUUUCCAUGCUGAAGACAAGGGGAAGCGCUGUGCCUUGAUUGGGAGCUCUCAGCUGGAGAGGGUUGCCAGGCUAGAGAAGAAGUGGGUUCCGCCAGAACCAGGAUGGAUGAAGAUUAACGUGGAUGGGGCUUUCUUACCCGAUUCUGGUGUAGCUGCAAUAGGUGUGAUCAUCAGGGACCAUGGUGGUGGGAUUAAACUGUCAGCCUGGCGAUUGCUUCGCCAUUGCCGGGAUGCAGUGGAGGCUGAAGCUGUGGCGUGCCGUGAAGGGAUUAUCCUUGCAGCGCGCUGGCCGGAGGUCCCCAUGAUUCUGGAAACCGAUUGUUCUGUGGUGGCAGGGAAGCUGAGGAAUCUUGUACAGCAUCGUUCCGUGAUUUGGUCUACCAUUCAAGAAGCUACUGUAGGGAUAGAGGAUCUUUGCCGGGUGGAAGUUCUGAAGAUUAGUCGAGCUCAAAAUAACACCGCACAUCAACUUGCUCAUUAUGCUAUUAGGUCGAGUAGUAGUCAGGUCUUUUUUUCUUCUUUUCCAGAGUUUGUCGUGUCGCUUGCUUGUAAAAAUACUGUUUGAGUUUUAAUAAAGUUUAUGUUCACAAAAAAAAGAGAUAGUGCUGAAUUUACUUAUACCAAUUCUCAGCAUGUAAACAACUGUCCUUUUAGGACAGCCCUAGACUCUGUAUUGGGUGCUCAUUUCACCCUCCUAGCAGCCUCAUGCUGCUAAUUAAUAAAUUUUGACUUCAUUCAAAAAAAAUGAUUUUGCAGUAGUUUGAUCUCUCUUUUUAUUUUUUGAACUUCAGUAGUUUGAUCUCUUAUCUCUGUUUUAUUUUCAUGAUAUGAUUACAUUAAAAAUGUAUUUAGGGUACUGGUAAUAAUUCCGAUACAACCUAUAUUUUUCAUGUAUUACCAAGUGAUUUUACAUAAUGUUUUUGCUCCACUAGAGCAGUUGGCAUAAAAGCAGGAGCAGAAGCCGGCCCAAACAGGUCAGCUUCCCGGUUAACAAGAUUCAUAAAAUUUAGUCACUCUUGCUUUUUUCCUCUUCCCUUAUUUUCUACUCUAGAGCCAUUUUAUCGUCUUAUAAAAUAUGUGCACCAAGAGGAGAGCUUGUUUGCUUGUCUUAUAAGCUAUAUUUUUUCUGCCAGUCAAUAAUGUUUUUUGCUCGUAAUAAAUCAACGAACAGCCAUGACUUUUUAGGCAAGCGACGUUUAGUAUUGGCCGAUAAAUUCGUGAACCUAACACUGUACAACCAAACCAAACAACAGAUGGUGAAAAAAAUCAUGUAGUGACAAACAAACAAAGAAUGUCUUAAUUACAUCCAGAAAGCAACAGGCUUCCAAUGCGUUUCAGGAAACUGAUGAGCAUCGGUCAUCUCGUACGACUGCACCUUGCGGUGUGUAGUGACAAGGUGUCCUUGUCCAUCGUACUCGAGACCAAACGUGGUGACCGCGAGCACACGGCGAUGCGGGUAGUAGCCAUCGUCAUGGAGGCGCCGCAGGUCCUCCUCGUCGUCACGCGCCAGCGACUCAACCAGGCAGUACCUGCUGCCGCCCAUCCACACGAGCGUGGCCCCAAGGUGCCUCCUGGACUUCGCGUCGAACAGUUGGUCCUCGCCGAGCUUCCAGGCGGGCAGGCUCCUGAGGUCGGCCGGAGCCGGCGCGACGUCGCAGCAGGAGAGGUAGCCUAAGCCACCCUUAUGCCAGCAGAGGCCCACCCAGGCGUCGAGCUGGGCAUCGAAGUACGCCUCGCCUUUGAACGGCAGGAUCCAGUUGCCAUGCGACGCCCACUGCUUGCUCUCCGUGUCGAAGGAGAACGUGCUCUCUUUAUGGGAAACGAAGAGAGUGCGGCCAUCGGGGUGUAGCACGGAGGCCCAUAUGCGGUUGAAGUCCUCGAAGGGUGGGGGAGCGCCGGUUCGGCUCCACGACCACCCCGCGUCUUCUGGGUAGAUGCUGUCGGGCGGCGGCGGCGCGGCGCUGAGCAUGUCGAACUGGCCUGCUCUUAGAAGGUAGAGGCUGCCAGCGAUGGACAGGAACAGUGGUUUAACGGCGAGCUUGUUGCCGCCGCGGCGUGGCCAGGGGCAGACGGCCAGCGCCGUCGUCUGGACAUCGAACACUGGGAAGGCAGGGUAAGGACAUGGCUGCAUGGCAAGGAUCUUGGUGCCGUGGGAGGCGAAAUACCAGGAGCGCCCGUGGCGGGCCUCGAAGCGGACGACCGGGGGCUCGGGGAGGGGGAGGGGCUCCGGCCCGGCGUCGAGGGCGUCGAAGGACUCGACGUCGACCUUGUAGACGCUGUAUCCCCUCUCCCAGUCAUCAAGAAUGAGAUAGAGAUGCUUCUUGUGCUCCUGCUGCUUGAAUUGCUUGGCCGCGCGGUGGCAUUGGCAGCUGGGGCAGGGCUCAAGCUCGCACUGCUGCCGCUUGUUCGGCAUUAUAAUUACUCUCUUUCCUGCUAACAACAACGAGCAAACCAUCAACUCGUAUAUACGGCGUAUAUAUUGUCUCGUCCUGGGUCCGAGACCUCUUCGUCUUCCAAGUUCCGACUCGACUCCUCUUCGGAUCGGAUCCGCUUCUUUUCCGUCCGAUUCCGACCCCUGUUAAAGUUCUACCAUAAGCCGCACGAUCCCGAUCCAACGGUGUAACAGCUGUCCUGUAAAUUUCGCUUAUUCUCUUCUCGCCUGUCCACGGGCACGGCAGAGCGGCCGCCUCCGCCUUCUACUACCCGCCCACGCCCAGCGCAGCGCCCAUCUCCCGCCGCCGCCGCCGCCAGCGCCAGGGCGGGCACCGGAAGCACUCCCGGACGCGCCACCGCCGGAUGCUCCUCCGCCGCGCCGCCGCCGCCGCAGCAGCGAAGCUCUCCUCCUCUUUAACCUCCGAGCGAGCCCUCCGUCACGUGGGCGCCGCCGGCCGCGGCCGCGGCCACGCCACCACCUCGUCUUCGAACCCACGCCGCCGGGGCCACCGUCGUGCGCCGACGGCUGAGUCCGAGUCCCUCACUUCCACCGCCGCCCCCCGUCCAUUCCCUGACUACCGCCCUCCCCGGCCUGACUCGCCGGACGACGACGCCCUCGCGCGCCGCCUGGCCGCCGCGGUGCUCGCCUCGCCUCACCCCACCUCCCUUCCUCCGCUCCCCUUCCUGCCCGUCCUCCGCCCAAUCCACCUCCUUCUCGGGCUCCCGCUCCUCGCCUCCCACCCGCACCUCGCCGGCCUCCUCCUCCCUCUCCUCCUCCUCUUCCCCUCCCGCCCUCAGCAGCACCCGCACCCGCACCUGCUCCGCUGCUUCGCCGUAGCUGCUCACCUCGCCGUAGUACGCGGCGCCGGAGCUGGCGCCGGUGCCGCGCGCGCCAUCCUCGCGCGCGCAGUCCGCUUCCCCUCCCCUCAUAGACAUUUCGUCGAGCACUACAUCUCCACCUACAAGGCAUUCUCCUCGGACCCCGCCUCCUUCGACCUUCUCCUCUUGUGCCUCCCCUCCGCGCCCCUACUGCGCCGCGUCCGCCAGUACGGCAUCUCCCCGUCCCCGGAGGCCUGCAAUGCCGUGCUCUCCCGCCUCCCUCUUGAUGAAGCCAUCGAGUUGUUUCAAGGUCUCCCGGACAAGAACGUUUGCUCCUACAAUAUACUACUCAAGGUGCUCUGUGGUGCUGGCCGCGUGGAGGAUGCACGGCAGCUGUUCGAUGAAAUGGCUUCACCGCCUGAUGUUGUCACAUAUGGGAUUCUUAUCCAUGGAUACUGUGCUCUUGGUGAGCUGGAGAAUGCGGUGAAGCUGUUGGAUGACAUGGUGGCAAGAGGGGUGGAGCCAAAUGCAACUGUGUAUACUAGUGUUGUUGCAUUAUUGUGUGACAAAGGGCGGGUUUCAGAUGCUUUGACAGUUGUCGAGGAUAUGGUCCAUCAUAAGGUGAUAUUGGAUGAGGCUGUGUAUACGACUGUCUUGAGUGGUUUUUGUAAUAAAGGAGAUUUGGUAUCUGCAAGAAGGUGGUUUGAUGAAAUGCAGAGAAAAGGUUUGGCAACUGAUGGGGUGACAUACACAACGCUGAUCAAUGGGCUUUGCCGGGCUGGUGAGCUGAAAGAGGCAGAGAAAGUGCUUCAGGAAAUGUUGGCCAGGCGGUUGGAUGUUGAUGAAGUAACAUACACAGUGCUUGUUGAUGGGUACUGCAAGAGAGGGAAGAUGGCGGAGGCCUUUCAGGUGCAUAAUACAAUGGUUCAGAGAGGAGUGGCACCAAAUGUAGUGACAUAUACAGCUUUGUCAGAUGGACUAUGCAAGCAAGGGGAUGUUCAGGCCGCUAAUGAGCUAUUGCAUGAGAUGUCUAACAAGGGGCUUGAGCUGAAUGCUUGCACAUACAACUCCCUGAUAAAUGGCCUAUGCAAGGCAGGCUAUCUGGAUCAGGCCAUGAGGACUAUGGCAGACAUGGAUGCAGCGGGUCUUAAACCGGAUGUUUACACCUAUACAACUCUUAUUGAUGCACUCUGCAAGUCAGGGGAGCUUGACAGGGCCCAUGACCUCUUGCAAGAAAUGUUAGAUAAUGGAAUUAAGCCUACUAUAGUGACUUACAAUGUUUUGAUGAAUGGUUUUUGCAUGUCAGGUAGGGUAGAAGGAGGAAAGAAGCUGCUUGAGUGGAUGCUGGAGAAGAAUAUCCAUCCAAAUGCUACAACUUACAAUUCUCUUAUGAAGCAGUACUGCAUUGGCAAUAACAUGAAAUCUACCACUGAGAUCUAUAAGGGGAUGUGUUCUCGGAAUGUGGAGCCAAAUGAGAAUACAUACAAUAUAUUGAUCAAGGGGCACUGCAAGGCAAGAAGUAUGAAAGAGGCACAAUAUUUCCACAAUGAAAUGAUAGAGAAGGGUUUCAGACUUACUGCAUCCUCAUACAGUGCUCUUAUAAGAUUGCUGAAUAAAAAGAAGAAAUUUGUUGAGGCAAGAAAACUAUUUCAUGAUAUGAGGAAGGAGGGUUUUACAGCUGAACCAGAUGUAUACAAUUUUUAUAUUGAUUUCAACUUUAAUGAGGACAAUUUGGAGGCAACCCUUGCUCUUUGUGAUGAACUGGUGGAAGCUAGUAUUGUGAAAUCAAAAGCUGAAAUGGAUCAAGAUGUUGUAAAGGACCAUAUACAUUAGGGACAUAAUUUUGGCUGGUUAUGUCAUGCUAGCUUCUUCAGAUUGUGUUUGCAUGCAAUGUGAAUACAUGAUCCAGAGAUAGUACUGUCCCUUUUCACCGUGCGAAAACUGGCAGUUGAGGUAAAAACAGUUUAUUCUAAGUAUUUAAAUUGGUUACAGAUACUAGUUGUGUGUUCCCUGGCAUUUUCUGAUGGUUGAUGAUACUAUCCUUUAAUUGCAGCCUUCAUCAGGUUCAUCCGGAAGAUGUUGAGAUGUGUAGAUAGAAUGCACAUUGUGGAGUUGGUGUGGUUUGCAAGGUAGAAGACAAAAUGCAUUGUGAACUCCGCUUUUCUUUUCAAGUAUUACGUCUGGUCCUUGUUCCUGUGUUUUUCUACAUCAAGUUUAAUGGUUUAUCCAUUUGUUAGUUUGAUACUUGCAGAAUAAAUAUGAAUCAUCUAGAGCAUUGCUAGAUGUGCUUAUUUAUUAUCUCACUCAUAUCCUGCAUCUGACUUCCACUCAUGCCUUGUGUUGCAACUGACACCAUGUUAAGUUAGAGGGGUUUUUGGAUCCAGUGCUUCUUCAGAGCAACUCUUCCAGUGAUACUUCCUGUAAAGAAAUAUAAACUAGAUCUACUUUGCUUGGGUUUAGUCCUUCCCCAGAUUAAGGGUUACUCUACUAAGAUUCACUUUUAGCUAUAUUUUUUUUGGAGUUGCAAUGAACUCACGCUGACCUUUAAUCUGCUGACGUGCAGGACAAGAGGUUUUUUGGUUAAUAAAUUGUCAGGCUGCGAACUAUUGAAUUAGUUGUCUUUACGAGGAGUGAUAAGGGCCUGCGCGUGAUGCCAAUGAGUACAUAACUACGUAUAGGAGGAACAUGGCGAAACCACUGGUGAAACAGAGAGAACUAAAGAAACAAUGAGGCUUAUGCCUGCGAAUGGAAGGAUGAACUAGAAAGAUUUAGUGAACAAGAGUGGAAGGGCAUUGGUUAAGAAGUGAUGUUUGGUCUUCAUUCAGAAUUUUGAGAAAAAUAAAUGCUAUGCUCUGUUUUCAGACAUCAUUCCUUCCUCAAUGUUACAGCACCCAGAUCAGCUUCAUGGUUCACUGACUUGGACCUUCGGUUAUACAUAGGGGAAAUAGAUCAACUGUGGUGUAUCAGAGAACUCAGCUUCUUGGAGAUUCAUAAAGUGGAGCACCGGAUACGGUUAGCUGUUAGAAUUACACAUCACAAUACAGCCAUAUAUGGGAAACAUACAGCUUCAAACGAACAUAUUGAUUUGGACAGAAGAUACAACUGUACUGUAGUCUGUAGGAAUGAAGAUGAAUUCGAAGCUCACUUUUUUUCCAGUGGAUGCAACAUGCAUUCAUUGUUUCUUGCAAUUAAAUUAAAUUUAUUUCAUGGGGAUUCAAGAACUUGGAUUACGACGUUGUGGAAUAUCUCCGUGCGAUGAGUGCAAUGAGUGCUCGAUACUUGUUUAGCUAAAACAUGUGCUAUUUUAUUACAAGAUCUACUAAUAUAAGAAAAAGAGAAAGGCCUGUUUGGUACUACUCGCUUCAUGAGCUGUUGUGAGCUGUUUUUUUUGUCAAACACUUAUUUUCAAAACAGCUUCAUGGGUGAAGUUGUUUUUCCCCCUCCUCUCACAAAGACAUAAGUUAGGAUGAAGCUGAAAAAAAAGUAGCUUAUUGCAGCUCUCUCUUAUUUCUCUCUCAACUAUGCAUGAAGUAGUUUGUGAAGCUAUUUUGCUAAAUAUUUUUUCCAAACACAGCUCAGCUUCAUCUAGAAAGUCACUCAUGAAGCUAUUUUCUAAAAAAACAGCUUUACUAGUGAAGUUGAGCUGUGCCAAACAAGCCCGAAAUCUUAAAAGGCAAGCCUGACAUCAUCAAUCUCCUUAACCCGGAUUAACGGGCGCUAGUUGUCCUAGCUUCUUCCACAGUUUUUUUCUCCAAACUUCUUCCACAGGUUGACAAGCUCGAAACAAUCUUUCCAGCCAUACCUAUUGUAUACCCUAUCGCUUCGCCAACACUAACCCGUCUCAGCACGUUAACACUUUCAUCUGACAAGCAUCGAAACCACGAUCAUCGCCUGUGCAACAGAUCCCGAAUUAUGCUGGCCGUCGCCCCCACUGUGCUUGUUCUCACAUAAGGCGGCAUCAGAAUUGAUUUUAAACCAGCCUCGGGGGGGGGGACCUCAUUAGUCGUUCGCUGCUGAACCGAGUGACAACCUUGUUUAGUUCGCAAAAAUUUUACUUUUUGGCUACUGUAGCACUUUCGCUUUUAUUGUCAUAUUGUCCAAUCAUAGAGUAGCUAUGAUAAUAAGAUUCAUCUCACAAAUUACAGGUAAACUGUACAAUUAGUUUAUAUUUUCGUCUAUAUUUAAUGCUCCAUGCAUGAGACUAAAGAUUUGAUUUGACAUGGAAUCUUGAAAUUUUUUGCAAACUAAAUAAGGCCAAAGCUGCCAAAGAUCAUAAGCUGUAUCCUGUGCCCAAAUAACAGCUUGUUGAAUGGUUAUCGACAGUUCCCCAUGUCUUCUCUUGUUUCACAUCAUCCACAAAGCCCACGACCCGCAAAAUAUCUAUGUCCCAGCGAGAGUAAAUAACCGUUUAUUUUGCUGAUAAGCCAUGAUAGAAAGUACAGCUGAAUGUGUCUAUUCGAGAGGAUAUGUCUUGCCGGCAACAAUUCAUGGAACACUCGCCACCAAAAUACUCAUGUUCUAGAUAAUCUUCCAAAGGCCAUCAGAUGAGGCGCCAAGUUCUUGGUUCUAGUUCUCUUCUUCCUUCUUCUUAAGCAGCAAUUUAUAUGCCGAAAAGAUUUGCCCGGUUUUAGAGUUGAGGGAGAAAAGGCGGAUUUUCGUCAAAAUUGUAAGAGUAAAAGUAGAUUUUUUUCAUUCUCUUAUGACGUGUUUAUUGAAAUAAAUCAGCCCAUGUGAACUUCGGCCGGCCUAGACGCUUCGGCAGGGUAGAAAUGGGCUCAUAGAAAGGCCCAAUCUCCAAGGCUCUCCGCUGCACGCCUGCACUGCACCUAAACCUCGCAAAAGCCCAACCCAAACCCUAGCACCCCGCGAAAGGCAGCCUCCCGCCGGUCACAUGGAUUUCGGUCGCCGGAAGGCGGCGGCGCUGGCUGCGCUCUCCUCGCCGACGCCGGACAAGUCCCCGAAGGGCGGCGUCGACGCCCCUAUCGCCCCGCUCCUCGACGUCCUCAACUCCCACCCGGACCUCUUCACCACCUCCUCCUGCUCCGGCCGCGUCUCCGUCCUCGCGCAGCCUCCGCCGCAGCAUGAGGGCCAGGGCGAUGGCGCCACCAAGCCGAAGAAGAAGGCGCGGGGCGGCGGGUGGGUAUACGUAUCGCACGACCCCGCCGACCCGGACGCCGUGGUGGAGCAGCUGUUCGGCGGGAGCGGGUCGGGAGUGGCGGGGGACGAGCUCGUGUUCAGGUUCGAGCCGAUGAUCGUGGCGGUGGAGUGCAGGGACGCCGCCGCAGCUGCGGCGCUCGUCGCGGCCGCGAUCGGUGCAGGUUUCCGUGAAUCAGGUGAGCUGUGUGAUCUGUGAUUGUAGCGUGCCUCCUUCAAGCCUGUGUUUAGAGUUAUGUUGAGAUGUUGGAUAAGGCUUCGAUUUCCAUGAACAACUCAGCACUGUAUCCUUACCAUCAGUGUUAUUGUACAGUAUUUCAAUACAUGGAGUUGUGGAACGAUUUGUGAAUACUAAUAUCAUUGAUGGCAGGCGCAGGGUUCAUUAUAGUUAGUUUUGCAUAUAUAGUUUUAGAAAAGUAUGUUUUUUGGUUCGUGCUUUUAGUUGAAAUGAUAAAUUGACUCACAAGUGAAGGUUUGUAUGAUGAGAGAUGGAUUCCUUGGAUUGUGUAACGUGUAGUGCUGAGUUCGAUAUGAUGUUUCUUGUCCUUAUUUAUAGGAAUAUCAGAUUAAGUUUGUUUAAAACCGAUUAAUCUGGUUUUCAGGUAUCACAAGCUUGCAGAAACGUGCAAUGGUAGCAAUAAGAUGCUCAAUUCGCAUGGAAGUGCCACUGGGGCAGAUUGACGAACUUGUUGUUUCUCCGGAGUAUGUUCGAUACCUUGUUAGAAUUGCCAACAGUAAAAUGGAGGCAAAUAAAAGGCGAAUGGAUGGAUUUCUGGAUCUCUUCCAGACUAAGGUAUUGAGCUAUGCUUGUCUUACUGUAUUCCAACUUUUUUGUUGGUGUGCAUGACAUACAUGUUCGGAAACUUUGGAUAUUGUGUAAGUCCAAAAAUGUUUCUGCUGAAUGUUCAUUAAGCUGGAGUGGAGAGUAAACUAAGUAUUUCUUUUAUAAGAGAGAAUAAUCUAGGACGUUUCUGUUUAUAAAACUACUUAAUGAGCUGAGUAAGAUUUUUCAACCAGAUGACGAUAGUUACUUCUUGAUUUACGACCACUUGUCAGAUACUACCUCCUAUCUUUUUCAAAUGACACUGGUAUUUCAAAACUGAACUAGCCAGCGUCAUUUUAAAAAGAUCAGAAGGUGUAAGUCUAUCUUCAUUUAUCCAUAGUAUAUGUCCUAAACAUUUGUGUAUUCCCAAAAUUUUUUUACUUUGACCACCAAUUCAUUUACAAAUAUCUUUGUACAUACCACAAUAAUCUAGUUGUUUUCUCAUUCAUGUUGGUUCCAAUCAAAUUGCCAGGGUUUGUCAUACUCAUCAGAGUUGUCAAACAACUGUAAUGGAAGUGGUGGUCAGUCUGUUGAUUAUGAGGCUUCCAUGGGUCCUGAAGUUAAGAUACCAUUAGAUAAAUGUGCCAAAACAAAUGAUGAGUACUUAGUUACAAAAAGGAGAAACGGUGGGCAUAGCUGUGAUGAUGAUGAUACAGGUUCAAUAGAAGCAAGGUAUUUUGGAAAUCAAGACUCUGCAUGGAGCAAGGGUGCCAAGCAUGGUUUUGGUAAUGCUAAACGGCAUGUUCUCUUAUCUCUUUGUCUCAUCUUGUUCCUACUUUUCAUUUUUCUUAGAUUAGCACGUAAAUUUAUUGGUUUGAUGGGCUCUGAAGUGGAUAUUUGAUAUCAUUUGGUUGCUUCAAAGAGGUGCAUCACAGUACAUGGUAGUUUGGCACGUUAGACCCACUAACUUGGUUGUUAAUUGUCUAUGUUGUUUACAUAUGGUGAAUUUUAUAAGCAGUGUUUCCGUAAAUGCUUAAAAGGUGGUCAACUUUGUUUAGCCUUGUUGGACUACACAGCCUAUUAGUCAGAUUACAUGUCCAUUUAAGCGAACACUGGUUUUAGGAAACUUUUUUGUUGAACAUUAGCUGAACUAAGUGAGAAAUUAAAUUCCAUCUGGUUUUGAUUUUUUUUUGUUUUCUUGUAGCAGAUAGGUGAUUGUUUUGAAUUACUAAACCAUGAUUUUCCCUUCACUAUUUAAUGAAUUGAUGGUCCUGCACCUAUUUAGUUGUCGACUCUGUUAUUCCAUAAUUCUGAUAAUGUACUUUUAGUCUUCUUACAAAGUGACUAUCCAGUAGCUCGGAGCCUUCUAUUGAACCCUUUUCAUCUGUUCUGUUGUAUUGUCUGUAGAUUAUUAACGCAGGAGAAGUUGUCAGAAAAGAAAAAUCAUCUCUCUACCACAACAUUGAAGAUUAGUGGUGAACCAAUUGAGAAGCUCUUCCUAUGGGGCCAGUCCUCUUGUGUGUUUACUGUUGGAGAAGAGCAGCAGGUCCUAACUUUUGGUGGUUUUGGAGGACCAGGAAGACAUGCUAGGAGAAACUAUUCCCUUCUGCUCGAUCAUAAAUCUGGUUUUUUGAUAGAAAUGAUCUUCAAAGCAUCUCCUUCACCAAGGAUGGGGCAUACAGUUACUGCAGUUGGUAAUAGCACUUAUCUAAUUGGAGGUAGAGGUGGCCCUUCAGAAAUUCUUGAUGAUGUCUGGGUUUUGCUGAGCACUGGGAAUACAUGGUCAAAAGUGGAGUGCUGUGGAGAUCUGUUCCAACCAAGGUACUGUUUAGAUGAAAUUGUUAUCCCCCUUUGCCCGUGAUCGAUAUUUUAUGGACGUUCUGUCUCUUUAUGCAGGCACCGACAUGCAGCUGCUGCAGUAGCUUCAAAAAUUUAUGUAUUUGGAGGACUCAGUAAUGAAGGCAUAUAUUCUUGUAUGAAUGUAUUGGACACAAAAAAUAUGCAAUGGAGUGUACUUGCUGCUUCAGGCGAAUGGCCAUGUGCUCGACAUUCGCAUUCUAUGGUGUCAUAUGGUACAAAUCUAUUCAUGUUCGGAGGUCAUGAUGGCCAACGGGCGCUGAAGGACUUUUACAGUUUUGAUACAACAACACUUAGGUGGAACAAGGAAAACACAAAUGGGGGAUUUCCGUCACCUAGGUUUUCACACUGCAUGUUCAUCUACAAAAAUUAUCUUGGGAUACUUGGUGGCUGUCCUAUUACAGAAAACAACCAAGAAAUUUCAUUGCUGAACUUAAAGCAUCGAGUCUGGUUUCGUGUUUCCGUUCCAUUACUGAGCCAGUCCCUCUGUGUCCGUAGUUCAUCGGUUGUAAUUAAAGAUGAUCUUGUUAUUUUAGGUGGUGGUGCAUCUUGUUAUGCAUUUGGAACCAAAUUCAGUCAACCAAUAAUUCUUGAUCUGCAUUCAGUGGAGUCUAUGUUUCAAUAUGAUAGGAACAAAGAUGACACAGUUCAAAGUCGUGAUGCAAUAUCUGCUGCUGACUUGCCAAGAGAUGGGCAAAAUGGCAUCUUUGAUCAUGAUACAAAAUCACAAGAUGCUUGUUCUGGUGGUUUGAUGGAUUCAGGCCCUCUGGUUCUUCAACUGGAGAAGACGUAUGCCAAAUUAGCAAAAGACAUUCUGAAAAAGUUUGGAUGGUUGGAUCUUUCUAGAAAAGUUCGAGUGAGCCAUGAUAAUGGCCAUGUUCUUUUUCCUAUUAAAGAAGCUUUCCGAGUCCUAAAUGCUGAAGAGCAUAUCAAGAUGACACAUGAUGUUUCAUCUACCUUUGGGGAAUCAUUAUUGUUUACUGAAAAGAAACUUGUCGUAGACAACCUAUCUCUUAAGGAUGCAUUAAAUAUUUUGUCAUCUUGCAGUGGUUCCUUUAUGAAAGAUGAACUAGCCAUCAGCCGAAAGCCUUCCAAGUCUCCUCAAACCAUCAUGAAAGAACUUGUAUCUUCUCUACUGGAAAGUAAAGGGAUGCCCCCUCAGUUGUUGGAGCAGCUUCCAGCUAGGUUUGUUUCUCUGAUAAAAAUAUCUAUUGUCAUUACAACUAUGGUUGCUCUUGCUUGCUUAAUGUCAUUCUGAUGUAGGUGGGAGACACUUGGUGAUGUCGUCAUACUUCCGAAGACAUGUUUUAAGAAUCCAUUGUGGGAAUCAGUUAGCGAGGAACUUUGGCCACUAGUUGCCAAGUCACUUGGUGCACAACGUCUUGCACGCCAAGUUAGUACUGGAUGAACUCUUUAUUAGUGAACCUAUAACAUCUAUUUGGGCUGCUAUUUCUCUUGAAGUCAAUACCUUGUAUGUUCAUGUGGUCUCCCGUCCUCAAUUGAAUUUCCAUGUUAAGUAUUUUUAUUCUUACAAUUUGUGACUUGGCUUGUGGCAAGCAUUUGGUUACCCUACCAAGCAUUUGUUUCUGUUGGGGAGGCCCUUUUCAAUAUGAUUCAUUCAAUCUGUCCUUUUUUGGCAGGGUAAAAUCAUGCCAAAUGGUACAAGAGAUAGUACACUGGAACUUCUUCUGGGUGAUAAUGGAUGGGUUACCCAUUAUGAAAAUGGCAUCUGCUAUUCACUUGAUGCAACAAAAUGCAUGUUUUCUUCUGGUAAUCGUUCAGAGAAACUUCGCAUGGGACAGCUAAACUGCAGAGAUGAGGUGGUCGUGGAUUUGUUUGCUGGAAUUGGAUACUUUGUUCUUCCGUUUCUUGUGAAGUACAUUCUCUGAUAGCCCUUGGUCAAACACAGAGAUUCUGAUUUUAUUCGCCCCCCCAAAAAAUAUUGUUCUUAAUCUCGUACUCUUGCAGGGCUAAUGCCAAGCUAGUUUAUGCAUGUGAAUGGAAUCCACAUGCUCUGGAGGCUCUUCGGCGCAAUGUUAGUGACAACAGUGUGGAGGAUCGAUGCAUUAUACUUGAAGGAGAUAACCGGGUGACUGCACCCAAAGUGUGUACUGGCAAAUAUCAUCUUUUGGUCUAACACAUGAAUUACGAUGGCUGCUGAUCGUUAUUUCUUACUGGACUUGAAUCAGGGUGUUGCUGAUCGAGUCUGUCUUGGAUUGUUACCCUCAAGUGAAUGUAGCUGGGCCACUGCUGUUGAAGCUUUAAGGUGAUCUGUCUGCAUCACCACCUGAGUUGUUUCGGUUAUGAUAUUUCAUUCUAGGUUUCUUGUAGUGUUCAAAGAAGAUUUUAUAUAGAGAGGUCAACUGCUUAGGUAAGCUUUUGUCUUGGCCUCCUCUAGUUGGACACUCUGAGGUUCUUGUUUCUGUUGUACAAGUAGCUGCAUCCUUCAGUAAUUAUUAAUUAAGAUGAUUUCUUAGUAUUGUUUGAGUUGGUUUUACUAAGGAGUUUGGUUGUAUUAGGGAGUCAGUUUGGAAUGUGCCCAUCUUUUGAAAGUCGUGUGCAAAUCUUUUAGGGUUGAUUAGUUCAUAAUAAUAGGCUAGGUCAGAUUCCACAGGCAUGCACACACAUGCAUUAUACCCUGUUACGGUUAACCAUUACAAUUGUUAUUCUCAACCCUUCUAAUUUCUCUCUUCUACCCCUGUUCUCUUCUCUAAUCACCAACGACAUCCAGGGUUUCAUAUCCCUAUAACAUUAAUUGCAGAGGUGUACACGACAGCAGCAAAAUGUUGUUUCAGAAUAUUCUGAAUGUUCUUUUAAAACUGCUUAUCAACAUAUUGAUCUUAGUAGUGCUAGUCUGACAUCCCAAAGGAAAUCCUGCAAAGUCUUUUUUAGAGAAAAGGUUUCCCCCGCUUUAUUGAACCAACAAAGUGCAAUUGAGUUUACAUUUAGCAGAAUGUAUUGGAGGUGCACCUGCCAAAAUCUGGGAUGCUAAAGAUUCCCUGACUGAAGUUCAUUUCAUGCACAAAGAUCAUUGUAUUGCUAUCAUCCUCCCACUCAUGCUGAGGUAUCAUCUCUCUUGAUAUGGUCAAACUGGAGUUGCUGGAGACCGCCGUCCCAAUCCAUCCAUUUACAUGCUGCCAAAUUUGGUUUGUCUGACACACUGAAAAUGCCUGCACCAUGGUGGAGCACGUUGGGCUGCUUGGUGGAAUUUGUGGUCUCACUUGGAAACAAGUUCUCUAUAAUUUUUGAAUGUGAUGUUGGAAUUUUGUCAAUUUGCUGGAUCCACAACAAACCUCUGAUGUUAACAUUUUACUCUAUUACUAUGUGUAGGAUUGGCGGCGGCAUAUUGCAUAUACAUGGGAAUGUCAAUGACUCUGAUGAGACACGCUGGUUGGACAAUGUUGUUGAAUCCAUCAGUAAUAUCGCCAAAAACCAUGGUAAAAAAUGGUGUGCUUUUAUCUGUUGCGAUGCAUUUUUGCUCUCCAAGAGUUAAAAUUCCAUUUUUAUGCCAUUUGUGUCGCAGGACUAUCUUGGAACGUGUUAGUGGAGCACGUUGAACGUGUCAAAUGGUACGGGCCACAUAUUCGCCACCUUGUAGUUGAUGUUAGAUGCCGGCAAAUCUAACAAAGCAGACGCCACCUUGUAGUUGAUGUUAGAUGCCGGCAAAUCUAACAAAGCAGACGCCUUCAGAGAAUACUUGUGCAGUGCCAGGCCUGGGAUUCUUGGAUAGUUGGAUGCAUAUACAUUAUAGAAUGUAAUGUUCAACAGUUUGCUUCGGUUGUGUUUUGGUCCCAAGUGUAUUCCAUUGCUCCUAGUCAUCAUGGAGCCUCUGUUGUGACCUUGAAAGCAUGUUCAGGUUCUUGAUAACAAUUCGCUACUGCAUAGCUACAGUAAAGUUGUGUUCUUGUACCGAGUACUUUAUGUAUCUUUUUUCUUAUAUAAGAUAAUUUAUUGCGUUGUUUGAACAUUUUAUUACCAGCUUUUGCAUUGGCUGAUGGCACAGCACCCUAGGUAUUGGAUUGAUUCAGUGAUUAUGGACUUAUGGUGAAGCAGGAAAGUCAUCGGGAAGUAAAAAAAAAGUAAAACAAGGCCCAUUAUUUUUUUUGUGAAGGAAAACACGUUUGGGCCUUGUUUAGAUGUGAAAAUUUUUUGGAUUUCGUUACUGUAGCACUUUCGUUUGUUUGUGGUAAAUAUUGUCCAAUCAUAGACUAACUAGUGUCAAAAGAUUCGUCUCGCGAUUUACGGUCAAACUCUGUGAUUAGUUUUUGUUUUCGUCUAUAUUUAAUGAUUUAUGCAUGUGCUGUAAGAUUCGAUGUGACAGUGAAUAUUGAAAACUUUUUGGUUUUCAGGGUUAACUAAAUAAGGCCUGGUAUGUAUUGGCCGAAUAUCUGGGCACAUUAUAAGCAUUAACCGGACGUAUUUGCUGACCACAUUCCACGGUAAUAAAGUCAUCAAUUUUAAAACAAUGCAGAGGCUGCACAGAGUUUACUUGCACGGUGAAGUGGUGAACUGCUAAUGACCAUGGGAAGGGAAGGGGAGGGGGAGGUGAGAUAACGAUGUCAUAGUUUGACCGACAAGCGAGGUGCACCCGUUCUAUAUCCAAAAAACAGAUGGAUUUAUCACAUUUUACCUCGCUUUUUAACCAAAAUGGCCACAAGAGUCACGCACAAGAAAUACCAUGGAUUUAAUGUACCUGGAUUUCUCCUUUGAAGAAGUUCUUGUUGCAUACCAAACACCUCGGAACUCAAUGUUCUUAUUUCCCAAUACUAUGGUAGAAACUACAAUUCCCUUAAAACUAAAAAAACAUUCAAAUAGGCUCCUAGCGCACAAAAAUUAUAUAUAUUUGUAUCUUAUUUCAUGCUAUAUUGCCUUAUUAUACCUAGAAAUAAUAUAUUUUGCAGUAAUAUAGUCCAAUUUCUUUUUUGAAUAUAUAAUCAAAUGAGGUGAGAAAUUAGACCACUAAAGAAAUUUUAGUAGCAGAACUAGUAAGCAAUCUUGGUUACGUAAUUGAAAAUAGACCUUUUUCCUAUUACUAAUUACCCAACUGAAAACUAGAUUUUAACCGUACAAAGUGAGAGGCAAAAAUGCAGUUUUUAUUAGAUGUACUUACAUAAACAAACUUACAAAAGGAAGGGACGUUCAAGAUACUACAAUGCAACAAACACGAGCAAAAAAGAAAAAGAUAUACACAAUCAUCUGUCAACAAUGCAAAAGCAACGCCCAUUGUAAGCUUUAUCCGGCUACCAAGUACCAAACAUGAAGAAAAAAGAGUGAAGAACAGUAACUAAUGGUACACCAUUUCUACUAAGGGAACAGGCUACUUGAGCCUCAUUGGCUGCUGCAUCCCUCCUCUCAUCAUUGCGCAAAACUCCUCAUAGUUAAUCCUCCCAUCCUGUGGCAGGCAAAUGACCAGCAUCAAGAAGAUGAAAAGAAUAAACAAAACACAGCUGAAAAGACAAUGGCGUGAAGAGCUUACAUUGUCCGUGUCAACUUCUGAUAUGAUCUCCUUUAUUGUACUCGUGUCGCCCAUCUCAUGCUCGAUCAAAGCAGAUUCCAGUUCAUCUCUUGUGAUGAAGCUGCAUAAAAUCAAAGUAAUCUCCAUGUUAGACAAAAAACAGUUUUUUCUGCUUUUGAGAAAACAAAAAUAGUUUAUGCAUGAGACAUACUUUGGAAGAAAGUCAGUGCCAGGGGUUGAGUAUUUCUUUUACAUAAUCGAUAGUGUAGACAUGUUUUCAUGGGAUAACAAGUGUGGCGUGUUAUGCUAGCAUUUGAGAUAUCAAUUUGAAGUACUCACCCACUGUUGUCUUUAUCGAAGUACUGGAAUGCCUUAAACAAAUGCUCGUCUCUUUCGAGCUUGUGUCUAUGCAUUGUGGCAGUGAUGAACUCAACAUAGUCAAUGGAUCCAUUCCCAUCAACAUCAGCCUGGAAUAGGUCAAAAGGUAAGCAUGUCAGUCAAGAACAUGAUUCUAAUAAUGGUACUGUAAUAUAGAUUAUAGAUUAGAACAUACAGCCUCCAUCAACUGUUUUACUUCAGCUUCUGACAGCUUUGAUCCAAGUUUGGCUAAUCCUACUUUGAGUUCUUCAUAUGUGAUUGUGCCACUAUUGUCUGUGUCCAUGUUCAUGAACAUUUGCUUUAACCCCUUGAUCUCUUCCUCGUUAAGGUUUGAAGCAAUAACCUGCACAUAUAUUUACUAAAAAUCAUUAGAUAAAGAAAAACUAGCCAAUUUGGGCUAUUAUUAUAUUAUGAAGACAAUAACCUUUAGGGCCAUUUUUUUCAGCUUAUUCAUUGCUCUGAACUGUUUCAUUCUAGAAAGAACAGCACUGUCGAUAGGCUUAUCAGAUGCGUCCCCACCUUCUCUGAGCCAUGGAUGUUCUGAUCGAGCAUUUCAUACACAUAUUAUUAUUAUUUAAAAAAAGUUCUAUCUUCGAAUAUUUGGAAUUAUUAAUUCAUGAGAAGCUUACGAAGAACUUGAGCUGAAGUCAGUCUUUUCUUUGGAUCUCGUGUCAACAUCUUUCUAACCAAGUCUUUAGCACUCUCAGAAAUUGAUGGCCAAGGUUGACUUUCAAAGUCAAUCUCCUCACGCAGAAUAGCAUCAAAUAUCCCCUUUUCAGUUUCUACACAGCAAAAACCGAGGAUAAACAACAACAAAAAAAAAGGACAAUGUUGCUGCUUAAUAGUAUGCAUUAGUUCAAAAGUUGAAGUAGUUCUCAGAGGUCAAUAUACCAGCCCAAAAUGGAGGCACGCCACUGAGAAGAAUGUACAAAAUAACACCUGCACUCCAAACAUCUAUCUCUUUUCCAUAGCUGCGCCUAAGGACUUCAGGAGCAACAUAAUAAGCACUCCCAACAAUGUCCCUGUACAUCUUUCCUGUUAUACAGUGCAAAGAUAAUGAGACUCCAAGCCUGGAAAUUUAGGAUCUAAUCUAAUGGUAUCAAUCACAAACAAGUUACUACAGUUUAUGACAGCAAGUUCUCUUUUAUUAGGAAUCAUAGAAAAAAAAAUAUACUGGGGAUGACUGAUGAAAAUGUACGAGGAAAAAAAACAGAAGAAUGGUUUGCCUCCACCCACCCACACACAAAAUAAGCAAUAGUCAUAUUCUGCAAUUGCUAUUACUGCCCACAACAAUAUUAAUAUAUAUCUCAGGUAUAAGAAUUGCCACUAAGAGGGCAAUAAAAUGAUAUAGGGUUUCAUAUCUUAAUGUGAUUACGACCGGGUUUCAACCAGUCAAACAUAAAAAGCCAUUGAGAUAUCAUUACUGCUGGUUUCCCACUACUAACUGACAUAGAAACAGAUGCUAGUAAUUAAUUCCUUUGGAUCUGAACAGGUCCAGUUAGUAGUCUAGCUAAUUGUUAGCUGAAUACCCAACUAUUGACUAUCUCACUAGUCUGGCCAAACCAGCUAAUAGUUAGCUAGCUACUAUUAGCUAUGAGCUAUUAGCAGCCAAUGGAUCCAAACAGGGCCUAACUGAUGUAGAAACAGCUGUACAGUUUUCAGUGCUUUUCCCCUCAAAAGUGAACAUCAAAGACCACUAGUUUUUGGCUGGUUCUCUAUGGAGAUACGCAGGAGCGAAAGCUUUUCAAGUUACUAAAGUAUUAUGUCAUGUUAUACAGUAUACACUUUGAAGUGACAAAAAAAAAUGCCUGAACAUGUCCAAAGAUUCGAGUUUCCCCAAUUGCUUGGAUUAAGAAGCACCAUAUGUUCCCAUAACCCAAAAUCAGAUAACAUAUGGAAUACUACUCAGCAGGGUCAUUCGCAAAUAUGAUAAAAGAUAAAUUGAUAAUUACAACCAACCAUGAACCUCAACAGAUCAAAUAUAUGUUUAACUGCUAUUUAUAUUCAGCUAACAAUGCAAUACCAAGUGUCCACAGAGCAUAAUAUUCACAUUACCUUCUUCAAUGAAGACAGAAAGCCCAAAAUCAGUGGCCUUGAGCAUUGCAUUCUCCUCCUUGGUCGCAAGCAAGAAGUUUUCAGGUUUCAGAUCACGAUGCAUCACACCCAUGAAGUGGCAAAUGUUGACAACAUUCACAACUGCUCUGCAGAUUGUCGCAGCUGCACGUUCUGUGUAGUGCCCCUUUGCAAUGAUGCGAUCGAAGAGCUCCCCGCCUGCACAGAGCUCCAUCACCACAUGGACAUUGCUCUUGUCCUCGUAUGCUCCCCGGAACUCGACAAUGUUUGGCUGUCCAGACAGAUGCUGCAUGAUCUGGAUCUCCCUUCGAAUGUCCUCCCUGUCUGCCUUGCUGGUGAGCUUGCGCUUGGAGAUGGACUUGCAGGCGUACUGCCUACCAGUGGCAAUCUCUGUACAGAGGUAUGUCACCCCAAACUGGCCCCGGCCAAGCUCCUUCCCGAGGGAGUAGACAGAGCGCACGUCCUCGUACUGCUUGCCAAGAAUCGUGUCCGCCGUUGGCUUCGGUGGCACAGUCACAGGUGGGACUACCGGUGCGUUCAUCGCCGGCGGCGUGUACCUCACCUCGGCCGCCUGCUGAGGAAGGUUGUAACUCGGAGGUGCUUGCGCUGGCUUUGCCUGGUUAGAGUAGCCAUAACCAUUGGUGCCUCCCCGUCCAGAGUCCGGGGCCGUCGCUCUGCUGCAACACUGCCCCAUUUCUCUAGUCAAAUUAUUCCUUCCAGCUCUAAGCCUGCAACCCGACUGAUGGGUUGGUGAGACAAAUCAAGAACAAGAACUGAACCUGCAGGAAAAUCCCAAGGAGUAGAACACUUGUGUUAAGAAAAAGCAAGGAACGUUUAUAUUGGAAUUCACAAGCUGAUGAUUCAAGACACGGUAUCCAAAACUGGAUCUGCAAGCAAAACCCAGACAACAGGACAAAAGAAACAACUCUAAUCCCCAAACAGAGUCACAUCGUAACAUGCCUCUGGAUCCAGGAAGGAAGAGAUGCUGCAUAGUGAAAGAAGAAAAAGUUUCCAACCUCAGAGCCCGCAAAGCAACCGCCUCUCUACCGAUCUAGAGCUGAAGAACUCGCGUUUCCUUUUCAGGAAGAGGCGCUGCGGAGGCUAAGGAAUCGGGUGUGAGACAAAUCUUGGAGUUGGAGAGAGGACAGAGCAAGAACAGCUCGGCCAGGCGACCACGGGGAGUGGAUUGGAGGUGGUGGCCACCGCAAUUGGCGCCCCGCCUCGAUCGUGACAGCGACUAAUCCACACGGGGUCCGGAGCUAAAGAUCCCGCGGGUCGAAUUUUCUCAAAGAAAAAAGGUUGACAGGGGGGAAGAAACGGCGACGGCGCGUUUUUGGAGAAAAAGCCUCAAGCUUUGCUUUGCUGUCAGCUUGUUUUAGUUGCCUAGCUUUACCGGAAGAUAAGGCAAAUGGAGUGGCAGUUUUGCGAAAGAAACCUCUUGUGUUUUCUGUAUUAGUAAUAAUUAUAUAGGGAAGGGAUCUACGUGUCUGAUUACACAAUUACAAAUAUUAAACAGUUUAAACACGUGUUUUCAAGAAAAAUAUAUUCAUUUUCCCUUUCAAAUUAUUUCAAUGAGCAAAACAUAUGUGGAGCGCUUAUAGGAAUGAGUGCGCUCCACAUAUGCUGACAGAUCUCGAAAUUGAGAAAAAUAAUUAGGAUAUACUUUGUCGUCCAUGAACAUAUCAUCAUUACUAAAAGGUUAGUACUAUUAAAUCAUAAGAUAAAUCUAAAAAACAUGAAUACCUACACCAAAAAUCUAGAACUUAAAGGUAUUAUACUCUAUGGCCUUGUUUAGUUCCUAAAAAAUUUUACAAAAUUUUUCAGAUUUCCCGUUACAUCAAAUCUUUAGACACAUGUAUGAAGUAUUAAAUAUAGACGAAAAUAAAAACUAAUUGAACAGUUUGGUCGGAAUUGACGAGACGAAUCUUUUAAGUCUAGUUAGUACAUGAUUAAAUAAUAUUUGUCAAAUACAAACGAAAUUGGUACUAUUCAUAUUUUACAAAAUUUUUGGAACUAAACAAGGCCUAUAUAAUAAUUUCUCAUUUUGCCAUCAUUACUAAAAGAUUAGUAUUAUUAAAUUCUAAGAUAAAUCUAAAGAACAUGAAUACCUACACCAAUCUAGAACUUAAAGGUAUUAUACUCUAUAUAAUAAUUUUUCAUUUUGCCAAUUGCUUCCGGGGCAUCAAUGGUGGCUAGAUUACUACUCGAGCCAUUUCACAGCAAGGGUGGAUCUAUACUCAUUGCAGUGGGUGCCGCACCAUGCAAAAAUUUUUAAAACAAUAAUAAAAACUAAUUUUUCAUCAUAUUUACACACCACAUGUCAUAAGCCUUACGUCAUAAGAUAAGGCCCCGUUUGGAUCCUCCAGGGAUUAUAAGAAUCUAGAUAGUAGAUACUCUAUCUGUCUCAAAAUAGAUGACCUUAUAGCAUUCAAAAUUUAUCUUUAGUACUUGACAUUCACACUUCCUAAUGCACAUUUCUCUUUUUUUUUUCAAUAUACUUUUCUCUUUUCCAAUACAUCUCUAUCUUUGCUUCUUAGGGCUUCCCCAACGCGACAGCAUGGAGUGCUGCCCCGAACUCCACGUCUGCAUUAAACUUCCAAGUCACUAAGGCUGGUAGCCUCGCAGAGGUGCAGAGUCUCUUACAGAAGCUCCAAUAGCCUCAACUGACACAGAGCAGAAGCACUACUUCCUACGGAGAGCUUUGGGUGCAGAGAGCAUGACAAGCUUUUAGCUCUGCAAGAGCAGUAGAGACAUCAGCACCGUGAUAAAUGGAGUGUUGCUUCGUUUCAUCUCUUGCAUAGGUGGAAGACUACUUUUAUAUGAGGCUAACGAUUCCAUCUGCUUGCGCUGGGGAAGCCCUUAAGGAUGUUUUAGACUUUUGGCUUCAACGUUGGUUGGCGUGAGAGGUUGUAAAUCGUCAUCUAAUAUUGGAUGGAGAGAGUAGUGAUUUUGAGAAUCUUGAUUUUCCCAGAUUACACUAUGGAUAGUGGAUGCAUUGUGCAAGUUAAUUACUAAAAUACCCUUCAAAUGGUUCCGUGGAUAAGGUUGAAGCGAGACAAAAUUGUCAGUUCCACCCAAUAUUUCCCAAGAAGCUCAUACAAAAGGAUAUUGGACUAUGCCUUGGAUUUCUCAAACACGUACCAAAAUCCCCUAGAAGCCUUUUUGUUUGGAUGGCGCACUAUAAAUCCUAUCGGGAUCUAAACAAUGUACACCUUUUCGGAUUUGCCCUAGUUUGUUUCGUCGUUAUUAGCCCCUGAUUCACCGUCAUUGUCAACAUUUUCACUUUCAGCCGUUAAUCUCUGAAUUUGAAGUUGAGGAAAACCUCGAGUAACAAAAGGAAUUAAUAAAUAUACAAUAAGCAGGUGGUCUUUUAUGCUGGUUGUACGUAGCAGAACAUUCUUGGACUUCCUUUUUAAUUUGUUCCUCCCGCGUUGUUUUUCUACGCGCUUUCAGAAUCUAACUGUCGUAGUAUCGUCGUGGGUAAACUAUACUCUGACAGCUGUGAGAUUAAGGAUAAAUAAUUAAUUACGUGGGCAUCUUGUUUACGAUUAGUUGUACAUACGUGCGUGACUGUAAGCUUUGAUAAUCUAAAUUAACGGACUGUGUUAGUUGACUAGGUAUAUUUGUCUUAUGUUCACGCAGAAAUUCUUGAUGGCCAAUGUUUUUGCUUGUUAGCACGACGAGGUAGACGUGCAACGGUGCAAAGCAGGAAAUCUCUCUCUCUCUCUCUCCGAAGACCAUAGACCAUGCAUGUUUUUCCUUUUCCUUUUCCUUUUUAAAAAUAUGGAUAUCAUCGUUAUACUUAUAUAUAAGCGCACGCUGUAUGAAAAAUUGAAAAUAUAUAGUCAAACAGUAAGAGCUAAGAGUCAUCUGUGUCAUCAGAUACACCUUCGGUAAACCAGCUAGCAUGCCCUCCAAAUAUAACAUGUUUACAUGUGUCAUCAGCAACACCUUCAGUUUUUUAGAUAUUUAUGAAAAAAUCUAAUAAACUUACAUGUUGAUAAAUAUAUGUAUCAAAAUAUUUAUCUAUGCUUUAUUGGAUUUUUAUCAUAAAAAGAAGUUCUAAAAUUAUCAUAAAUUAAACUUUGGUAACAAAUAAAAAUAUAACCUAUCUCAUCGAUAUGCACAACUUUGAUUUAGGUUAUUUCUUUAUCCAAGAUCGUUCAAACAAUUCAAAACUUUUAAAUUUUAAAACAUGAGAACUUCAAAUAGAAUUUUAGGACAGUAAAUAAUUUCAAAUAAAACAGCCAUCAACUACAAAGUCAAAAAGAUCUAUAAAUUUAGUUUUAGUAUUUCUCCAUCCGAGUUUGUUUGAUCAAAAUAAAAAACAAAUUUCAAAAUAUGAUAACUUCAAAAGAUUUUUGGGAUGGUAAAUGAUUUUAAAUAAAAAAGUCAUUGCCUACAAAAUUGCAUAUCUCGUCGAUAUAUACAAGUUUGAUUUUGUUCAUUCCAUCCAAAUUCUUGCAAACAAUUCAAAACCUUUGAAUUUCAAAUAACAUAAUUUUAGGUCCAUAAAUGAUUUUAAUUAAAGAAAUAUCAACUACAAAGUUGUAUAUCAUAUCGAGAUUUACAAGUUUGGUUUUGGUUAUUUCACCAUUCAAGCUUGUUCUAAUAACUUUAAAAAUAAACUUUAAAAUAUGAUAACUUUAAACAAAAUUUUGGGAUUGUAAACGAUUUCAAAUAAAGAAGACAUCAACUACAAAGUUGUUUACCUCAUCGAGAUCUAUUAUUUUUGUUUUGAUCAUUUCUUCAUCCAAAUUCAGUCCAAUAAUUCAAAAUUUUGAAUUUUAAAAUAUAAGAAAUUCAAACAUAUAGAUUAUAUUUUAAAUAAUUUUAGAUUCAUAUUUACAACAAAAAAAUCCAAUAUAUCAAAAACUAAACUACUUAAUUAAGUCCAUUUUUGGCCCAUCAACUCUUGCCUUUGUCAAACUCAUGAGUGGUUUUGAGAUGGCUUUGUGGUCAAAAUCAAACACUUUGGUAGUUGAUGUGCUAAAGUUCGAUGGCUUUUAAGAGAAAGGCAAGAGUUAAUGGGCCAAAAAUAGACUUAAUCCAUUUUCUUUUGAGAGUUGCAGACGUGUAAUGGAUCUUACUCUGCCUCCAUAUAUAGCUUAAUCAUGUGGUAUAUCAUAGUGUGUGUUUGACAUAGCUCCUCGCUCAGUAGCUCAUCCACUGAAAAUGAAGGGAGGAGCCUCAUAUUGUAUCUCCUCCAUACACUAAAAACAGUCCCAAUUUCUCUUAUGUACCACCAAAAAUGGCUCCUCUUUAGACUUUUGGUACGGCUCCUUUAUCAAAGCUGUCAUCAGAGCCACACCAAAUAUGGCCGUAUUGUCUCUAGACAUCCAUGACAACUCAUCUUUCAUCAAAGUUAUCAUCGUGUGACCUCUCAAGAGCUCACCACCUUCAAAUUCCACAUUUCCACCAUUGUUAGCUAUAAUGCCCACCUUCACACUAAUGCAUCGUGAAAGAGGGUCUACUAUGCUAGCACAAACAAAAAUUACUACUGCCUCUAUCAGGGGCGAAUCUAGGAUAUUAUGCCACUGGGGUCAAGGACUAAACAACGGGGUCAAACACAUGUUAAUUCUCUAUUUAAAAGAAUAAUUUGCAGGUCGAUUAAAGAGCUUUAACUAAAUUUCUGGCAAGUUAUCGGGGUCAGCUGACCCCAAUGAAUACACAUAGAUUAUUAUUGUAGUUGGAGGCACAUUACAAUAGAGGAAGAACACAUCUACAAUAUCCACAUAUUCAUACGAUAGAAAGAAUGUCGUGCACCGAUAUGCUACUACUAUAGUGCACAACUGGCUAGGGUUCUAUGGGUCACUUCCAAGUUAGGAAGGAGCACCAAGUAAAUGACAGAUUAUAGUUCUUUAAAUAUUUGCUAGUUUUUAUUUAUUUCAUGAAUAGUUUACAUUUACAUUUCACUAUUUGUACCUUUAUAUUACUCGUCAGUAGUGUAAACUAUUUAAUGGACUGGACUUCCUUUUUUCUCGAAAAACAGACAUCCAACUGAGUCCUAGCUCCACCAUAGCUUUUCUACGUACUACCUCGAUCUACAAAGGAUGCAAUUCGCAGGAGUUAAACCAAUUUAAAAUUUAAUCAAAGUAAUUAUAUAUAAAAUGCUAACAUUUAUCAUACAAAAUGUACCAUUAAAUUAGGUAUGAAAUAUAGUUUUGUAAGAACAGAGAGAGUAUCAUAUUACAUAAAUGCUUAGUAAAUGAUUUUUAUAUAUAAUAACUUUGAUAUAGCCAUUUUAAAACGUCAGCAUUUUUUGACAUAUUUUUUUUUGUCACGAUAAUAACACGUACAACUUUAAUCCUCUUCGAUAUAGCCAUGGUAUAUAAUAUAUCACGUUUUAUACCUUUUUCUCUUUUAGCCAAGAGGGUGCGCGGUCACUAAAACUAGAAGUUAGAAUGGCCACGUCCGAGCGUGGCAUCAUGGCUGCUGUUCCUAGUGGGAGUAGAGACGAGUAGAGACAAAAAAAAAAAAAGGUGCUGUUAGGGACUUUAGGCCUUGUUUAGUUCGCAAAAUUUUUUGUUUUUGGGUACUGUAACAUUUCGUUUUUAUUUGACAAACAUUGUCCAAUCAUGGAGUAACUAGGCUCAAAAGAUUCAUCUCGCAAAUUACAGGUAAACUGUGUAGUUAGUUUUUAUUUUUGUCUAUAUUUAAUGCUCUAUGCAUGCGACCAAAGAUUCGAUGUGACGGGGAAUCUUGAAAAUUUUUGCGAACUAAACAAGGCCUUAGGUGGAGGGGCGUUGGGUAGUGGCGAUGACGCGACAAAAGACCGCGAUUUGGACGUUGGUGUGGUGACGCCCACAUGCCGGAUGGGAUGAUGUUGUUUACUCGGCGGCCACGACGAGGAUUUGACGAUGAUGGGGACGGAUGGGAGCCAGGAAUAAACGAACAAUAAAACAACCUACACAAUGUAUAAAUUUCAUCUUGAUGUUUUUAAGGCUGGACAAAACAUUUAAUUACUGUAAAAUGAUUGGAUCACAUGCAAGAUGGUGAAACGAUUUAGUUCUCAGUGGGGAUUUCAUCAUGUUUCACCGCGUGGGAAACAACGCCAGCGGAGUUUCACCAUGGUGAAACUACUUCCUUCUCUCUCCUCUUCGUUUCAUGCAAAAAGUACAGUUUUACUGACAUGACGCUCUAAUAAAUAUGCAUAACAUCCUGGUAAAACUACACUGGCCUAGUAUCUCCAACGAACUCAACCGGCGGAGGAGCUCGAUGAUUAUCGAAGUGCCACUAGGCCCACCCAUCAAUGCGCAUUGAGCGGCCUGUGGCAUAAAUGAUCAUUGGAUCUGUUUCCAUAUCUGUCAUAUGCUGAGAUAUAGGACUGAUGACGCCGUUCUUAGAGUGACUCCAGUCUAUUACUAUUGUGUGGAGAUUAUUUUAAAAUUUGUAUAAUAAAAAAACAAAAUAUGCUAUCUAACUUUAUAGAACUGAAAGCGGAUUGAUUUUUAAUUUUCGAUAACCAUAUAUAGAUAACUACGGGUGUUUGCUAUAGCAAAACUGUUGUUGAUCUUUUUUGAAAAGAAAUCUAUUUUACAAAAAUAAUUAAAUAAUAAAAUUUGACUACUAAUUUUAGUUAAGCUAUAGGAGUUAAACGUACAUAUUUCUCAAUCAGAAGAUAAUAGGACCUGUCAAAGUAUUUUUUUAAAAAAAAAGGUGUGCUCGUAAGAAUAGAUUGUGCAUAUUCAUAGGAUAAUUGUACGUGUAUGUGAGCGUUUUCGAUGGGUCUCGGAAAAAAAAUAUCAGUAUCACUCCUUGACUCGUUCACUGAAACCCACAUCUACAGCUCGAUACGUGUGAGCGUAGGAUAAGUGAAUGAAAGGACCACACUGUUCUGUUUUAUACUACGAUUGCUACUGUGCAACGUAUCCAGUCACACAGGCAGUGUGUCUGUGUGUGUGUUUCUAACUUGGGUUAUAUUUUAUUUUAUCUAUAGUACGAUUGUCCAGUUCUCACCUUCAGAUAAUGGCUUUGUUUACUGGUCAUCAACAAGCGACGUGCGGCGCAUCAGGCUCACAGGCUCGCUUCUGUGGCACAAUCUGGUGCGAGGGAGGGACUGGAUUCCAAUUAGUAGCGGCAUAGCAUCGGAGCGCGUGAAUCUGCUGCUUCAUUAGAUAUGAUGCCGUGGUUACAUAUACACUGCUUGAUUACAUGCUCUCUCAAAAUACAACUCCAACGAUUACUUUUCGAUCCAGUAAUAAUUUACAGUAAAACUUAUAUAUGAACAACAUUCCAGAUCAAAUAUUACAGCUACGACAAAAGUCAGAUCAAGUAUUAUAGCUACGACAAAAGUCUAACUGUUCUCUCAGAUCUGUUCAAAACGUGUGGGUAUUUUAGCUAAAACGGUUUUGUUUGUUUAUAUCAGAGGGUCUGUGCAUCCAAAGUCGGUCGACAAAAGAGUAGGAGGCACCAAAUACUUUACACCGCACCGCAUUGUCUUUGAAAAAAAAAAUGUCCGCACAUGUGACCGCAGAUUCUAAAAAGAUUUGCGACCUUCAGGAUCGAGUUGUCAUCGUUGAGAAAAACCGCAGCAUCUCAGUCGAUCAACAACCAUACCAUUGUGACGCCAACAAACCAGACCAAAAAAGAGCCGACAUCAUAACCUGAGCAGUUGUCGUCGACGUAGUACGCACAUUGUCAUUGUAUAGCUCACCUAAAAAGAAACACACUGGCAUGCAUCCAAGCUCAAUUUCCAUGCCACUAAUAUUGUGCCAAUAGACAGACAGCUCUAGAUUCAAGAAUACAGGAUGGAAAACCAUGUCAGCGGGAAAAAAAAAUACAUCACCAACAGAUGGGGGCAUAGGUGUCGUGUGGCAACCAUAAUUAAGCAUCAUCUGGAAUCCGAAACACAAACUAUAGGACAUGUUCCAAAUCCUCAUUCAGAGGAUGCAAACAUUGAAAAGCUACUAAUAUGUAGAUUAUUGAACUACUAACAUAACCCUCAGCAUCACAAAGCUUGUUGAGUCUCCCGGAAUCGGUUCAUGGCAUCAGUGAGCGCGAGACGAAGGUGAAGAAGAGAACUGACAGCUCACGAACAGGCACGUAUCACAUUUCAUGUGUAGAGGUUGCAGACACUAAAAGGUACCACUAAGUCCCUCUUAUCAGCAGCAGGGCCCUGAAACAAGCUAAGGUGUGACGUUACAUCUUAUUCUUGCAAUAACUGUCAGCAAGGAAGUGCAUUAUUUAUUACUCUUACUCCUAGUACAGCAUCAAAAGCCAGGUUCGGAUGAACUUUGACAUGUACCGAGUAUGUCAUACCGAUAGUAACUUUUUCCUGAAUGAUAAAAUCUGUGCAAGGUUAAGCAAUGAGAUCCCCCUCCAACAAUGGUGUGCGGAGGCCCACAAGGCAGAAGAUUCACCAUGCAGGUGCCUUUGACUUCUCCACAAGAAUGAUCCUCCCAUUCCACUCAGUCUCGUCACAAGCACGGAUUGCUGCAUCAGCAUCCUCAUCCUUCUCCAAGGAUAAGAAUCCAAAGCCACGGGAAUCUCCAGUUCUAUAAAGAAUGGAAACAGUACUGAGUAACUUCAUUCUAUCCAAGUGAUGUAUCUGAGUACAACAUCAACAUGAUUGGUUCAAAAAAGUUACUGCAUGCUGGGAACUAAUUGGAUAAUGUAGGGGAAAACAGUGAAAUUCCCUCACACAAUGCUGAAAGUAAUACCAAACCUCUAGAAAAUGCAGUAGUAGCUUUCUUAUAGUUGAUCUGUAAAGAGUAUAAGCCAGGCAAAUUCCUAUGACUGAUUGCUUCAGGUUUAUUACUGAUUUGACAGGAUAAAUUUAGCUAAUUAAGGUUUUGCAGUGCAAUGAUAAGCAGUUUGAAAAUUUCCCAUUGCCAGGCCAACUCCACUUUUCAUUUUAAUUGCUUUGAGUUAUGUAUAACAAAGGCUAUUCAGUUGCAAUUUGCUCUGACGUAUCGACUUAAAAGCCCAGUACUUUGUAUAAUUUCACCAAAAAAAGAAGGUGUGGUUUCUUUUAAGUUUUACUUUUAGCCAAGAUUCUGUUAUUUAGGAGUCAACAUGCCAAACUUAGGUGCAAUGAAGUAUAGACAUUAGAUUGCCUACCAAAAUGUACGAGCAUCUUAUUCUAGACUUAUAGAAGAAUGUAGUUUAAAUAAACUACGCUAUCUAAUAGAUUAAUUCUGGAACAGCUUCACAAAUCAACCAAAAAGCAUUCUAUUCAAAUUUGCAAAAGCAUAAAAAAUCAUAACUGUUUAAAUAAAAAAACAUAAACAAAAGACGAGCAAAAGGUCUUGUCCAAUGAUGGCACUGCACUAUGAAAGAAAGGAUACUAAAAGUGCUGAAACCAGAAGAGUUGCAAAAAAGAUCGUUGACAACAUUACCAAGGAAGCUGGGAGAUACAAAUUUAGCAUAAUAUGGAAGUAAUUACCGUUUAUCACGAACAACACGUGCACUUGUUACACGUCCAAACUUGCCAAAUUUCUUCUCCAAAUCUCGCUCAGUGGUGGCAUAGCUAAAUCCUGCAAUAAAGAGAUUCUUUCCAGGCUUACCCAAUCCAGUCUUCCUGUUGGCAGGUGGUGACCAAUGUCUUCUUGGUGAACGAUGGCGAUGACUAGUUGGGGGUGAUCUGCGCCUUGGCGAAUGCCUUCUACAGUACAAAAAUAAAUAGAAGAGAAUAAAAUAACAGGCAGAAAAAUGAUGCUGCAGACGCCAAAUAAAUAGUCCUACAAUAGAAGUAUACAUGAUACAAAAACGACCUAUUCAAGGAUGCAUGUCCAGACUCCAGACAGUAUCUAAUCAUAAAUCCAGUAUGUUGAAAAACAUGAACCUGGCACGGUCAUUUAAAGGAAUUCAUAAUUUCAGCAGCCUUACUGCCUUAUAGUUACUAAUGGCAAGGAAUCACCUUGGAGAUCGCCUGUGAUGAUCCCUCGAGUGGGGAGACCUGGACCGAGAUCUAUCAUGUUCUUUUCUAUGUCUAGAGGUAUCAUGUUUUCUUGAAGGUGACCUUGAUUUUGACCUAUCCCUCCUCCUUGGGGAAUCCCUCCUUUUUGGUGAGUCUCUCCUCCUUGGUGAGUCUCUCCUCCUUGGUGAGUCUCUCCUCCUUGGUGAAUCUCUCUUCCUUGGUGACUCCCUCCUCCUAGGUGAGUGCCUCCUCCUAGGUGAGUCUCCCCUUCUUGGUGAUUCCCUCCUCUUGUGUGAGGACCUUCGAGGGGAUAUAGAUCUUCUUCGAGGGGGUGUAGAUCUUCUUCGAGGAGAUGCAGAUCUUUGUCGAGGCGACACAUCACCAUGUCGAGACUCUCUCCGUCUUUUCCUUUCUACAGGAGAACUAUGUCGCGCGUGUGGAGAUAACUCCCUUGACGAGGCUCUUUUGCGGCUGGGGUCAUGUUUUUCAGAAGAUCGGGACCGAUGUCUUAUCGAUGGGCUUUCAGAAUGAGCUAACUCACCAACAUCUUUGGCACGAUAUUGUGACUCCAUCUUCUCAGAUUGAUGGGCAUGUGAACCUUCAACUGGAGGAGAUAUCCUCCCGUCUGGAGAUGGGGUAUCCCUUUCCAGUCUUGCAAACCUUUCAGGGGAUACUCUCCCAUCUGGAGAUGGUGUGUCCCUUUCCAGUCUUGCAAACCUGUCCGGUGGAGAAUCAAAUUGAUUGUCUGGAGUUGAACUUCCAUUUCUAGUACCAGGAUUUUUCUGCUCUGUCUGUUCCCAAGAAGGAGGUACAGCUGAAGUGUUAAACUUCUCAUUGUCUCGACCAUUAAUGGGGAAAGGUUUCCUACCAUUCAUUUGAUCAUCCUCUGACCCACUGUUUUCAUUGUGAGAAGUCUCAUGUAACUUUUCCAUCUCCUCAUUUUCCAUCUGAAGCGCAGGAGAGUUUGGAAUAUCAUCAGCAGGAGCCCCACUAUUGUUAAGCUGGUAACCCUUACUACUAUUUUCAGUUAACAAAGAGUCACCAUGGUAGGCAUCAGAAUAUGUAGUUUCUGGUUGAAAGUUUGAUAUAUCAUUACCACUGCUUUCAAGAAGCUUUGGAGGCAACACUGCACCAAUCACUUCUGUGUUCUGAUGUUCAUCACAGCCCAGAGAAGUGAUCUGUUCUUCAGAGUUACAAUUGUGAACAUUUUGUUCAGCUGCAUCAUUCUGUACAUCAGAUUCUAUAUUAAGAGGUUCUUGAGGUUGUUUCAUCGAAGAUUCUGGACUAGCUGAAGCAGAUUUCAUUACAUUACAAGUGAUUUGAUCAUUCAUGAAGGGCGGAGAAUCUGUAGAUAAAUACGGAAUUGCAUCAGCUGGAUCAACCAAAAGUCCAUGAUCCAGUGUUGGAGACUCAUGUUGUGGAAUUCCUCCUCCUUGAUAACCCAAGUGGUCCAACAGGCUGCCACCUUGGUCUCCAAAUAAUGGCCCAGGAUCUCCACAAGUCCCCUCCAGAUUUCUCUCAGGGGAUAUGUACUCCAUCUGAAUGAGCAAAUUUGAAUAGCAUAAGCAUACAUAGCUUGCUCAAUAUAGCUAUACAGGUCCAAAUAACUCAUUACACCAUAAUUUCGAACAGAAAAAAAAAUAGAUACGCUGAAGCAGCAAAAUUAUCACCUUCUUGGUAUGAUGCGUGCAGCACUACCUCAUAGGAAAUAAUAUAAACAACAGGCCUCUUUGCAUUUCGAAGUGCUGAUUUGCAUUUGCAUUAAGACCGUAUUGCUCAAUAAGUGUGUCAACAAAAGAAUACUACAGUGGAAUGUCAGACUUAACUAACUCAGGUCAGGUGUGGCAAAGUGUGUUCGGUGAACAAAAAUAGCAACAAUCAUAACUCAAUCUUAGUACUAUGUUUCAUAAAUGGCAAUACAGGUUAGAUAUUCCAAUUCUAAAGCCAUGUUAGUUCUACAAUCAGAACAAUACAAAUCCAACAAUGAUGCCUAAAAUAAUAAUAAAAAAGGUUUGUUUGGUUUGUGCCCAGCCAGCCUUGGUGCGAUACGUCUACCCAACAGAAUUUAGCAAUUAUCAGAUGCCAUCCAAAUCUUUUGCCCGCCAAAUUUUGGUAACGCAUAUUAGGCUACAAACCAACUAGCCUUCCACUGGUUCUCACAGUGAUUGUAAUAAAAUUCUACAGAUUAUAAAGGGCACAUACACAUGCACAUUAAAAAAACAUUCACGAAAUUCCACGAGUCAAGUUCUGACUUCAAUAGUUGUAAGACUCUAGUUCCACUUCCAAGUCAUCAAGUUUAUUUGAAGAGAAACAACAUAGGACAUAAGACGCUAUAUAAAAACCAUUUUGGACACUCUGGACAUACAUGGUAACAGGUUUAUUUAUGGUGAUUUUCCAGCUUUUAUUUGAGAAGGUCAACAUCUAUCGUAAAAUCCCAGAACAUUAGUACCGUUCCCACACUUCAACAUGACAAUGCCUAUGAAGUAACCCCUAGCAUCCUCCUAGAAACAGCAGCGGAACAAAAAUCAACUGCACAGAGUACCAGAGAUUUCAGUGAGCUAUUUUGGAACACCAGCAGCGCCAAAUCGGUAAAAAAUUCGAACCCGGUUCCUUACGCAGAUCCUCACUCCCCCUCAGUGACACACAUGAACCAAGCGCAACAAUGAGACCCGAUCGCAACAAUUCACUACGGCCGCAACCACACAACAGACCAACCACGGCGUCUAAUCCGAGUGCCAACCAAUCCAGCGCGAAAUCCGCGCAACCCGGAUCGAACCAGCUACCGCAUCUAGGGCCCCCCCAUCCGCGGAUCCGAAACCCAAUUCCGAGCGAGCGAGCGAGGCUGCGUCGUGGGGAAGCGGAGCGCUCACCUCGGACGGCGCCGGCGCGCGCCACCUCCACCGGCCCCCGCGAUCCCUCUCGCGCCUCCCCCGCGCGAGGUUUUCUUCUGCCCCCCCUCUCUCCUCCUCUUCGUUAGGAGAGAGAGACCGGUAGAGAUUUUUGGGGAGGCCGUACGAAACGGAGGGCUUCGGUGGUGUGGUGGCCUGGUGGGGCAGUAUGGCUGGCCAAGGAGGAAAUAUGCCGCUGAGCUGCGGUGCGCGUGACGUGAGUGAGGUGAUAUGAGCAGGGUGGGCCCCAACCUAGAGGCCCCACCGGGCAGCGGGUCGUGUAGGCAGCCGGUGACCGGUGGGUGACCAACUACGCGGUGACUGUUUGUAACUAUCGUUCCAACUUGCAACGGAAGCGUGCUGCACCGGGCACCUACCUGCACGUGGCGUUGUCCUGCGCCGGCGGAAGCGAGACUUCCAUGGGCAGCACUUUCGUUUGUAUUUGACAAAUAUUAUCUAAUCAUGCACUAACUAGACUCAAAAGAUUCGUCUCGUCAAUUUCGACCAAACUAUGCAAUUAGUUUUUAUUUUCGUCUAUAUUUAAUACUCUAUACACACGUCUAAAGAUUCGAUGUGACGGAGAAUCUAAAAAAUUUUGCAAAAUUUUUUAGGAAGUAAACAAGGCCCCAUCCUCAGUCAGUCCGUCUCGUCGGCGGCGAGUGUCUGCGGGCCGUGUUUAGUUACGCAAGAAAAAAAUUUCGUGACACUGUAUCAUCUUCAUUUGUUUGUGGUAAUUAUUGUUCAAUCAUAAGCUAACUAGACUUAAAAGAUUUGUCUCGUCAAUUUCGACUAAAUUGUGUAAUUAGUUUUCAUUUUUAUCUAUAUUUAAUAUUAUAUAUAUAUAUAUUUAAAAAUUCGAUGUUACGGAAAAUUUUGAAAAAUUUUAGCUAUUAGGGUGGAAGUAAACAAGGCCUGCGAGUUAGUUUUGCUUUUGGGAUCGAAAAUGAUGAGAGCACGCCGUGAUGAGCUAUCAUCCGGCCGCCGCCGCGGCAGCGGACCAAGAUGCGGUCACGACCAGCCUUUCGGCCCUUGCACACCGCACGCUCUAGGUCUCGCCGUCUCGCUGCUUCGUCGGUGGCCACUCACGGCACUCCUAAUGCAAGACUCUAUAUUAUUUAUGAUAUUUUACUGAUGUGGCACUAUAUUUAUUGAAGAAAGAGGUAGAAAAAAUAAAACUACAAGUCUUACUUAGACUCCAAGUCUACAUUGCUCGAGGUAAUAAAUAAUUUUAGACUCCAUGAUAGAGUCUGUAUUGUAAGUGCCCUAAGUUCUUCUAGACCAGAUCACCCCAGGCUCCCCUUUCGGUGUUUGGAAUAACCUCAGUUCUGAUAGGCCCUCAACGCCUCGUGUCUUGUGAUUUUGCAGCACGUGGUUCUUCGCCAGUUGAAGAGGGUCCUUAGCUUGCAGUUGCAGCUGGACCUGGAUGGCUCGACUGCUAGAAGAUUCAGGUGUGUAGUACUAGUAUGUGUCUGCUCCUGUAGGACUGUAGGAGGGAGAACGUCAGCUUGUAAAGCAGCGUGUUACCGAUAAUUUCAUUUGAAUCUAUACAGUGUGAUCGAGUGAUAGUACCAUUUUGCCAUCUUAUUUAGGACAUGUUUGGAUCACAUAUUCACUGUUAUUAGGCCCCUUUUGGUAGCUUUUAUUGGGUCUGGCUUCUUGACACAUUCAUGAUUCACACAAGCUAAAACCGGUGGGAGCUUUAGACCCUGUUUAGUUUCCCACCUAAAAUUUUUUUAUCCAUUCCAUCAAAUAUUUAGACACAUACAUGGAAUAUUAAAUAUAGAUAAAAAAUAAAUUAAUUACACAGUUUGGUUGAAAAUCACGAGACGAAUCUUUUAAGCCUAGUUACUCUAUUAUUAGCCUUAAGUGCUACAGUAACCUACAUGUGCUAAUGACAGAUUAAUUAUGUUUAAUACAUUUGUCUUGUAGUUUCACGAGUUAUGUAAUUGUUUUUUUAUUAGUUUCUAAAACCUCUUUCGAUAUUCUUCCGACACAUCCGAUAUAACACAUAAAAAAAUUUCAUCUCCAAUCUAAACAUGACCUACCAAAUGGAGCCUCAACUGAGGUCCUAUUGAUCUUUAGGCCUUGUUUAGUUCACUCCAAAAACCAAAAUCUUUUCAAUAUUCCCCGUCACAUUGAAUCUUACGUCAGAGUAUUAAAUAUAAACGAAAAUAAAAACUAAUUGCAUAGUUUACCUGUAAAUCACGAGAUGAAUCUUUUAAACCUAGUUACUCUAUGAUUGGAUAAUGUUUGUCAAAUAAAAACGAAAAUGCUACAGUUCGGAACUAAACAAGGCCUUAGAUGAUAUCUUACCUACCAUUCAGAUAAUAUUUAGCUGUCAGCAGGCUUUUUGCCAGCUUAAAUUAGCUAAAUAUCAGUACGCACUUUUCUAGCUUAAAUUUAGCUAGGUGGAUCCAAACCAGGCUUUUAAUUUUUGUCUGUGUUGGGCAUGCUGGAAUAUUGUUCUCUCUGUCUUGCCACACAAAUGCCCAAAAUAAACGUACUGGUGUUCAUCGGUGCUUUAAUUUCGCUGUGAUUUGUGAUGACGAGGUCUGAAACAAAUUCAUUCAGUCCUUACAGUUUAAGCCUAACUCUUGGCUUCGGUUUAUAUGGCCUUGUUUACUUCUAAAUUUUUUUGCAAAAUAUAAAUAGUGACACUUUCGUUUGUAUUUGAUAAAUAUUGUCUAAUUAUGAACUAAUUAGGUCAAAAGAUUCGUCUCGUCAAUUUCGACCAAACCGUGUAAUUAGUUUUUAUUUUCGUCUAUGUUUAAUACUCAAUACAUGCGUCUAAAGAUUCGAUGUGACGGAAAAUCUGAAAAAUUUUACAAAAUAUUUUGGGAACUAAACAAGGCCAUAGUUGUACAAGUUUGAUAGAAAGCCCGUUUUGAGCUUUCUGAAAAGCGAACUGGACCUAGUUUAGAAAACGUACACUUUCGUUCUCCUCUAAAGAAAACAUCAAGCUGCAGAGUUGCGACCGUGCACGCGCGCCCGUGAGCGUGUGUGGACAGCAGCAAGCGACCGCCUAGCCGGCCGGCCCCAGUCCCCAAGCCACACUCCAUGACGAUGGCCGCCAGGUGCUCCGACGAGGCGCCUCCACGCCCGCGGCGGACCGCGACGUGUCGCGCGGCGCCGCCUCCAUGGAACUCUCGCGCGCCCGCCUAAGCCUAGCACGAAGUCACCGGAAGAAGAACACGCUGGUGAACUCCAGCUCCAGCGACACCUCGGUAUAAAUAAACCAGGAGACGGCGAGGUAAACCUCUGCAGCUGAGGUUUACUAGUUCCCGUCGGUGACCGUACGUACGUGAAGAAGUCGAUCGAUCAAGAGCUCGAUCAAGCUGACCAGACCAGCUACGACAUGGCCUCCCUGCAGCAACGCAAGGUGAGAUCGAGAGUUGUCUUCCUGUCUUGGCCGGCCGGGUGAUCCGGUGUACGUACGAUUUCGUGUAAAAAAAAUAACUUGCGUGGACUGGGGUUUUUUUCUCGUAUUGUUAUUGUUCGGCCGGCGAGGAGGAGAGCGGCGGCGACCAUGGCCAUGCGGCUGCGGACGAGGCGGUGCGCGGGACGGGGAAAGGCAAGAGCGAGGCGGCGCCGGGGCGACGGAAGGUGACGUACGGGUUCCACCUGGCGGAGGGCCGGACGCCGCACGGCAUGGAGGACCGCCACGUGGCCGAGUUCCGGCAGCUGGACGACGGCAACGAGGUCGGCCUCUUCGCCGGCCACUCCGGCGCCGACGUCGCCACCUACCUCCGCGAGCACCUCUUCGACAACAUCCUCAACCAAGUAAAACAUCCAUUUCUUUAGCAGUACUUGAGAUCGAUGCUUGCGUCGAUUUUUUUUUUUUUUUUUUUGCCGUGACGUCACGCGCGGCAGCCGGGCUUCGAUUUCUGGACGGACCCGAUGGAGGCGAUCCGGCGCGCGUACCACCGCACGGACCGGAAGGUGCUGAAGAAGAAGAAGAAGAAGGACGACGACGGCGAGGGGAAGGGGAUGGGCAGCCGGCGGCGCGGCGGGUCGACGGCGGUGACGGCGAUCCUGAUGAACGGAGAGGAGCUUGUGGUCGCCAACGUCGGCGACUCCCGCGCCGUGCUGUGCGACGCCGGCGGCAGGGCCAGGCAGCUGUCCGUGGACCACGAGCCGCUCCGCGAGCGCCGCGCCAUCGAGGCCCGCGGCGGCUUCGUCACCGAGAUCCACGGUCGGUAACGCACGAAACGAAACGCCCCUCGAUCGAUUGCAUUGCAUGCACGAAACGACACGAUCCCAUUGUUGUUGUUGUUGUUGACGACGACGUACGCGCGCGCGUGCAGGAGACGUGCCUCGCGUGGACGCGCAGCUGGCCAUGGCGCGCGCGUUCGGGGACCGGUCGCUCAAGGAGCACAUCAGCGCGGACCCGGACGUGGCCAUCGAGGACGUCGGCGACGGCGCGGAGCUGCUCGUGCUGGCCAGCGACGGCCUGUGGAAGGUGAUGUCGAACCAGGAGGCGGUGGACGAGGCUCGGAGCAUCGAGGAUGCCCGCGAGGCGGCGGUCAGGCUCGUCGACGAGGCAGUGCGGCGGGGCAGCAAGGACGACAUCUCCUGCAUUGUCGUGCGACUGCACUAGCGAACACCUGCUCAUGCAAAAUGUAUGCGGCUGUUUAGAAUCAUUUCGGGCUUAGGCCCUGUUUCGCACUCGGCGGACUCUCAGAGCUUUAUUCUCCGCUGAAUCUGGUCAAACAGUUUUUUCUGAGAGAGAAAAAUUCUAUGUUGAUCUUGUAAAGUGAUUUUCUAAAAUAAACUGCUAAAAACUGAAAAUAAUAGUUUCUCCUGAUUAUGUGAAAUAAUUUUAAAAAAUCAAAGAGAAACACUUUUAACCAUAAUAUUAUUUCUCUCAAAAAAAAAGAAUCAGAACAUAAAAGCUUCUUCAAGAAAACUCUGAACUGGACUAUAGUACAAAUUUAGAUAUAUUUUUUUGAGCAAUGUAGUGCUCUACAAAUUUAGAUACUGAGUUAAUACUCGGCGAGAGGAUGGAUAAAUUCAUAGAUAGAUUGCAUUCUAACAAACCGAUUCUUUCUGGCCCAGCCCAGGAACACUUUCAGCAACAGCCGAGGCCCAACUCUUACUCCGCAAACGCCUCUCGAAAGACCCCGCAGGGCCGCAGACGAGCAAGCAAAUCCUCCGGCCUCCACGCUGUCAGUCGUCACCGUCGCUAGCCUACUACUAGCUACGUUACACAGAGUACGGAUACGAGUAUCCGAUAUAAUAGGUAUCGGAUACGUGGAUACACACUUUCUUAAAAAAAAAAAAAUCUAUCGGCGUCACCUCGCUGGAGUAUCCGUGUAAUACUAGUACAGCACGGGCGGGCGCGCGAUCGCACCCACGCAAAUCGCGACAAUCCCCCAGGCCCCCACCGUCCCAACUCCCAACGCCCUCGCCCGUGCUCGCAGUUGGUAGGGUUCUAGCCAUGGCGUGGAGCGCCGCCGCCGUCUCCAGGUUCGCCGCCACCUCCCCGGCCGCGGCACCCAUCUCCGUCAGGCUCGGAGCCGCCGCCUCCCGCUCCUCCCUGUCCUUCUCCAGCGGGCGACGCCGCUCCGUCGCCGCGUCCCUCUCGACCUCCGCCACCGGUACGCCUCCCGCUCCCCUGCCGCCAACAGACGCGCGGAUCGCUAGUGGUUUCCUUGCACUUACUGUUUACCUCGUCGUAUCCUAUUUCAUAUUCAAAUGUAAUUCGAGGCGGCGAAUUUUAGUCAUCCUUUCUUGUUUGAAAACGGAGGAUGGAUUGCUGCAGCGAUUCGAUUGUAGGGGCAGCUAAUCCAUGCUAAUAAUUAGCUAAAUAUGUGCAUUGCUGAAUUUGCUGGUCAAUGUUUUCUGCCGGCGAUAAAGUUUGCAUUGUGCAAUGAGAAGUGCAAGCUUACUCAUCGUUAACCAAUAAAAAAAAGCUAUUGGUUGCUCAUUUAGCUGGAUGGUCACUUGGUCAGUGCGUAUGACACCAGCAAUGGCCAAUAUAAACAUAGAUAAAUGAUUUAAUUUCUAAAGGGCAAGAAAAGCAAUGAGGUUUACUUUCUGAUGCCAAGAGGAUUAGUGGAAUGCUGAAUGUGUUGGGAACAAAGGGCACAUAAAGGUGAUUGGUGUUCAUUUCGGUUGGAAAUCUGGGAUUCACAUGGUUCUAUACUUCUAUGUAAGAAACUGCUCUCACAAGUGCUGAAUGGUUACUAUUUAGUAGUGACAGUUUGCUAGAACAGUGCUAUACCUCUUUAAAAUGCAAUUAGGCAUCUAUUGUGCCACUGAAAAUUUUCGCAAUCCCUUAUAUGUCACUGAGAAUCAUGAAAUUAAUUUCAAAGUGUCAAUCUUAGCACACUGUGAAAAUGCAGUUAUCCUGGACAACAAUUGCUCACCUGACCCUGAUGUUUUCAAACAUAAAAGAAAGGAACUGGACUAAAGGACAACUACAAACCCAAAACAUAAUUAACAUGGUUUAUGAGUUGCGAGUUGAUGCUAUUGAACAAAUAAACAAAACUGGUUCUUUCUCCUACAGUCCUACACAUGGCAACUUUGCAGGGCAUUUGAUUCUCUAUUGAGGGGGAAGUCUAAAAUAGAAUUUGAACGUCUUGGACCAUCUCAUAUGCUAUACUGACAAUUUUGGGAAAUUCUGUUUAGCUGUAAAGGAGGCUGUUCAGACAGAGAAGGCACCGGCAGCUCUAGGCCCUUAUUCUCAGGCCAUCAAAGCAAACAAUCUUGUGUUUGUUUCUGGAGUUCUUGGCUUGAAUCCUGAGGUUUGCUUUUGGCUGUUGUUCUACCAUUUUGUUGGUUUUAUCUACAUGACUUGUAUCGGCUAGUUUGCUGGUUGUAGGUGAUGACACAACUAAUGUGCCUUUCUGUUUUCAGACCGGGAAGUUUGUAUCUGAAAAUGUUGAGGAGCAAACUGAGCAGGUGAAGACUUUGAUUCCCAGAUGUGAAUAUAUAUCAUUUGUGACUCAGUUUCUCAGUUGUUCCCAGUAUCUAUUGAUCUGGCAUAACAAUAUGCGUUUCAGACAUCUGUUAAAAUAACUAAUAUGAUUCACUCAUGCUAUAUGAAAACCUAUCUGAAAUAUUUUAGAAAUUUGAUACUGAAUCCGCAUCUGCUAAAUGCAGAAAUGGGAUAUCCUGUAUGACAUUCUGCAGGAACAUAGGUUGCCUUUUUCAAGUUUGCGUUCAGAAAACAGUUGUCUGCUGUAUCAUACUUUCUUUGUCACAGGUUAUGAAGAACAUGGGCGAGAUAUUGAAAGCAAGUGGUGCUAGUUAUUCUUCAGUUGUGAAGACAACAAUCAUGUAAGCACAUGUUCGUUACAUGGGUCAAGGCUACUUUGCUAAAGAUAUUUUGAUCUCUCCAGGUGUGAUUCAGUGAUUCUAUUCUUGUACCCGCAGGUUGGCUGAUCUGCAGGAUUUCAAGAAAGUGAACGAGGUCUAUGGCAAAUGUAAGUUUGAGCUGUGUUACCCUUCCUGGUCCUAGUGAUGUAAUAGUUCAGAUUACCAUAAUCAGAUUCUCGAUGUCAUAUCCUUAACCUUUCUUUUUCCUUUUUUCUGAAGAUAUUUGCGGUUCUUGUUGCAGAUUUCCCGGCACCUGCACCUGCACGUUCAACAUACCAAGUGGCAGCGCUGCCACUGAAUGCCAGGAUUGAGAUCGAGUGCAUCGCGGCUCUCUAAUCAGAUCAUUCAACCACUCAUCAAAAUCAUCAAUAAGCAUUCCCACCGUGUCUAUGUAGUUCACUAUCCUGGAAGCCCCUGAGGCAUUUGUGGUAGAAGUACUUCUAGUGUCAAUCGAAAAAAUGAGACUUGUACCAGUCCAGUUCCUGAAAACUGCGGAUAAUAAACCUUGGUGUCCAGGAUAAGUGAUGUGUGUGUGAACAGUGCAUCUGGUAGGAGAAUUGUUGGGUGGUUCGUUACUCGGAUUCUUCGCUCUUUAAGAGUACGAUGGAUCAACAUCAGUAGCCUUAGGUUUUAUAGUGAGACUUGUAAAAGCAACAAACAAACACACCGUAAGGCCUUGUUUAGUUCUCAAAAAAAAUUGCAAAAAAAAUUUAGAUUUUCCGUUACAUCGAAGCUUGUAGCGCAUGCAUAGAAUAUUAAAUAUAAAUAAAAAUAAUAACUAAUUGCACAGUUUGUCUGUGCGAGGUAAAUCUUUUGAAUCUAGUUAGUCUAUGAUUGGAUAAUAUUUGUUAAAUACAAGUGAAAAUAAUACAUUGUCUCUUUUACAAAAAAAUUUGGAACUAAACAAUAGCUAAGUUUUAUAAUGAGACAUAAAAACAGCAUACAGAGGCGCGGGGUGAUUCCCUUGACGCAGGGAAGGGCAGCGGCGGUAGCUCAGACAUCAGAGGACGUCUGGCAUCGCAUAUGUACGCUAGGCCUUUUUAGUUCACCUUGAAAACUGGUUUUCAAGAUUCUCCGUCACAUCGAAUUUUAUAGUACAUGCAUGAAACAUUAAAUAUAGACGAUAACAAAAAUUAAUUUACACAGUUUAGCUGUAAAUCACGAGAUAAAUCUUUUAAUCCUAGUUAGCACAUAAUUGGAUAAUAUUUAUCACAAACAAACGAAAGUGCUACAGUACCGAAAAGUGAAAACUUUUCGGAACUAAACAAGGGCCUACUGAAAAACUGCGCAGCCGCCGCGAAAGAUUGGCAAUGGAUUGCAGUAAGAUUGGGCGGGUUCUUUUUUUUUUGGCUGAAUCAUGGAAAAAAAAAUAGUCCGCUAUUUUUGCCGCUAUAGCCUAAAAUAAUUUAAAAAAAAUUAUGCCGCUAUUUACGUUCAUACAUAAAUUUGCCGCUAAAAUAUGCUAAUUACGGUUUAUAAAACGCUAAACACCUUGGUCUUAGCUCGCUAUUUAAAACAUGGGUCUGAAUGCAACGACCUCUCUUUGCAGCACUUUCUGGAGAAAUACUCCCUCCGUCCCUUUUUAAUUGUCGCUUGCGCUUUCCGAAAAACAACUACCGCUACCGUCAAUUAUAUAUUAAAAAAUAUUAAUAUUUAUAAUACAUAAUUAGUAUCAUUAGAAAGAUCUUUGAAUCUAGUUUUUUAACAAAAUUAUUUGGAAAUACAAAUGUUGCACGUAUUUUUCUAUAAAACAAGUCAAACUUGUGGCACGUACAACAACAACGACAAUUAAAAAAGACGGAUAGAGUAAUAGUUUUCAUAGAUUCUGAUGUGUUCAAUCCCUCACUAUAAUCAUUUCCUACCUACUCUCCACUUUGCUUCUCCACUAUAGAAAGCAGCCUGAUUCCGUUAGCAGUUUAGGAGCCCCCACACUAGUCCUACGAGGCCACAGCGCCGCCGCGGACUCACCGUCGCCAGACUCGCCACCGAGCUGCCGCCCGCAGCUGAACGCCGCCGCUCCCGCUCGACUGGUCUGAUCAGAAGGUGCUCCCUCUCCCUCUCAUCCCGUCCCUUUUUUUUGGCAGCACUGGGUUGGGCAUUUGGGGUUUUUGGUCCGAUGCCAUAUCGUAUCCAGUGUGCACGGUUCUAUCGAUUUUUUGGUGCCGAUCGUGGGUGCAGAUCUUAAACGGUUCCGUUUGGUGCGUGGUUCUAUCCGUAGCAUGUCCUAAGGACUAGGACAUUGCGGUUCAUCGAAUUUUGCAAGUUAAUUUACUUUACAAUUGGCUACCCUACACACAAGUUAGUUGUUUCAAAAUUCGCACCAUUUACAGGCUGUUUGCAUAGUUCUUUCUUUUUGGUAUCGCAUAUGAAUGAUAUACAAAUAUAUUUACAAAUCCAUUCAUAUAUGCAUAUACGCCGGACAGAUAGUCCCUCUCCUUGUACUGAUACAGAUCUUUUAAAUAGUUGCAAGCACGUGAUGAUUAUUUUUUAUAUGGAUUAUGGAUUGGUUCAUACGAGUGAUUACACAAGCACGAAAGUGAAUUUCGCUUCUUUAGUAGUAUGAUACAAUGGAAUGCCUUAGGAAAAAAAAUGUUUCCCACUCUACUUCCUUCAUUGAAUGAUUGAAGUAAAAUUCCGUUUUUCUAAUGAUUGGUAUACUACAUUUGGUGUAUGGGUAUCUUGCUUUCUAAUUUCUGUUGUGCACAAGUUUAUUCAUUUUUCCUUUUCGUAGGUUCUGCGGGAGUUUACCUAUAAACUUUCUUAUCUUCAACAUUAACCCAAUGCAACUUUUUAGGAACCAACCUAUGUAAGGCAAUGCUUACCACCUGUACUGGCAAGCUACAACUAAUAUGGAACGCCAUAUCCUGCGUACUGCUCUUCUACGCUUUCAUCACUUUUGAUUCACCUCAUAAGAUCUGCCACAGCAAGAGACCUUUCAACUUCACAACAUCGGUCUCUAGGUCGUUGCAUGAGAUCCACGCCAAUUCAAGACUUGUUCAUGAGUAUGUGCUGUUCUGAUUUGUCUUUCAACAGCCUGAGCCAGCUCUGUACUAUCUAUUUUCUGUUUUGAUUUUGAUUAUGUUUUAGUAGGCUUCAGAUUUGACCCAUUGUUCUUGUGGCUAACCUGAAUUACAGAAAGGUCGUCGUUGGACAGAGGCUGGCAGAAAACACCCAAACCAUUACUAACAUUACUACAAUUGCGACAUCUGGCUGGAGCAUUGUGAAGAAAGAGUUCACAUUUCCUGCUAGGCGUGCCCCUUUCAAUAGCUGUCAUGCUUCCACUAUUGUACAGGUACAUGGCCUCUGGAUGUAAUAGCAUUUUAAAGAAGACAUGAGAAUCGCUCACGUAUGAAGUUUGUUCAAGCAGAUUGAUGAAGGGAAUUUUUUGGUGGCAUAUUUUGGUGGAUCUACGGAAGGUGCUCCGGAUGUCAAAAUCUGGUUGCAGAGAUAUAGUGUGGGUUCAAUUCAUCAAACAUACAUAAGUUUUUUUUUACACCUAGAAGAGCAGGCUUUACAUUUUACUAACAAACUUACAUUUUUAGGGUGGCCACUGGCAUCCUCCAGUAGUGGCUGAUGAGCAAUUGGGGGUGCCUAUGUGGAACCCUGUUCUGUUUCAGCUUCCCUCUCGUGAACUGCUUCUCUUCUACAAGAUUGGCCAAGAAGUCCAGAAGUAUGACCUUGGUUAUGACCUCGGACCCCUUAUCUCUGAUAGACCAGGCUGUUCCAAAGAAAUAGAUGAAUUUGGUGACCUGAGGCUAACUACAACUCAUUCAGGUGGAGUGGUGCCAUGAAAAGGUCGCUGGAUGGCGGACUAACCUGGUUACCAAGAGAGCAGCUGCCACCUGGUAUCCUUGGUCCAAUUAAGAACAAGGCAUGUCAAAAUUCCUGGUCUUUUGCUCUGUGUCACAUCAUAGCAUAGCAGUUUUGGAUGCUAUGUUUUCUGCAAAACUAAUUAAAUUCCAAAUGCAGCCAUUCUUGCUUGAAGAUGGUCGCCUACUAUGUGGAUCAUCAGUUGAGAGUUGGAACUCUUGGGGUGCAUGGCUUGAGGUAUCCAGAUGUUUCUCUGUUCUUUCUUUGAGAAAUCAUGUAGAAGUUACUCCUUCUGUUCAAACUUGUCUGUCUUUAACCGCUAGUGUUUCUUAAAACGACUUAUAAUUUGGCACUUAGGGAGUAACAGCUAGUGUUUCUUAAAUAAUGGCUCUCGCUUCUGACAAAUCUUUAGUAGCAAAGGUUACACAAAACGCCGGCCGUACAUGGAGAAAGUAUGGCCCUAUAUAUGUAGAAGGACAGCCACUUGGGGUGAUUCAGCCAGUUCCCUACCGUACUGCAAAUGGGAUUAUUCGAGUGCUGCUAAGAUCAUUUCAGACAAUAGGCCGUGUCUGUAUGGCAGACUCCUUUGAUGGAGGUGUGACAUGGAGUUUUGUGCGAGGAACUGAGCUUCCAAACCCGAAUUCUGGUGAAGUUCCCUAAAGCCUUCAAGGCAUACAUACGAAUUUCUUAAAAAUAUUUGCUACCGCUCUAUUUACAUCUCCAGACUUGAAAGCUGAAGGUAUUGAUGGAGUUAAGAUGAAGGAUGGAAGAGUGGUGCUUGCCUACAACACUUUUUCCAGAGGAACGCUCAAGCUCGCAGUUUCCUUAAAUGAUGGUGAUUCUUGGAACGAAGUGCUGACACUGGAGGAUACCAGUGGUAUGGAGUUUUCAUAUCCUGCAGUGAUCCAGACCAUGGAUCAGCUCAUACAUGUGACGUACACAUACAACCGAACGCAGAUUAAGGUGAUUUCCCUGAUUCACGCAUAAUGAAACAGUAAUCUUUGCAGCAUUAGUGUUUUUUCCUCGCUCUGUUGAUACUGCAUUUGCUAAAGAGUAUUCUUGAAUGCCUUGCAGCAUGUUGUUAUUAAACCUGGUGCCACGAUGAAGUGAAUCCGCAACUAUGGGAGGAUCAUGGUUUGCAACAUGGAAGCACUUAAACUUUGUUCAACAGCUUUGUGUGACAAUUACAUCAUACUUGCUAAAUUACCUGAUUGUAUUGUGCUUCUAGGUUGUUGCUGAAGAAACGUUUGCAACUACAUUUUUAACAGAUGCUACAUACAUCCCUCCCAAAAAGAGUGGCACGCUACGCUAGUGUUCAAAAUUUGUUCCAGAAAGAGUGUCAUUUCACCCUCUGGACUAGUUUGGUGGGAACCAGCUACCAAGAGUCAUUUUUUUGUAGGCACAUCAUCUUAUACUAGUAAAAUUAUUAAAGAUUUGUUGGAAAUGGAAAGAUGUACAUGUGCACAGCUGUUCCUUAUCUGGCAGUUCUAUCCCUUUCUCUUGUCGUGCCAGUCAACUAUCAUAUGCUCUGGUUGGGCUCUUUCACUAUGACCAAAUUCCAACAUUAAUUAGAGAAAGGUAAUGGUCAUCGCUACAGAUUCACUCCGACAAAACAUCCUGUCAGAACAAUGCAUUUGUCUUGCUUAAUUCAUUCUGUUUGGGAGUUAGUAUCCGUAACAAAUCUUCAGCCUUUUUUCUAGGAUGACUUAUCGUUAGAGGAUAGGGGAAUGAAAGAGAAACCACGGAUGUAUUUGUUGACAAAUUUUAUUAUGAAAUGUAUAGUACAGUAUAGGAGCAGGAGCUGAGCGUGUUCGGUUCGUUAUUUUUUUUGGCACUAAACAAAAAGUGUUAUGCCAAAUCAGUCACUGUCCUCCCACUCUCCCUCGUCUCCACUCUCCUCCGUGACUUGACCGCAGACGCGACUAGAGCAGUCACCGCGGCGUUGCUGCCGUGUCUUGCCCCGAACCAUAGCCGUCAACGGCUCAACGCCGCCGCGAACCGCAGCGGCGCGACCCCCAUUCGAAGCCGGGGCCAGCGAAGCGAGCGCCUCGCUUCCACAACUUGCUAGCUGCAGCUGCAGCGCCGCCGGCCCGACCAACGCCCGAGCCAGCCGUGGGCGUACGGCCGCCGAUUCCUCUGGGAGUCUGUGCUCUGGUGGAUGGUGAUCCCUCUCCUCAUACCGUUUCUGUUGGUCCUGUGCGAUGUAGGCCUAAAUGGCUAAGUGGGUGCGGUUACUUCGUGGAUUUUGCUCGGGUUACCUGUAGUUCCGCUUCCGCCGUGUUCUCGCGGUAGGUAGAGGAUCGAUAUGUGUGUCCCUGUUGAAAGAAAUAUUCGAUUCUUCUCUUUGAGAUGAUGAGGACGAUAUUCUUGGUGAUUGGUGGAGAUAGAAUGGCCUCAAAAGAGUGAUUAUAUGUGCAUCGAAGUGAUUUAGUGGUACACUAAUGUGAAGCAGUGAGUGUGAUAUCCUCUGUCAGGAAUGCAUAGUGUUCGUUCUCUUCCUAGAACAUGGAUGUUUUUUUUCCUUAUGCCAGUUGUAAUGUGAAUAUGUGAUACGGAGUUAGUAUCCAGUUUUAGGAUAUACAGUAGGUCAGUAGCCUUUCUUUUUUCAAAGCUAGUAUGGCGUAUCUGAAAUCCUAAGAAAAGAAAUUGUUGGCAGUCUGCAAUCUUCUGUUCCUUAAAGCAAUUCUGAAAACUAGGCUAGUGGAUAUGUUGUACUACUUGGUAUUGCAAAGGCUGUCUUAUAUGGCUUACUUAUCUUUAACGUUACCCUGUUGCAGCCUUGUAGGAACACACUUGAUGAGGUUACAAUACGUGUGGAACGCUGUACCCUUCAUCCUGCUAUUUUCUGCGCUCCUCUUUAUUCCUGUCUCAACACAUAAAAUCUUCUCCAAAAAUAAACCUUUCAACUUCACUACACCAUCUGCUAGUGCUAGGUUGUUGCUUGAGAUCGGCCAAAGUUCAGGACUUGUUCAGGAGUAAGUUCUAGCUUGCCUUUCACAGCGUUAGGAAGCUAGAUUUUUCUUUUUUAUGUUUAAUGGGCUUGGUAAUUUCAUCUUUUGACUUCAUCGCUAACCUGAAUGACAGCAAGGUGAAAGUUGGACAAAAUUUGGAAGAGGACACCCAAAGCAUUAUCAACAUGACUAUGAAUAUGACGUCUGGGUGGUGCAUUGUGAAAGAAGAACUCACAUUUCCUGCUGGAGGUGCCCCUUUCAGAAGUUGCCAUGCUUCAACUAUUGUACAGGUAUAUGGCCUUCAGAUGCAACUGCAUUUUGGAAACUCGAAAUUAUUUACAUGUGAAUUUUGACUUUUCAGAUUGAGGAACACAAUUUUUUGGUAGCAUAUUUUGGUGGAUCCAGCGAAGGUGCUCCAGAUGUUAAAAUCUGGUUACAGAGAUAUAGUGUGGGUUCAACGCAUCCGAAAUGCUUCCUUUUUGUUCUCUGAAACUAGAAGAGCAAUUCUUACUUGGAAUAUUACAUUUGUAUAGGAUGGACACUGGCAUCCUCCAGUGGUCGCUGAUCAACAAGAUGGGGUGCCCAUGUGGAAUCCUGUUUUGUUUCAACUUCCCUCACGUGAGCUUCUUCUAUUCUACAAGAUUGGUCAAGAAGUUCAGAAGUAAGAGUGUAAAACCUUUAUGUGUGACUAUUGAUCAACUAUCUCUGAUUCAAGGAAUGUAAUGAUCUGAUGCUCAACAUUACCUGUUCAGGUGGAGCGGUGCCAUGAAAAGAUCGUUAGAUGGCGGUGUAACCUGGUCACAGAGAGAGCAGUUACCUCCUGGUAUCCUUGGUCCUAUUAAGAAUAAGGCAUGUAUAAAUGUGGUGUUUUUCUUUACCUCACAUCUUACUAGUGUCCAUUGGUUUUCUGUCCCUUUUAUUAUGAUGUAUGUUUUCCCAUAUUAAGAUGGAACCAAAUGCUAACUUCUCUGAUGCAGCCUUUCUUGCUUGAAGAUGGGCGCCUACUGUGUGGAUCAUCAGUUGAAAGUUGGAAUUCUUGGGGUGCAUGGCUUGAGGUACUCGCAUGUUUCAUUUCUUUCAAAAAUUCAUGUAAAAAUUGACAACAACUCUAUUUAGCACUGUGCAACAUGGUUGUAUGUUCUAACAACUUUUUAUCAACAAAGGUUACGAAAGAUGCCGGACGGACAUGGAGAAAGUAUGGCCCUAUAUGUAUAGAAGGUCAACCACUUGGGGUGAUUCAACCAGUUCCCUACCGGACUGACAAUGGGACUAUUCGAGUGUUGCUGCGAUCAUUUGAAACAAUCGGACGUGUCUGUAUGGCUGAUUCUGUUGAUGAAGGUGUGACAUGGAGUUAUGUCCAUGAGACUGAGCUUCCAAACCCAAAUUCUGGUGAGCCCAAUGAGCUUUCUGCAUGAUUCAGUAGCCUUGUAACAGUAAUAUUUAAAAGGUUUUUUCAAGACCAAAAAGCAUCAUCCGUGUGGUGGUGGAGUUGUUGGUGCAUGACUCCACCCACCAGGAAUUCCUGGUGUGCACUUAUUUAGAUGUUUGUGGAGUUUAAUGGUUGUAUGCAUCCCUCGUUGGUGCAUAGGCCGGAAGAUAUACUUGCUUCAUCUAAAAAGCCCGGUAGCAACCAUCAAUAGAUGGCUUGAUGUUUCAGAAAGUUCAAAAUGCAUGCUUAUGAGUUUUCAAAUAAUACUUGCUAUCUCUCACUUUUCACCUCUGGACUGCACACUUGAAGGAAUUGAUGGAGUUAAGAUGAAGGAUGGAAGAGUACUGCUUGCCUACAACACCUUCUCCAGAGGAACGCUCAAAAUUGCAGUCUCCUCAAACGAUGGCGAUUCAUGGGAUGAAGUAAUGACGCUAGAGGAUACCAAAGGUAUGGAAUUUUCGUAUCCUGCAGUGAUCCAGUCUUUGGAUGAGCUCAUACAUAUUACCUACACAUACAAUCGGACACAGGUUAAGGUAAACAUCUCUAAUGCAUACACUAAUUUUCUAACCACAAUAACCUUUUGUUGGCGCAUCUCGUAAAGAGUAUUCUUGAAUUCUUUGCAGCAUGUUGUUCUUCAACCUAGUGCAAUGGUGAAGUUGUGAGCCUGCAACUGAUGAAUACCUCUGGGUGGCAACUUCAGGACUCUUCAAGUAUCAUGGUAAAAAAAUGUGUUUCUAAGAAGCAUCCAUGUAACCGGGUACCAAAAUUAUGAAACCUGUUAUGUACCCGGGAUAUGUCAAGCCACGCACUCCAGAUUGUGAAGAAAACUUUGAAGUAGAACAGGAAUCUGUCAUCCGCACGCUCUUUGUGAAUAAUUCAAGCUUCAGCUGAACUUGUUCCCGAGACACGCAGUUCUGAAAGUGAACCUCUCUGCUUGACAUUCUCGGUAAGAUAUAAUUGCAUUUCUAAAUCGACUUAACUUUCCAUAUGGAAAUCGAAAAAAUGGCAAGGAAAGGCUACAUCCGUAAGCAUAAAGUGAGAGAAACUGUAUUCAGAGGGAGAAUGAAGUGCCUAACAUGGGUUGGGCUAAAAUUGCUCCCCUCUCCGGUGUCCGGUCCUAACCAAACGAACUUGCAGGCCAGCCUGGGAGAGCUUUCCCUCCGGGACGGCCCCUUGCUUGUGGAGCCUGUGAUUUUUAACAUUACGGUAAUCUACAGUUAUCAUGUGAGUCCUUUUUUUAGCCACGUAGUAGGUAUAGAUAAAAAAAAUAAUUUUACAGCCAUGGUUGAUGAGAUGUUCAAACUGAGGUGAGCCUGUGAGCUUCAGCCGCCUCUUGGCACUAGUCAAUUUUUGUGGCCGCUUCAUGUCCACGAUUAUCACAUGCAAAGUUACAGUACGUACUGCAAAAGGUGCGAGUGAAGCUAUGAGCUUGCAUGUCGGCUAAUUAAGAACGUUAUUUAUUUAUAUUACUUACAGAGUAAAGCACUUUGCUUUUGCCAGCGUGAUUCGUACCCCUAGCCGCCCCUAGCCACCUAAUUAAGAAGGGGUACGGUAUGUAGUGAACACGUGACCAACUUCGGGAACUCGGGAAGGUAGAGUGAAACUUCCUGUUUACGUACGUGCAACAAGGACACACGGCUGCUGUGUACGCACAAAAACAGUGACACUUUGACAAACACAAUGGGUAAAGUACUGUCGACAUCGUAUAGUGACAUUUACUGUUCUCUCCAUCUCCGGUUGCAGUAAUUAAAAAUAUCUCUAGAUUCAACAAUUUAUUAAAAGGGAAUAUAUAUUUUGGGUCUGUCAUGUCAUAUAUGUAAAUAGUGAUAUCGUAUCAUCAGGUGGAAUACUUUGUAACAUACUCGCUCCAUCCCAAAUUAUAAGCCAAGAAUUUUGGAGAGUCAAAGCAUCUCAAGUUUAAUCAAAUUUAUAUGAUAAAAUAAUAAUAUUUAUGAUAUUAAUCAAGCAUUAUUAGGUUUUUAUUAAGUAUAUUUCCACACUAUAUCCUUUUUUAUGUCAUAAAUCAUUGUGAUUCUUUCUAUAAUUUUAAUCAAACUUAAAAUGCCUUGACUCUUCAAGAUUAAUUCUUAGAAUGACUUAUAAUUUGGGAUGGAGGGAGUAGUAUAUUUUUUAAAAGAAAAAAAUAAUUGUCAUAUACUGUGUAGAUGCUCAUCAAUGGAACGAUUAGGACACACUCCAAAGUUGCAAGAAAACUUUUUUUUUUGCGAGUAGAAAACUAAUCUAUACACCUGGACAGAAAAAAAAAAUUAAUCAUAAACUAAAGUAACUAAUUAACUAGUAAUUCUCUCAUCUCUUUGUUACGUUUGUUAUGAAAGGUAGGCUUUUUCUUCAAACCAAUAAGAAAAGUGUAGAUAGAGUAAUUAAAGAUGUAUAUAUGCAUGUGACGGUGUACACAUGGUGGAUAUAUAGUAUAUAGAUGCGGACCUUUUUUUUAACCUAGAUGCGGACCUUUUGGUUAUGAUGAAGCCAUGCAUGCAUGUUUGUCAAUUAUAUAUCUUUUGCAUUGGCGAACCCCACACAGGCCAUUUGUCUAGUCUAGUCCUUUAAACAAAAACAAUUAGCUCGGACUCGUACAUGCAUGUUUUUCCUUUUUUAUCAGCGUGGCAGAUUAACAAUUGGCGUUCGAUAUAUUUUCAGUGCCAACAUGCCUUGUUCCUGUUGACUUAGUACUCAUCAGAAUUAUACGGCGGGGAAUAGCAUGUGCAUGCAUACUCUUUCACAAAUAAAUAAACAGAUAAAAAGGUGAACACCUAUAUACUAUUAAUAUAUGCGCAUAUAUAUCCCGUUAACAAACUAACAGGGAAAUGGGAAGAUGCCUACUAUACCUGUAGCAUGUAAAGCGUGAGCACGAUCGAGGUGUUGGUCGAAGCUAGCAGACCUGUUUCUAUCCAAAAGGAUCCAGAUAACACCAACAUAUCUUGCUUUGCAGAUCCGAUGAGAUCGCCCUUUAUUACACAUGUGUAUGCAUGUAAUUGAAGCAUCACAAGCUUGAGAGAACAAGUUGUUGCGAGCAGAGACACAACUUACUCCCGAAAGAUAGACAAAACACCUUGUUGACUACCCGCAGAAAAAUACCAAAAGAACAGUGGUAAGUGAGUGGAGUGCACUUCCAUGGAAAAAAAAUAAAGGCACUGCAAAAGCCGAGCAAUUAACAUCCAUGCCAUACCUUUCCAUGCAUGCUAUAUAUAGUAUGUACCAGUGAAUAUUCGUCCUGAUGAUACAAACUUAGUUUACUGAGUAGUGACACAACACUUACUCCUAAAUUAAAAGGACAAGCACCGUACCUUGACAAGACGAAGAAUAUCAAACCCUAGCAUGUAGCAACCUAGCUGGAUCCAUGUAUGAUCCAUCAUAAUCUAAAGAAGCGCAAAUUAAAGUUCUCUACAGCCAAAUGGCAUUUUUUUCAGCUUAUUCUAGCCAGACUUAUUUCCACCAGCCAAAUAAAUUAGAAAUUUAAUUUGAUACAAAGAUAGAGUAGCUUGUAUACUUAGAACGGAGUGCAUGCAUGACUUUCAGUUUCCGCUCAUGUGCGAUAUAUAAGCACCGGUGAAUAUUCCUCCUGGGUUUUGUCAAGAAAGGAAGGUGAUUUGGACACUCUGUAGUGGCAGUUCAACCUAGAGGAGAUGACUCAGAUGAGCAUUAUUGUGCCUCCAUUAUGGCUAUCAAAUUUCAUCCAGAUCAGAGACGAGAAAAAGGGAGGGAGGCAAAGUGUUGCAACCAGGAAUUAAUGUUCCGUCUAGUACAUGCUAGGUGGAACAUCAUGAGAUCAUUAGCCAAUGUCUAGUUAUUUAAUAGACUGAUUGGGCAAGUAUUAUUUGCUAAAAACACCUUAACGUACUACUCCCUCUCCAUCUCAAAAUUAUAAAGUCGUUCUAGCUUUUUCUAUAUACUAGCAUAUGCAUGCUUGUGCGUUGCUACGACUCAAUUUUUUCUAUGCAAAAGAGUAUAAGAAAAGAAACUACAUGUAAAUAUAUCUUUGACAUCUCAUUGAAGUAGAAUGUCAAACAACAGAUAGGACACCUGAAGUGCUAACCAACUGAUAUUGUCCAACUCCAGUUUUGGCCAAUGCAUAUACUCUCUCUGUCUCUGAAAGCUGCAAUUUUUAGAGUUGUCCUAAGUCAAACUUUUACAACUUUGACCAAAUUUAUAGAAAAAAAAUGCUAAGAUUUAUAGUGUCAAAUUAAUACCAUUAGAUUUAUUAUAGAAUAUAUUUUUGUAAGAUACUUAUUUUAUAUCAUAGAUAUUGAUGCUCUUUUCUAUAAAGUUGGUUAAAGUUAGAAAAGUUUUUUUUUGCGAGUGAAGAGAGAGCUUUAUUAACUAGAAAUAGAGGAAUUACAAUCAGCCUUGAUUGAGUUCAAGGCACACGCAGGAGCUUGACCCAACCAAGUUGCAGAGUGUUUACAUUUUCUAGCAUAUAAAGCUAACGCAUAAAGUUAGAAAAGUUUGAUUGACACGGAUUUGCUUCACACCCAGAGCUAGCUCUGUACAGAUUUUGCGGAUACCUUGGAAUGCCACGAUAUUUGAGGAUGGAAUUUAAUUAGCACCAAGGGAAAAGUGUUUCGACUAUCACAAAUAAUUACUAUACUCGUAAAACUUAACAUAGCUCUUUCAACGCAAAAAGGAGCUUUGUCACCAUACAAAUAAUCCAUAAGCAAAAUUACCUGAAAGUAGCAAUAAUGGUACUUUCCAACCAACUAACCAGCGUAAUAAAGCUCUAGAAAAAAAUUGUUAAGACUAGUAGACCAAAUAAGAAAAAGGGAAAUUAAAUCCCACAGCCGACUUUAUUGGGACCAUGUUAAUGAUGUAUAUAGUGCUAAUGGUCAGCCAGCUACCUAAUUUUUAGCUCUAGCCUGUCCAAACAGAUAAUAAGAAAGAUUAAUAGGUGGACAAUUUCUUUGAAUUAGUUGUUAGCUAAUUACUAAAUGGCUAAUCAAGACUAAUUUUUAGCUCCAAAUAUCGAUCUAAACAUGCUAUUGGAUCCAGUCUCCAAGUCAAAGCAAGCUCUGGGCGAGCAGGCGGCUGCUAUAGCACAUGCCCGCACGCACGCACGCACCAGUGCGCCAUCAUCUAUAGUAGUCGCCACCAGAACACACCUACUCAAGGAAAACUUCUCCCACUGUCAGCAUCGCCAAAACACAUCAUCAUCUUUACCGACGGAAGGCAAAUAGUACAGUACCAUGAAACCAGGCGCAUACACAUGUCACGGGCACCAGUAGAAGUAUAAAAAUGCCCGUGAUCCCACGUACAUACGGCGUGCAGUGUAGGAAGCCGCUGAACGGCUUUGUUAACUUAUUCUGGGGCGCUGCCCGCUGGUGGCAUGUCACGAGCUGAGGACACGAUCGAGCCCCGGCACCAGGCACCACCGGAGCGGAGGAGUCCGCGUCUCGGCCCGCCGGGGGAUCGGACAUGGGAGGAAAGGAACAAAUCCACGCGUGCGCGCGCCUUUGGAGAACGGAGGGGCAGGUGCAGGUGCAUGCAUGAGCACGGUGCGCCGGCCGUCGGGGCCCCGGGCGAGAGUGUCCCUCUCCGUGGGGCGCUCCGCGGUCAUUGGACGUCUCUCUCGGCCAGUGAGGCCACCUUUGGAUGUGGUGCCUGCACAGGAUCGACAAUGUCGUGGCAGUUUCAUGGCU
rnacentral:lncRNA from 1 species